rnacentral:lncRNA from 1 species
CAUGUCACAAACACCUCAAAGCGGUGAACCGGAGAUUUCAAAACCAGCAACCACCCCAACACCACCAAAGAUCAACAUUCCUCCUCCUCCGCCACCUGCUCCAAAGGUCAGCACGAAGUUCUCUGACGUGUUGGCGUUUAGUGGACCUGCACCGGAGAGGAUCAACGGAAGGUUAGCCAUGAUAGGGUUUGUGUCGGCGAUGGCUGUGGAACUGAGCAGCGGUCAAGACGUGUUCACCCAGAUCGGCAACGGCGGUGUUGCGGUAUUUGUCGGGACAAGUGUGGUGUUGACGUUAGCGUCGUUGGUGCCGUUGUUUAAAGGAGUGAGUGUGCAGUCGAAGUCGAGUGGACUGAUGACAUCAGAUGCAGAGCUUUGGAAUGGGCGGGUUGCGAUGUUGGGUCUGGUGGCUUUGGCUUUUACUGAAUAUGUUAAAGGCAGUGCCCUUGUCUAGAUAAUGUAUCAUAGACUUUUCUAUUACAGAAUUACAUCUAAGAUAGGCAAAUGUAUAUUCUUUUGAAUAUUUAUGUGUAUCGAUUUACCAUACAUAGUUCAAAUCAUGAAAAUCAAUUAAUCAUGUUUUUUUGAUAAUAUAGUAUAAAACAAAUAUGAUCAAUCAAAUUGAACGAUUGUGGUAUCUUUCAAUAUAAAAUUCUUUUUAUAAAAUUAAACAAACAACAUACUAAGAUAAAUUUUAGAGGCAUGAACCUAGAUUAGCAAUAUAAGAGUCAAAGUCUACAAAGAUAUUGAAAUCCUAGUUUCACAACUUCCUCUUUGAAUGUUGAACUGAGGUGAUCUUCAUUAAUUCAGACCAAAUAUGUGCAUAAGUCCAGCCUAGUCAAUUAGCCAAUUUAAGAUGACAAGUAUCCAAAAUUCAAAUACAUUACAUACCUCAAUUUCAAACAAAACUGAAAAAUAUAAUGACUAAUGCUCACAAAAUGAUCACUUUCGGGGAGUGGUCACAGUUAAACUACCGGAAAAGCGCUGCAAACUCAACGUUACAUCUGCUCCAUCACCAAUUCCCUAAACAUUGGAAAUAGUUACCACUCUAUAUCAUUUAUAUUUAUAUUUUAUUUAUUUUUUAAAAUUAGAUUAAAUAAAAAACAUAAUUAUAAACUUAAGUAAUCAUUUUACUAAUUAAAAAAUCAACUAAACAUAUUAUUAAUUUUUAAAAUUAUUAAACAUAUCUAGUUAUAUAUAGUUGAGGGUUUAACUUAAUUCAAAGAAAAAUAAAAGGGUAUAAUAAGAUUAAAAGACACAAUUUUAGAGACCAAAUUUGUAACUUCAAUUAAAGCAAAUUUGAAUCGUCUUCUUCACCUGUCUUCUUCAACCUUUUUCUGAAAAACGGGUCAUUGCUCAAUACCAUUUUUUUUUCUUUUACUUUGAUGGAUACAAAAGAAAAGGAAAAAAGGGUUAAAUACGUGACCUUUGUUGUUGCUACUUUCUUAUUCGUUGUCUUCAUCCGUCUUUGCACCCACGUUACACCCAAACCACUGGCCUUAGGGGCGGUGUGGACAUAUCCUUAGGCCGGACACAUCAGCAAGAUGCGUGGGUUAGUCCUCCCACUCCGGUUAGCCUUAAACACUUAUUAAAAGCUAGUGGACGUCUUUGCACCCACGUUACACUCAAACCACCGGCCUUAGGGGCGGUGUGGACGUAUCCUUAGGCCGAACACAUCAGCAAGAUGCGUGGGUUAGUCCUCCCACUCCAGUUAGCCUUAAACACUUAUUAAAAGCUAGUUUAUUUCUUGUUAGUUUGAAAUCUAAUGUUAUCAUCAAAUCUAUACAAGAUUGAGAUUGAUAUCAGAGUAACAAUCUCCAAAAGAAAAAUAUUUUACUCAAAAGAAUAUAUAUAUAUAUAUAUAAUGAAUUAUAUCCUAAGAAGUACUAUGCAUGAGUAUAAGAUUACUAUUAUCUUGGGAUCUAUUAAUUGGUAACUAAGCAUACUUCCAAGUUACUAUAUGAAAUUUAGUUAAGGAUUAAUGUCAAGUUGGGUGCAUGCACCUCACUCAAAGGCCUUGUAUUUUUAUCGGUCCCAAGUGACAUCUUACAAGGGCCGUUUUGGAGUUUUUUCUUUCCCCAAUGUAUUAACAUUUAUUUUUUUUUGAUAUUUUUGAACUUUUUAUUUUCUUAGAAAAGUAUACAAAAUAAAAUAUAUACAAGUUUACUUGAAGAUAUGAGUGUUUAUCAGGUUAUUCUCUUGAACUAUCUAUUCUUAGAUAUGAAUAAAUGUGUUUGUCUUUAUCAUUUUUCCCCUUUGUCAAUUCUUGACUAAUAAGGUAAUAGUCGUUCUUGGUGAGGGAUUCACCUCUCUAUUGAUUCUUCAUUCUAAUUAAAUGUUUGGAUUCAACAAUGUCCGAUUGAGUAGUUCUUUAAAACCGCAUUCUACCAUUUGCAUCUUUAUAUUAAUCCCAUGAAUUGGGGAUUCCAUAAACUGAAACUCUUGGAGCUCAAUAGUGUAGUUGAAAAACAUUUGUCGAGCCUACCACUUCCAUGAAAUAGGAGAAUUUUUUCAAUAAACUAAGUAGUUCCUUCUUUAUGGAUCAUCUUUUCGUUACUCGACCCCUGCUUACAUGCGAUUCCUACUAGAAAAUAGAAUUGCAGACUAACUGCAGCUGCAGACAACCCUUCGUUUGGCCAGAAGGGGUUUGAUAUUCCUUGGAGAAAAAUCUCAUCCUGAAAAUAACAAUAUCCAUGAACACAAUGGCUACGAAAUACUGAUUUUCUUAACCGACGAACCGAAAUGUUACAGCCAUAAUGCUGAAACCUCAUUACUUGCCCGCCCUUUAAACAGGUAGAACCAUCCCUGAGCAUAGAAACAUAAACUAAAUCCUGAACCCUCCAGCUGAGGUCUUUGAUAUCCAAUUUUCUUGAUCCACAUCUUUCUGAGUAUAGAUGUUGCACUAAUACACUCGCGAUUCCCAAUGCGAGCUUUCACCAAAAACCCACUCGAAUAUGGCCACUCAUAUUCUUCUCGAAGACCCUUCCCUACAUCUAAUGAGCGUCCAAUUAUGAAUCUGCCCGCAAUUCCUGACUGGAGACACUAACAGAAACAUGCAUAACUGAUCCUCGAAACAUACCGACCACGAUCUUCACCCAAAACCAAACCAUAUGAUGUACCAAAACCUUAUUAACCCUUGAUCCUCUUCUAUUCCAUUACUGACCACUGCUUCGCCGAGCAAGAGAUAAAUCCAAGAAUUUCUGCUUUACAUCCAACCCCUUAUAGAAUCAGGUGUACCCCCACCUGGACAACCACUUGAGACAAUCAUAAAGAACUUUAUGACUUGCGACUUUCCAACCAAUCCCAACUUGAAAACCACAACAAUAGCAACAACUUGCGAACAACCAAAAAUAUAAUGUAUACAUCCCAUAAGGACUUUCUGAUUCCUGACAGAUACUCCCAACAACCUUUACUACUUCCUUUAUCCAACCAAUAGAUUUACGACUCGCUCGUCUCCCAUCAGUGUAUCGAUACCGAAAGCACCACAAGCAGAAUAAAUGAACAACCAUGUUCACUAGGCCCUCAAAGUAUGACUGGAAUACCCCUUAUAAUGUCCUCUGAAUAUGUUUGGAUUGCCUCUGAGCCCACAACAUGAAUCUGGAAUGCCCUCCCUGGCCUUCAGCCCAUGUCUGGAAUGCUCUCGAUAUCACAACGACCUUGACGCCAUCGCAUCGCUCGCCCAUCACUCCAGGCCCACAGAUACUCACCUCAUUCCAUUCCCUUGAAGGGACUUAAUCAAUUCCCUCACCACGCCAAUUGUGCAUCACAAAGAUGCCACCAAAGCAAACCUUACAAAACAUGGACGUACGCGACCCGUGAAUAGGAAAAUAGAUGCACCAUUGGCCCGAUUCGAAGGCUAAAAUCCAAAAGAACCAUGCACAUGAUUCGAACCAAGUGCUCCAAUGCUAUCUUUACCAGAUUACAUGAACUACCCCCAUACACAUACUUAAGAAACCUAGAAUAUCAUCCAGAGAGAGAAGGAAUGUCAGAUAUAAUCUAAAAAUACCUCAAUUAAUAACAUAAAACAUCCCCAUGAUCAGUUGAAACAAGAUCCCAUACUUGAUUGAGACUGAACGGAUUCCAUCGCUACACAACUAGGUUGAGAAGACUUCCGCGGAUAUCGAAGGUUGCCUAAACCUGAGUCUGCUAUUAACCAAGUUCCCACUCCACCAUUGAGGGUAAACACACUCGAAGGACCAAAGAACAUAGAUCAUACCGAACUUGAUGACAGAUUGGCCCGACCACUGCAUCUCGGCUGACACAAUUAAACUUCCGAGUGAACUUUUAUUGAAUGAUGAACCCCAAAAUUAGUGGUCGAGGACACAUUGACACUUAAUCCAGAGAAUCAAGACCCACAUGGAACUGAACAUACCCGCUUCUGGAAAGAUCCACUGACUAACGUCUGCCUAACUAAUCUGAAAAUAGCAAUCCAACAACAAACUCGCAUAUCCCUCAAUGGCUAAAAAUACUCAACCUUAGAAUCCCUAUUCUCCCCCACUUUAGGCUCAAACUACCACUUACUGGCGCUAAAACCAAAUCAUAACUCAAACCAUCUUGAGCAUGUACUACCCUUCCUAACCCUGGAAGUUACGAGUCUGCUCACUGCUUCCCCGAACUCGGAAAAACUGAAAGGGCGUAACCCUAUAUCUUAUAUUCUUCAAACCUAGAGAUAUGAGUUGUUACUAUGAGUUGGUUAUACAUUUGAUUGCACGAAAACGCAUUGGUAACUCGAUGAUAUAAAACGUGCCUUUGUGUAUGAUUCAACAAGUAGUAGAACAAGCCAUAUGAGUCGAAGUUUAUCCAUUCCUUUUACCUUCAGGAUAAAAGCGAUAUCCAUGGGCCCCUCGAUGAUUUAUUAAUGAUGACACAUGUGAGUGCUUGGGCAAGCCAUGACUGAUUUGAUCUGUUCAAUCAGUCAGUCAUCAUGAAUCGGAAAUCAGGAAACAAUAAAUGGAUAGAGAUAAUGAUUUAUAAUCCAUGUCUUAGUCCAUAUGAUAUUUAGAAUGGAGGAAUAUAUGAUCCCUUAUCUAAUGGACUAGUCAUUGACAAAGGUCAAAGUUCAUCGACGAGGUCAGAGUUCAACAACGGCUUUUGAGAGUUACGAUUGCCAGUUGGUUUUUGAAGUCAUCCUCAAUAAUAGUUUUAGACUUAUCCAAGUAGGAGACUAUUGGAUUAGUGUCUAAGUCCAUACCUAUAAUUGGUAUGUACUUGACCGUACUCGUCAUUGUCCAUUUGGGUUGCAUGGCAUCGGAACAUUUGGAUAAACUGUUUGUGAGAAAAGGACAUUUGUGACAUAUUAAUAUAUUAUAAGUUCUAAUAUAUUAAUAUUAAAUCAUGUUAUUUAAUUAGUAUUGAUCAAGAAUUAAUUCAGACUUAAUUUAGUGAUCAAAAGAGACUAAUUAAAUAUAUGGGGAUUGAUUGUGUAAAUCAUUCAUUCUUAUAUAUGUGGGGUUAUGAUCCAUUAUUCCUUAUGUUGGGUUUAACCCAUGUGGUGAUCCAUGGAUACUCCAUGGAGGUUAAAACCCAUGAAGCAUAAGGAAUUCGUAAAGUCAUGGGUUACAUAGUGUAACCCUAAUGCGCACACUAUAUAAGGACCCCUUUAGCUCAAGAAACGGCACUAGUGAUACUUAUAUGAGGGCUAGCCGAUUUCAACAUAGGGUUCUUCUUCUCAUGGUUAUUCCAAGUGUUGAUGAUGUUGUGUGNNNNNNNNNNNNNNNNNNNNNNNNNNNNNNNNNNNNNNNNNNNNNNNNNNNNNNNNNNNNNNNNNNNNNNNNNNNNNNNNNNNNNNNNNNNNNNNNNNNNUUUCCAUUGCAGUCAGAGGGGCCACAAGAAGGCCCAGUGUCCGAGAUUGUAUCCAGUAGGGCAGGUGCCAGCUCCUGCCCUUGGGAUUUCGAGUACCGCCAGCAGUUGUCGAGGCCCGGCAAGGGUGCCUACGGCUCAGAGCCGAGUUUUCCGGUAGAUUUCAGCAGGGAUUCGAGCAGCACUGAGUAAUGAAGGUACGUAACUUUUGUUUUUCUGUCAGCUUAUGUCAUGAUUAUAUUGUUAUGGUUCUGCAUCAAAUUGUGGUAUAAGUGUUGUGUUAUAGUGUGGCUUGCUUGUGAUUAUGUUAUAUGCCAUUUGCAUACCUCGGAUAAUUGGUUGGUAGUUAGGGAAUGUGCUCUUAUGGAGAAGGUUUCGGAGGAUGCAGNAUGGUUGGGAGAGAUUUGGUUCGUUUCGCGAGUUCGGAGUGGUUAGUGUUGGGUUGGAUUGGUUAGAUCCCUAGCUAUGGCAGGCUUGGGCUCCUUAGCAGAAUGAUUAUGGAAUGGCAGCAAAGAUCGGGAUCUCUUUUGAGUGUGAAGCAGCAAGGGGUAAGCAGGAUCGAAGUGGGGGAGAACCCUCCGGGUAUACAUGGAUAAGAGUCUCGUAGACUCAGAAUGAGUGCGCGGCCUCUGAGAAGAAAUGGUAGUAGCACAGUGAUGGAUGGAUUGAGAAGUUCAGAAUUGGGAGUUCGAGAACUUUUCCCAGCAGUUAGUUCAUGUAAUCGAGAUGGUUAGAAGCUGGUUGGGAAUCCAGGAUUGGAGGACCACCUGUCGGACGCAUGAGAGUCGGAAUGAAGAUCCUGAGAACGGGUAACAAGAGAUGUUUUCGUAUUAGUAGCCAGUGUCUGAGGCAGCAUGCAGGUUGUGUAGAUUCAGGAGUUGGGAGGUUGGAAACUUCCCAACAAUAGCUUCUUGUAUCCGGAUUAGUAGACGGUUGGUUUGGGAACCAAGCCGAAGGAUUCCUCGACGAAGCGCUAAGUAUAUCAAGGAUAUAAGAUGUCGAGGAUGAUGCAGAAUUCAAAGUCUAAGGACUGUUUUUUUUGAGAAAUCGGGAUGAGGAAUCACUAGCAGGACUAGGGAUAGUCAGGAUGUUCUCGAGAUAGUAGUAGUGUUGUAAGUCUGCGGGGGUAGCCGUAGCAUUCACUAGCAGUCAGAUAGCAGUAGUAGUGUUGUAAGUCUGCGGGGGUAGCCGUAGCAUUCACUAGCAGUCAGAUAGCAGUAGUAGUGUUGUAAGUCUGCGGGGGUAGCCGUAGCAUUCACUAGCAGUCAGAUAGCAGUAGUAGUGUUGUAAGUCUGCGGGGGUAGCCGUAGCAUUCACUAGCAGUCAGAUGGUAGUAGUAGUGGUGUUGUAAGUCUGCGGGGGUAGCCGUAGCAUCCACUAGCAGCCAGAUAGUAUUAGAGAGUUGUAAGUCCGCGAGCGUAGUCGCAGCCUUUUAUCAGAUUGGUAAGUAGCAUGAGCGCGUGUUAGACGCGGGAAAGCAGUUGUACCCACCAGUUCGGGUGUAGCAGUGAGGAUAUGGGAAUCCACGGGUUAGAUUUCGGAUUUCCCAAAGGGAUCAGUUACGGCUAAGUUAGCAAUUUGGGCUUUGGAUCGUCACAUCAGUUAUGAGAUCAGAGUAGCAGUGGACCGUUAGGGUUCAGGUAUGUUGCGGACUACAGUCAGUCUGGGAACCAUCAUGUUGUUAGUCGUGGAAUUGAUGAUGUCAGGAUGUGACGUAUGGACCCGAUCGGUUGGAUCGGAAAGUUGCUAGAGCCUCAGUGACAGGAUAACUAGUGGAAACUAGUCCUAGAGGAAAAUUUCGUUCAGAAGUCGUGGAAGCGACUAAGUGAGGAGUCCCUUGACUCCACAGUUGGGUUGGAGUUCAGUGUUCCAGUCAGUUCAGUGUUUCAGGCAGCUCAGCGUUUCAGGCAGCUCAGUGUUUCAGGCCGUUCAGCGUUUCAGUCGGUUCAGCGUUUCAGGCAGGUUCAGUAUUGCAGCUAGUUCAGUGUUUGGAAGGUUUCAGGGUUUUGGGUUAGUAUUGCAUUUGCGUUGGAAUGCAAGUGCUGACGGUAUAGUUGGUUGAUUUGGAAUUGGCAAGUCCCUCUCAGCAGGAUCAGUUGAGCCUUUUGCCGAGUAUAAGUGAUUGGUAGGGAUGGCUAGGCAGGUAGCUUUUCAUUCAGGAAGAAAGGCUCGAGUAAGUAGGAGAUGAGUAAGCAGGUGGGAUAAAAGCAAGCUGGUUCCAGCAGCAUCGUUUCAGUAUGAACGGCAGGAUGGAUAGAACAGUUAUAGAUAAUCAAAGUAUCUUUAGGAGUCGCUGGAAGAGACUAGGAGUUUGCGAUGGAGUGUAGUGACCGGUGGGAGUCCGGUAACUCAGAUAUAGGGAGAUUGGUUAGACCAGAGUAGUCUCAGUACAUCCGGUAGGCGGAUGGGAGGCAGCAGGAUUUUCAGUCGGAGGAAGUAACGUUGAGGAGAUUAUGGGAAAGAGAAGGAUUUAGUAUGUUCUAUCGGUAGUGAUCGGCACUGUGAGUGGCCGGAGUGAUGGGCAAAAGAGUGAGGGAUUUUCCAGACAAAGAGUUGGAGGCAGUUCGCAGGCAGUUGAUCAUAGCAAACUUCGAGGACGAAGUUUAGUUUAAGUAGGGGAGAGUUGUAACACCCCAAAGAUUGGAAAGUCAAGAAAAGAAAGAAGACCUCAAUUUUAAGAAGAGACUCGGCGAGUCCAAGGAGGGACUCGGCGAGUCCNNNNNNNNNNNNNNNNNNNNNNNNNNNNNNNNNNNNNNNNNNNNNNNNNNNNNNNNNNNNNNNNNNNNNNNNNNNNNNNNNNNNNNNNNNNNNNNNNNNNNNNNNNNNNNNNNNNNNNNNNNNNNNNNNNNNNNNNNNNNNNNNNNNNNNNNNNNNNNNNNNNNNNNNNNNNNNNNNNNNNNNNNNNNNNNNNNNNNNNNNNNNNNNNNNNNNNNNNNNNNNNNNNNNNNNNNNNNNNNNNNNNNNNNNNNNNNNNNNNNNNNNNNNNNNNNNNNNNNNNNNNNNNNNNNNNNNNNNNNNNNNNNNNNNNNNNNNNNNNNNNNNNNNNNNNNNNNNNNNNNNNNNNNNNNNNNNNNNNNNNNNNNNNNNNNNNNNNNNNNNNNNNNNNNNNNNNNNNNNNNNNNNNNNNNNNNNNNNNNNNNNNNNNNNNNNNNNNNNNNNNNNNNNNNNNNNNNNNNNNNNNNNNNNNNNNNNNNNNNNNNNNNNNNNNNNNNNNNNNNNNNNNNNNNNNNNNNNNNNNNNNNNNNNNNNNNNNNNNNNNNNNNNNNNNNNNNNNNNNNNNNNNNNNNNNNNNNNNNNNNNNNNNNNNNNNNNNNNNNNNNNNNNNNNNNNNNNNNNNNNNNNNNNNNNNNNNNNNNNNNNNNNNNNNNNNNNNNNNNNNNNNNNNNNNNNNNNNNNNNNNNNNNNNNNNNNNNNNNNNNNNNNNNNNNNNNNNNNNNNNNNNNNNNNNNNNNNNNNNNNNNNNNNNNNNNNNNNNNNNNNNNNNNNNNNNNNNNNNNNNNNNNNNNNNNNNNNNNNNNNNNNNNNNNNNNNNNNNNNNNNNNNNNNNNNNNNNNNNNNNNNNNNNNNNNNNNNNNNNNNNNNNNNNNNNNNNNNNNNNNNNNNNNNNNNNNNNNNNNNNNNNNNNNNNNNNNNNNNNNNNNNNNNNNNNNNNNNNNNNNNNNNNNNNNNNNNNNNNNNNNNNNNNNNNNNNNNNNNNNNNNNNNNNNNNNNNNNNNNNNNNNNNNNNNNNNNNNNNNNNNNNNNNNNNNNNNNNNNNNNNNNNNNNNNNNNNNNNNNNNNNNNNNNNNNNNNNNNNNNNNNNNNNNNNNNNNNNNNNNNNNNNNNNNNNNNNNNNNNNNNNNNNNNNNNNNNNNNNNNNNNNNNNNNNNNNNNNNNNNNNNNNNNNNNNNNNNNNNNNNNNNNNNNNNNNNNNNNNNNNNNNNNNNNNNNNNNNNNNNNNNNNNNNNNNNNNNNNNNNNNNNNNNNNNNNNNNNNNNNNNNNNNNNNNNNNNNNNNNNNNNNNNNNNNNNNNNNNNNNNNNNNNNNNNNNNNNNNNNNNNNNNNNNNNNNNNNNNNNNNNNNNNNNNNNNNNNNNNNNNNNNNNNNNNNNNNNNNNNNNNNNNNNNNNNNNNNNNNNNNNNNNNNNNNNNNNNNNNNNNNNNNNNNNNNNNNNNNNNNNNNNNNNNNNNNNNNNNNNNNNNNNNNNNNNNNNNNNNNNNNNNNNNNNNNNNNNNNNNNNNNNNNNNNNNNNNNNNNNNNNNNNNNNNNNNNNNNNNNNNNNNNNNNNNNNNNNNNNNNNNNNNNNNNNNNNNNNNNNNNNNNNNNNNNNNNNNNNNNNNNNNNNNNNNNNNNNNNNNNNNNNNNNNNNNNNNNNNNNNNNNNNNNNNNNNNNNNNNNNNNNNNNNNNNNNNNGUCAGCUUCGGACUUCGGUCCGAUGGAGGGGGCAAGGCCCCAGUCAGUUAGCUUCGGACUUCGGUCUGAUGUCAGCUUCGGACUUCGGUCCGAUGGAGGGGACAAGGUCCCAGAUAGUCAGCUUCGGACUUCGGUCCGAUGGAGGGGGCAAGGCCCCAGUCAGUUAGCUUCGGACUUCGGUCCGAUGUCAGCUUCGGACUUCGGUUCGAUGUAGGGGGCAAGGCCCCGUUAGUCCGGACUUCGGUCCGAUGCAGUGGGCAAGGCCCAAUAUGUGCUUUAUAUGUUUUGUAUGAUAUGUGGUAGAUUGGGGGAGCUCACUAAGCUUCGUGCUUACGGUUUUCAGUUUUGUUUUCAGGUACUCGAUUUCCAAAAGAGGAGCUCGGGAAGAUUGCAGAGCACACACCAUAGUCAGUUAGCCUGGGAAUGUUUGACUCUGAUAAUGAUAUUAUGUUUUGAAUUGAAUACUCAAAAGUUAUGUUUGACUUAUGAUACGUUGUUAUAAAUCUAUUUUUAGUAAUGUUUAAAAGAAAUUUUUAGUCAUGAUUUUUGGGUCGUUACAAAUACCUUGGAAUAUUCAUAUUUGCAUGUAUAAUAGAGAAAACGUAGAUCCAAGGUAUUUAGGGUUGCAUGUACACCAUAGGAGUGAUAGAGUGCUCAAAACCCAACAAAUAGGUCCGAGUCCUUCAUUCUAAGAUUAUUUAACCUUCAUAGCAUGUAAUUUAUUGUAUUCACUUGAUGGUUAACUCCCAUCAACAUGGGUUCCACAAAGCUCAAAGCAAGGAACAUUCGGGCAGAGAAGUCGGUUGUCACUAAAACGCAACAAAAUUUGACAGAUCCUCAUACAAAAUCCUCAAUCUCAAACUCCCCGCACCACGGGUGCACCUUUGCCCUGCUCUCACUCUCCCCAGAGUGGCUAAUCAUUCCUCGUGCUGACCAGCUAUACACUGUACCCACUCAUGAAACUUCCACCAACCCUACAACACUCUUGUAUGCUAGCUGUACAUAACACUGGAUCCUAUAGACAGUCGAAUAUCUGAUCCGAACCUAAGUCCUUCAUCAAACAAGAACAGAAAAUAAGGCCGAAUGAAACAUUCUCAGGCUAAAGAAUCUUAGUUAUGUACAACUAUAAUGCAUACUCUAAGCAAUUGUAGUAAUGAUGUCAAUUUCAUCUAAGGAAGAACCCUAGGCUAUCAUGCAUCAUAUAAUCAGGAAACUCUAUCAUGCAAUUCCUAUAGAUCCCUAGCCUAUCACUAACAUGCUAUUUUAACAUAUCACAAGAUCAAUAACAGUGUAGCAAUUUGGGGUCUACUUACUGGCUCCGACUGAUCUUACACAUAGUAUCCUCUUUAGUUUGAAAGCGACUUUGAAAGUUAUUUUUAAAACCUUUACUUUGAAAAUUAUUUUUUAAAAAACCCUUUUUCCUUAGUUUGAUACUGGAUUCACACGAGUGUUCCUCCAAUUCACUCAAACCAAGGCUCUGAUACCAACUUGUAACGUCACAAAAAUUUCAACAAAUUGAAACCUUUCGAAACAACCCAUUUAUUAAGAAAAGUGUUUUGACCCGUAGGCGCUUUGUACGCCUUGAACUCCCGGAAUGAGGGAGUUCGAUUCCUAAUCUGACCCGUAGUGAUCUCAGCUCAGAAAGAACAAUUUGCUCCUCUAUAAUCUCCAUGAUCCCCUCCUUGACGGUAUUGAAAAUCACUGGGGUAGCGUUAAGGAUGUCGCGAGUAACAUCGACUACGAUAAUCUCAUGCAACCUCUCAUCAAUCGGCUUUGCCGCAGAUCCUGAGCCCGAUCCCGAACCUGAACCUCCUCGCGUAGCCAUCACCAUCCUCAACUGAAAAAUACAACGUAGAAAGCAAUUGAUAAGGAAUAUCAAAAGGAUUUCUCCCCACCAGACUGAUGGUUUUUGAGCACUACACCAUUCCUAUGGUGUACAUGCAACCCUAAUGCUUCAGAUCUAUGUUUUUCUCAAGUUAUACAUGCAAAUCAAAUCAUCCAAAGCAUAAACCCUAAAUAGCAUACAAUUUUUGGAAUUUGUAACUUAAAAAAAAAGUUAGAAGAAUACAUUUUCCUUGUAGCUUGUAGAUCUUGACCUUCAAGAGCUUAGUGCCUCAAUUGUUGCACUCUAGUGAGUCACAAACACCAAGUAGCAAUUUGGAAGAAUAUGAGAGAGGUUAGGAGGCUCAAAAUCGGCUAGGGUAUUAUCUUAGAAGCAAUUGACUAAUUUCAAGGUGUCAUGGGGUAUUUAUAUAGUUGUGCAAUUAGGGUAUUUAACUGAAACCCUAAUUCUCUGCUUAGGCCUUAAGCAAUCCAGUAGAUCCUUCCAGAAGGCCUCUUAUGGACGAAAUCUAUGUGGGCUAUACAUAAGAUUUCGUCCAUCCCUUCUUAGGGAUCCACAUGCUCAACUUGGCAACUACCAUAUAAUUGCAAUAUCAGUCCUUGUAAUCUAACCAGUCUCUUUUGAUCACCAAGUUAAUUCCAAAUCAAUUCCUGAUCAAUACUAAUUAGUUAAUCUGAUUUCUCAAUUAAUAUACCAUUCUUAUAAUAUAUUAAUAAAUCAAAAUUAACCUCUUUCUCCAUAAUUCAUCUAGUCAAGUUGCUAUGGUGCAGGCAACCAAAAGCACCAUGCUACUAUCGGGUCAAGUACAUACAAUUUAUAGUUAUGGGCUUAGACACCUAAUCCAACAGUCUCCCUCUUGGAUAAGUCUAAUAACUAUAACUACAAGUAUGACUUCAAAAUCCGAUUAGCAAUCGUAGCUCUCAAAAGCCGCUGUUGGAAUCUGACCUAGUCAAUAUGUAACAUCCAUAAAUUUUACACCAAAUUUAAACUUUUCAAUCAUAAAUAAAAACCAAAUAGCAUUAUGUUUUCAAAUCAUUAUCCAUCAGAGUGUCCCAAAAUCAUAACAUAAGGAUGAGGAGUGGUAGGUCACGCCUACGCGUUGCUAGAUCUCCUGAAGUACCUGGAACAAUAAACCGAAAACUGUAAGCCCGAGGGCUUAGUGGCUACCCCCAAAAUACCUAUACCACAUUGACAAUACCAUAUCAGUAAUAAUCAAUCAAUCAACAUGCAUAUCGGGCCAUCGGCCUGACUGGACCGCCCUAUAGGGCCUACAGUCUAUCUGGAUCUAUCCCGAGCCUUCGGCAUGACUGGUCCGCCACAUGGCCCUACAGUCUCCCCGGACCGAUCAUAGGGUGUGCAUACUUUCAGCACAAAGCAGGACCGCCUCAACCCAACUAACAAUCAAAUAACUAUGUGCGCAUAACUAUCAUAUACUGGCAUAUACAAACAUCAAGCAUAUCUAUCACUGGUCAUCAAUCAUAGAAUUCCCUCGUAACUAGAGUACCGACCUAGCAGGUCACUAACAUACCAAUCCCUACGGAUCAUAAGAGCAUAACAUACUGUCUACCCUGAUUCCGAUCAAACAGAUCAUAACCACAUAUAGCAUACCAUAACAAUAAAAACUAAAGGGUCGACCUUGGUGCUGUAGACCCUAUCGAUAUAGUGAGGAUAACUCACCUCAUAGAUGUCGACUCGGAAGGUAAACUCCAAAUCUCGGAUCAAUUGACACAGGCCCCACCACAUAUCGCAUAACAUACACGUAAGUCCUUAACCUUAUAAGGUACUCCAUAACCUACUAGUCAACCCCUGAUCAAAGUCAAAGUCCUCAGUCAAGGUCAACAGUCCAUGUUGACCUCAACUCGCCGAGUUCCUUGAAGCAUAUUCAAACUCGCCGAGUCAUCGGGGUGACUCGUCAAGUUCCUUUGAUUCUCGAUCAAACUUUAAGGCCACCCGUCGAGUUCCCUCCUUGCAACUCGACGAAUACACAUGCAUACAUAUCCAGGAGAAAACUCAUCCGCCUCGCCGAGUUGUUCUUCAACUCGUCGAGUCUAUGGAAAUCAUCAUCGGACUCGUCGAGUUGUUUAUCCAACUUGUCGAGUUCACGACCAUCUUCAUGUGACUUGCCGAGUCAACCUUGCGACUCGCCGAGUCCAUUCAGUCCGUUUUCCAUACAGAUCUAUUUUGAGUCAUGCAGCGGCUCCAACUCACAGAUCUAAGCUUCUAGGACAUGCUUAUCACGUAAGGAUGCAAACUUUACGUGCAUGCAUGGCUUUAAAGGCUCCAAAUGCCAAAUCUAAGAUCUUAAUGAGGCUUCAUGCUCAAUAGGGACCUCAAUCACGACCAAAAUUGUAACUUUAUGCUUCUAGAAUCCGAAGAGGGUCCAGAUCUGAAGUUACAACUUCAGAUCUAGCCCAUAGCUCAUCAUACCAACUUGAUAUUACAAGAAAACCCUAAAACUCAACCAAUAGAGGAGAUUCAUAAGGAAAAUGAUGGUUUGGGUACGUCUGGAAGAUGAUAUCUGAGAUGAGUGUUGAUUUCCACACUCUAAAUGCUCCAAUCUCCUUCUCCUCCAAGUCUUCUCCUUCCAAAGAUCCUCUUUUCAAGCUUCAAACACACACAAGGCACCCACACACGAAUAAGGGCUCUCAAGGACUCUUUAGAACUGUAAAUAGGUCCAAGGGAGGCUAAGGCCCCUUUAAAUAGGGAUACAAACCCCAAGAUUUAGGGUUUCAUCUGCCAACUCCUACUCACCAAGUCCCAAUAUGGAAUCGUCAAGUAGGUCACUUAACACGGGAUCUCACCCCGCUGCUACUCGACGAGUAGGGCAACCAACUCGUUGAGUAGAGCGUAACUCAAUACAUCUUAUUUAAAACAAUACCUAAGAACCGGGGCGUUACAAAUCUCCCCCACUUGAACUAGACCUCGCCCUCGAAGUCCGCUGGAACAAACAAUGUCGGGUAAUGCUCGCUCAUCUCCGCCUCCGGCUCCCAUGUCCACUCGGAUCCCCUCCGAUGUUCCCACUGUACCUUUACCAAAGGUAGUUCCUUGUUCUGCAGAAUCUUCUUCUUCCUUUCCAAAAUAGCCACAGGCCUCUCCACAUAGUUCAGGUGCUCAUCGACCUGAAUGUCAUCCAACGAUACCACUGCCUCCUGGUCCAUAAUGCAUUUUCGCAAUUGCAAAACAUGAAACGUGCUGUGGAUCCGGCUGUGCUCCUCCGGAAGCUCUAGCCUAUAAGCCAGCCUGCUAACCCUGGCAACAAUCCUGAAUGGCCCAAUGUAACGGGGACCUAAUUUUCCCCUCUUCCUGAAGCGGAUCACACCCUUCCAACGUGAAACCUUCAGGAGGACCAUGUCACCCACCUGAAAUUCCAGUAUAGAUCGGCGUCGGUCGGCAUAACUUUUCUGCCGACUCUGAGGGGUCUGCAAUCGCUGUCUAAUCUGUUGUAUCAUCUCGGUAGUUUGCUGAACUACCUCUGUCCGACCCAUUACCCUGUGGCCAACCUCGCCCCAACAGACUGGGGUCCUACACUUCCGCCCGUACAACAGCUCGAAAGGCGGGGCGGGAAUACUGGAAUGAUAGAUGUUGUUGUAGGCGAACUCUACAAUCGGUAGGUGGGAAUCCCAACUACCAUCGAAAUCAAUGACGCACGCCCUCAAAAUAUCCUCGAGGGUCUAAAUGGUCCGCUCACUCUUGUUGGAUAAGGUGUCUAAGUCCAUAACUAUUUCUGGUCAGUACUUGACCCGACCCGACAUGGUCCAUUUGGGUUGCAUGGCACCAUGCAAUUGGAUAGACUAAAUGAGAGAAAUAACACUUGGAGAUUAUUAAUAUAUUAUAAGUUCUAAUAUAUUAAUAAUAUUAUUUAAUUAGUUUGAUCAAGAAUUAAUUUAGAAUUAAUUAAAUGAUCAAAAGAUAACUAAUUAAAUAUAUGGGUUGAUUAUGUAAAUCAUCCAUAUCUUGUAUAGUGGGCUAAGAGGCUCCAUGGAUUAUCAAGUUGGGUUCUACCCAUAGGAUGCUCCAUGGAUGCUCCAUGGGAGUUACAAACCCAUGGGUCAUGGAAAUGAAGAGUCAUGACACAUUAGGGUUUACAUGGUGUAACCCUAGAUGUGUCAACACUAUAUAAGAAUCCCAUUCUCCACCAAAAUCUGACACACAUAUGAAACAAGAGGGCUAGUCCGAUUUCAAGAAGUGUGUGUUCUCUCAAAAGUCUUUCCAAGAGCAUUUGGUGUUGUGUGAAGCAUUUAAGGCAUCACACUUGGGGUGCUAGGCUCACAAGGUUUCAAGGAACAUAAGCAACAACAAGGUAAGUUAUUCUAUCUUUCAUUCAAGUUAAAAAUUGUUCCCCAUGUAUGCUAGAUAGGAAUAUAACCUUGGAAUUCAACUUUGCAUGAUAAUUAGACAAACAUAGAUCCAAGGUUAUUAGGGUUGCAUGUACACUUAGGAAGUGUUAGAAUGCUCAAAACCCAUCAGUGGUAUCAGAGCCUAGGCUUGUUUGUUUGUUAUUUGUGCUUAAAAGUUGAAGAAAGUCGAAAAUCUUGCUGUCUGACUGAUGGACUCGGCGAGUCCAUGGGGAGGACUCGACGAGUUCAUGUGUAUCUUCAACCUACUCGGCGAGUAGGUUUAUGCACUCGGCGAGUAGGGUCGACAGAGUGCAGAAUUUCGACUUGUGUUGCUGGAAAUGGAUUAGAAUCAUUACCCUAAAAUGUUUUGGUACUUGAAAACUUAUUUUAGAAGGUGUAAUGUCUUUUCUAACUCAUUUACAACAACUAGUUAUCAAAAUUACAAAGAUUAAAUGUGAUUUUGAUUCUUGAAAGUGUUCAUAUUCAUAUUCUUGUUCUUAUGAUGUUUAGAUGAUCAUAGGAAUUAUUUGUAACCUAUGUGGUAGAUUAAUUCAUGAUCAUAAUGUGUUUUAAUGGAGUCCAUAACUUGUCCUCAAGUUAUGGAAAACCAAAAGUCUCUUGGAUUAAAAAACAUUAAAAGAACACAAGAGUUAGGAAAAAUGAAAAGUCCUCAUUUUAUUACUCUAUUAAACUCAUAAGUUACAAGAAAUGAAAAGUUUUGAAAGUUUACAAAACUUGCCCUCAAGUUUUGGAACAAGUAAAGUUAAGUUAAAACUUUAGUUCCAACCCCUAGAAUUUUAAAAGUUAAAAUUCAACCCUUAUACUUAUAUUAUUAUGAUUUAAUAAUUAUAUAUAUAUGUAUAAGAACAAAGUCGUCUUACCGCUAGUACGCCUCAUUCACGAAGCCGGUCUAUAAGGUGGGUAUAAGGUUGUUGCCUAUAAAAUGGUGACUUAAUGGGUGUCCACUCUCACCCACCGCUUGCUUGAUCGGUGGAGGGUCGUUAGCCGAACGGGUAAGACAAGGACUUAUUAAUUCUCAUUCAAAGUAUGAUGAAUAUUAUAAAGUAACUAAAUGUUUUAUUAAAUUCCCAAUCUUAGUUACUUUAGGAAAAAUGUGAAUAAGGUGCUAUUCCAUGAAAUUACACUUUACACUUUGAUUAAGUCGUUGGUGGAGCGUGUGUGGUUAACCGGCACACUAACUUGGACUUAACAAGGUAGGUAAAGGGUGACUUAGGGUUUAUUAUAGUAUCGAUGGAGCGUGUGUGGUUAACCGGCACAUCGAUUGAGUGAUAAACUUUAAGGGUACCAAGUGAUUUGCAUGGUUACUUCACACCUCGUUUUGUGAUCCUCGGUAUCCCAGUCACAAAACUUGGAGGGCACACUCGAGAUUGAAACAUGCCUUUGAAAAGUUCAUUGAAUCUCAAAGAAUCUAGGAAUUUCUAAGAACCAUUCAAAAACCUAAUACUAAAAUAUUGCGGUUUUCGUGGUGGAAAUUGGUGAAUCGUCAUUCACCUACCUUUCAAAUAUGAUAUAGCUUAGAUUACGGCAUACCUCUUCUAAGUUAUAUUAUAUUGUGAUUGGAUCCUAGCCUUAAUAUUACAUUUGGGUGUUUUAUUAAGGACUCUCUUAUAUCUAAACUAAUCUUGUCCUCUUUCCUUCAGAUGUCUUUCAACAAUGCUUCUGGCUCUAAUCCUAAUGGCUCCUUUACCCUUAUGAACUUGUGUGGGAAAGUCACCUUUGAUGGAUCCAACUUCAAUGAGUGGAUCAGAAACAUCAGGAUGAUUACCCGCUACGAGGACAAAGAAUAUGUCCUUGACAAGGAGCUUAAGGAGAUUGAUGAGUCCACUGCAACUCCUCAGGAGAUCGCUGAAUUUCGGGCACAUGAAAGGGAUGCUACGAAAGUGGCUUGCAUCAUGAUGGCCACGAUGACAGCGGAACUCCAAAAGUCUUAUGAGGAUUUCUACCCUUAUGAAAUGCACCAAGAUUUGAUGGAAAGAUACCAUCAAAGUGCAAGACAAGAGAGGUAUGAAAUCAUCUGCUCCAUGAUAACAACCAUGAUGAAGGACGGGGAAUCCGUCACGAGCCACAUGCAGAAAAUGCAAAGGUAUGUGGAUCGUUUGCUGAAGCUUAAUGUGAACUUCCCGGAGGAUCUUGCAAUAGAUAUUAUUUUGCAUUCCUUACCAUCGUGCUAUGAUCAAUUCCGCAUGACAUAUCACAUGAACAAGGAAGAAGUCACCCUCAGCAAACUUCAGGGACUUCUCAAGACCGCAGAAUCAGGUCUUAAGGGGAAGUCGGUUGCUAUCACUCCUACUCAAAACUCUACUCCGGUUUUGGCAAUCGGGAAAAGUCGAGGGAGGAAGAGAAAGAGCUCUUCUAAGGGUACCAAGGUUCGGACCCUUGAUGGCUCUUCUUCAAGUGGAACCAAGAAAGGUUUCAUUACUCCUUCUUCUGACCCAAAAGAGGCUGAAUGCUUCUAUUGCCAUGAAAAAGCUCAUUGGAAGCGGAACUGCCCAAAAUACCAGCAAGAUGUGAAGGAUGGGAAAGUUAAACCCAACCAUGCAGGUAUUUACACUAUCAUUUCUAAUAACUCACCCCAUUCUAAUUCUUGGGUCCUUGAUACCGGGUGUGGUAUUCACAUUUGUUGUGACUUGCAGGGACUAAGAAGAAGUGAGGAUGUGGAGCAAGGAAGGAUAAACUUGAUCAUGGGGAAUAGGAAAGCUAUACCUGUUACCAAGAUUGGAGUUUAUACUUUAUCGCUAAGUAGUGGGUUUAGUUUAGAUUUGAAUAAGUGUUGUUAUUCGCCAGGAAUGGCAAGAAAUAUUAUUUCCUUUCAUGCUUUGUACAAACAAGGGUUUACCUUUUCAUUUAAUAAUGAAGUUGGUUCUAUAGAUGUUUUCUAUAAUAAUGUCUUUUAUUUUAAAGCAUUACCUUGUGAUGGUGUGUAUGAAGCUGUAUCUGUUGUAGAUAACUUGGGAAAUAAUGUUUUGUGUAUUGAUUCUACUAAUAAUAACUUGGAUAAAGCAUCUUUAUGGCAUUGUCGUCUUGGACAUAUAAGCAAGAAACGCAUAGGCCAACUCCAAAAGGAUGGAGUCUUGGAGUCGUUUGACCUAAAGUCAGAUGAUAGUUGCGAAUCAUGCUUACUUGGAAAAAUGACAAAGUCACCCUUCACAGGUUCGUGUGAGAGGGGUGAAGGUUUGUUGGACCUUAUACACACGGAUGUGUGUGGACCAUUCAAACAUGCCACAAGGGAUGCUAAUCGUUAUUAUUUGACUUUUACUGAUGAUUAUAGUAGAUAUGGAUAUGUCUACUUGAUCAAGCAUAAGUCAGAGACUUUCGAGAGGUUUAAGGAAUUUAAACAGGAAGUCGAGAAUCAAUUGGGCAGGAACAUUAAGAUGCUUCGAUCCGAUCGUGGUGGUGAGUAUCUUAGUUCAGAGUUCCUCGACUAUCUAAGGGAAUGUGGGAUAGUCUCACAAUUGACACCUCCCAGGACACCACAGUUGAAUGGUGUGGCUGAGAGGCGUAAUCGAACCUUGUUAGAUAUGGUUCGUUCCAUGAUGAGUCGAGCUACGCUACCAAUCUCAUUCUGGGGGUAUGCCUUAGAGACUGCCGCCCAUAUUCUUAAUCUAGUCCCUACAAAGAAAGUUGCCAAAACUCCUCACGAGAUGUGGACUGGUAAAGUACCUAAACUAGACCACAUCAAGAUUUGGGGUUGCGAGGCUUUCGUGAGACGCGAGACUCAUGAUAAGCUCGAACCUCGAAGCGAGAGGUGUAUUUUCAUCGGUUACCCACAGCGAUCCUUUGGUUACCUCUUCUACAGACCUAGUGACAAUGUGGUCUUUGUAGCAAGAAGAGGAGUCUUUCGAGAAAGAGAGUUUAUAAGCCAAGGAGACAGUGGGAGGCAAAUUGAUCUUGAAGAAAUUCAAGAAUCAAGCGGUGAAGGAACUUCAAACUCUAGCCCUCAACUUGAGGAGGAAACUCCUGUUGAGCCAAUUGACAAAUCUGUACCUCUGAGACGUUCCACGAGAGUUAGGAGUGCACCUGAGCAUUACUAUGGAUUCCAUAUUACUGCAGAAGGUGAGACACUUAUUAGUGAUGAGACACUAGUAAGUCAAGAUGACCCUAACAGCUACGAGGAAGCCAUGGCAGGCCCCGAGUCUGCUAAAUGGAAAGAGGCUAUGGAUAGCGAGAUACAAUCCAUGUAUGACAAUCAAGUUUGGAACUUGGUUGAAAAUGUACCAGGUCGUAAGACAGUAGGGUGCAAAUGGGUCUUCAAGAAGAAGACCGACAUGGAUGGUAAAGUACACACUUAUAAGGCUAGACUGGUUGCAAAGGGCUUCUCUCAAAUUCCUGGAGUGGAUUAUGAUGAGACCUUUUCUCCGGUAGCCAAGAUUAAGUCUAUUCGGGUUCUGUUAGCCAUAGCUGCAUUUCAUGACUAUGAAAUAUGGCAGAUGGAUGUCAAAACCGCUUUCCUUAAUGGAAAGUUGGCUGAAGAUGUUUACAUGAGUCAGCCAGAGGGUUUUGUCAGCAACGAGUACCCUAAUAGAGUGUGUAAGCUUGAGAAAUCCAUUUAUGGAUUGAAGCAAGCACCUCGCAGAUGGAAUCUUUGCUUUGAUGAAAAGGUCAAGGAAUUUGGCUUUUCUAGGAGUGAAGAUGAAUCUUGUGUGUAUGUCAAGGCUAGUGGGAGUAUAGUUAGCUUUUUGGUAUUGUAUGUGGAUGACAUACUACUCAUAGGAAACGACAUUCCAACCCUGCAGGAAGUAAAGUCCUGGCUUGGGAAGUGUUUCGCUAUGAAGGACCUUGGUGAAGCUGCCUAUAUUCUAGGGAUAAGAAUCUUGAGAGAUCGGAGUAAAAGACUAAUUGGACUUAGUCAGAGUACCUACUUGGAUAAGGUGCUGAAGAGAUUCAGCAUGCAGGAUUCCAAGAAAGGAGAGUUACCCAUCCAGAGUAACACCAGAUUGAGUAAGACACAAAGCCCUAGCACUGAGGCUGAGAUAGCAGAAAUGAGUCGAACACCUUACGCUUCGGCUGUAGGAUCGAUCAUGUAUGCUAUGACGUGUACUCGACCCGAUGUAGCUUUUGCCUUGAGCAUGGUUAGCAGGUAUCAGGCGAACCCUGGCAAGGCACACUGGACUGCGGUAAAGAAUAUCCUCAAGUACCUACGGAGGACUAAGGACUGGGUCCUUACCCUCGGUGGGAGUGAUGACUUGAGAGUUGUAGGGUAUAGUGAUGCUAGCUUCCAGACUGAUAGGGAUAAUUUCCGCUCUCAGUCGGGCUGGGUCUUUACCCUAAACGGAGGAGCAAUUUCUUGGAAGAGUUCCAAGCAAGAGACAGUGGCAGAUUCUACUUGUGAAUCAGAGUAUAUUGCAGCUAGCGAAGCAGCAAAGGAGGCGAUAUGGCUGAAGAACUUCAUUGGAGACCUUGGAGUUGUACCAGCUAUUAAAGAGCCAAUGGAAAUUUUCUGUGAUAGUGAAAGUGCUGUUGCCUUAGCCAAGGAACCAAGGGAUCAUGGGAGAUCCAGACACAUCGACAGAAAAUACCAUUUCAUUAGACAUCGGAUCGAAGAAGGACUCCUCGUGGCAAAGAGGGUAUCAUCGGAUGAGAACCCAGCAGAUCCCCUCACGAAGGGACUGAGUAGGGUUAAGCAUCUCCAGCAUGCUCGGAGCAUAGGGCUGAAGGAUGAUAUAAGUUUUAGUAGUUAGAUAACCCAGAAAUUUGUAAAGUGUAAUUGACAUUUGAUGAUGAAUAAAAGGUGUUUUAUUUAUGAGUAAAGUGUUGCUAUCUCUUGUCAAUCGUUUACUAUAUUUCUUUUGCAUGUUUUGACUUCCAGAAUAAUUUUGUUUGGUGUAACAUAUUAUUCAAACCUCCACAGUCGGUCAUAUGUCGGAAGUAGGUAUGAAUCAAGACUGUCAUGAUGGGUUGUAGAGGUCUAAGGUGUUGGACAAGGCUACAACAAUCAUGAGUGCUCAUAAGUUCUGAGCAUUGGACUCAACCCACGCUCACUGGAAUCACUUCAUGGAAUUCUAUCUCGAGUGAUCGUGAGACGGUAAUAUCAUAUAAGUCUUCAAACCUAGAGAUAUGAUUUGUUACUUACAAGUUGGUUAUGCAUUGACUGUACGAAACCGCAUUGGUAACUCGAUGUUAUAAAACGUACUUUUGUGUGUAAUUCAAUGAGUGGUAGAACAAACAUAUGAGUCGAAGUUUAUCUGUUCCUUCUUGGAUUAGAAGCUGAUAUCUGGGCCCCUCGAUGAUUUUGUUUUGACCCAUGUACCGGGCCCGGUCAGAACUAAGUUGAUGUGUUCAAUUAAGUUCUAUGUCAAACAAAUCGGAAAUCGGGAAACAAAUGCUGGACAAUAAGCAAGACAAUGUUCCAUGUAUUUGUCCGGCUGAUAUCUAGAACGGAGGAUUAUAUGAUCACUUAUCUUAAAUGGCGUACCAUCAUCUUCUCAGUUCCGAGAGACCUUGAAAGAGCUACGAUUGCCGGUCGGUUCCUGAAGUACUAGAGAUAUAGUUAUUAGACUUAUCCAAGUGGGAGACUGUUGGAUAAGGUGUCUAAGUCCAUAACUAUUUCGGGCUUGUACUUGACCCGACCCGGCAUGGUCCAUUUGGGUUGCAUGGCACCAUGCAAUUGGAUAGACUAAAUGAGAGAAAUAACACUUGGAGAUUAUUAAUAUAUUAUAAGUUCUAAUAUAUUAAUAAUAUUAUUUGAUUAGUUGAUCAAAGAAUUAAUUUGGAAUUAAUUAAGUGAUCAAAGGAUAACUAAUUAAAUAUAUGGGUUGAUUAUGUAAAUCAUCCAUAUCUUGUAUAGUGGGCUAAGAGGCUCCAUGGAUUAUCAAGUUGGGUUCUACCCAUAGGAUGCUCCAUGGAUGCUCCAUGGGAGUUACAAACCCAUGGGUCAUGGAAAUGAAGAGUCAUGACACAUUAGGGUUUACAUGGUGUAACCCUAGAUGUGUCAACACUAUAUAAGAAUCAUAUUCUCCACCAAAAUCGGCUACACUAAGAAACUAGAGGGCUUGGCCGAUUUUGAGAAGUGUGUGUUAUCUCAAGAGUCUUUCCAAGAGCAUUUGGUGUUGUGUGAAGCAUUUGAGGCAUCACACUUGGGGUGCUAGGCUCACAAGGUUUCAAGGAACACAAGCAACAACAAGGUAAGUUAUUCUAUCUAUGAUUCAAGUUAAAAUUGUUCCCCAUGUAUGCUAGAUAGGAAUAUAACCUUGGAAUUCAACUUUGCAUGAUAAUUAGACAAACAUAGAUCCAAGGUUAUUAGGGUUGCAUGUACACUUAGGAAGUGUUAGAAUGCUCAAAACCCAUCAACUCUGCCCAUCAGUCUGCGGAUGGAACGCCGUGCUAAAAUGUAGUCUCGUGCCCAGUUCCUUGUGGAACUUCUGCCAAAACGGGAAGUAAAUCUGACAUCCCGAUCGGAAACAAUGGAAAAUGGGACCCCAUGGCGAGAGACAAUCUCGCGGACGUACAGGUCGGCCAACUUCUCUGCCGAUGAACUCUCCCAUAUGGCUAGGAAAUGGGCACUCUUGGUCAAUCGAUCCACGAUGACCCAUAUAGCAUCAAACCCCUUUUCCGUCUUCGACAACUUCGUGAUGAAAUCCAUCGCGAUCAGUUCCCACUUCCACAUGGGAAUCUCUAGAGGCUGCAGCUUACCGUGCGGCCUCUGAUGUUCGGCCUUGACCAUCCUACAGGUCAAGCACCUCUCAACAAACCAAGCGAUAUCUCGCUUCAUACCAGGCCACCAAUAACUCGAACUCAAAUCACAGUGCAUCUUGGUGGCUCCCGGGUGAAUACAAAACUGAGACUUAUGAGCCUCCUCCAUCACUGUCUGCCGGACCCCUUCGGACAUCGGAACCCAAACCCGACCGUAACGGGUCAACAAUCCGCGGCUAUCCUGAACAAACCGGGCGCUUUCACCCUUAAUCCUUUCCAACUUCCAGUUCUCCGGCCUCAUACCCUCAAUCUGAGCAUCCCUGACCAAACCCACCAGCGGGGAAUCCACCGUUAUCCUCAUACACUUGGCUGGGGGUAAAGGACCCAACUGAAUUACGGCUCAGAGCAUCCACAACUACGUUCGCUUUACCAGGAUGGUAAAGGAUCUCAUAAUCAUAGUCCUUGACCACAUCCAGCCACCUGCGCUGCCUCAUGUUCAGGUUCGGCUGAUUCAUGAUGUGUCUCAAACUCUUGUGAUCCUUGUAUAUAGUACAACGGACCCCGUACAGAUGGUGCCUCCAAAUCUUGAGAGCGAAGACCACCGCUCCCAACUCAAGAUCUUGCGUGGGGUAUCUCAUCUUGUGCGGCUUCAAAUGACUCGAUGCAUAAGCUAUCACUCAUCCCCUCUGCAUGAGGACUGCCCCCAAAUCUGUGAUGGACGCAUCACAAAAUACCACAAAACCCUCAACUCCCUCGGGGAGUGUCAACACCGGCUGAAUAUACUGUUGAGCCCUAGCUGCCGAACAAAACCCUGAUCCCAACCUGGUGCCCUCACCAUAUGUAGUGACAAAGAACAUGGUUUGGCAUGCGGAAUUAAAGCUUGCACAAUUGAACAUGGUGAUUUGGGUGUUUAAGAGAUAUAUUGAAUGUAUAUGGUGUUACAAAAAGGACUAGAUCUAGACUACAUAAUUAACACACACUUACACACUCACUUCUACAUCUCUCAAGCACACCUCUAUAAGUGGACAAACCCACCUUAUAUAGAGGGGUUUACAUGCCUCUCUCUCACUCUAACAAUCAAAUGGGUCUAAAGGCUAAAGCACCACAUGCAAGUGGGUUUUACAAAAGUCAAACAUUUACAAAGUCAUGAAUGAAGAGCUUUGCACCCCAACAUUCUCCCCCUCAAAGUUAGGAAUGAAUCACCCAUUUCAAAUCUUCCAAAAUCAAGCACUACGCGGUUCGAGCCUCAAAGGUGACACAUGUCGAAACGAACUUCAAUCUUCAAUUCUUCCAUGACUCUUCAAUUUGGGCUCUAGGAUGUGAGACCUUACAAACCGAGCAGCAACGAAUGAUUAAGAGUAUUCCAAACUCCAAAUAAUCACCCAAAAGUUGCGCAUAAAAACACACCCCAAAAAUCUUCAAUAAAACCAAACCCAUUUCGAAUACAUCACUUCCGAACAUCCAAUUACAUCAUCUCGUAGGCUUCAAAACUUCAAGAUCACUUCGGUCUUCAAAUCCGCGUAAUAUGAAAAAUUCAAGUUCGAAUUUCCAUAUAAAACUUCUCCCCCUUUUUAUAAUCGAAAUUUGAUUAUAAAACUCCAAAGGAAAAAGAACGUGCUAUAUUCGGAAUUUUUCAUGUCAAAACUCCCCCUUAACAUGUGGCAUAAACUUUGAGCUUCAAUCCGGAAAACCCAAAAAAUAAUCAAUUUGUUUUUCCAUUGCUGUUCAUUGAUCUUGAAGCCCUUAACAUGUGGAAUUUUUCACGGAUCGCCUUUGACAAAAUUUCUCAAAAAUGGGUAGAAAUUGUCAAUUUCAAAAUUCUGCAGUGACCCGUUGCGCCCAAAACAGCAAAAUAUGCAAAACUCUCCCCCUUUUCCAAAUCUGGGUAGAAAGCGUCAAUUUGCACAAACUGCAGGGGCCUGAAAUGCACAAUCUUCAAAUUUUAGCAAAAAAUAGUCCUUUUUCGAUUUUGGGUGAAAACUGCCAAAAAUUCGAAGUCUGAGGGACCAUUUUCGAAAUUCUGCUCUUUGUUCACAAUUCAUACGAAGAUUCCGCAAAUAUUCGAAGCUCCAAAUUUUUUUUUGAAAUCGGGUGAAAAGUGUCAAAUAUUCAGAAAUUGUGUUAAUGUUCGAAGUGCCAAAAAUUCGAAGGAUCAGGGGCCGUUUUCGAAAACUUGCCAUUUCAUCAAAUCAUACGAAGCCUUUUUCCAUUUGUCAACUAUUCAAAACAAUAAGGGCCAUUUUCAAAAAUUCUAUCUUCCUUCUUUUUAAUUCAUAUGAAGACUUUUUGACAAAACAUAUCAAGCAUACGAAGAGUGACUGUGAACAGUAAUGCACAAUGAUACCCUUCGUAUGUUAACCCAGUUCUUCGUUUUUUUUUUCAUCUAUUACCCUUCGCCUUUUGCAAUCCAUUCAUAUACCCUUCGUUCCAAAAUCAUCAAAAUCAAUAGAUCCUUCGUUCAAACACCCUUCGUAUGAAUCUUUUAACAUCUCUUCGUACAAAUCCAAGUUUUUCCCAAACCAACACCAACUUAGUCUUCGAAAAUUAGUAACCCAAACCAAUUCUUCGCUUUUUGGUGUAAACCAUCUGUUCUUACAGUUCUUCUUCACUUCGUACAUCAAUCACCAAAAACCAAUCCUUCGUUCAUUAACCAUGUAAUGCCCUGUCGUCCAAAUUGAUUUCAUUAAAAUCCAAAUAGGCUUCGCUUUUCCAGUUGAUGCCAAUGAACAAACGUGAUCAACCAUUUGAUUUUACAGUUCACUCUUCGAAUCUUAACCCAAAUCGAUCAUUAACCCUUCGUUUUUUCAGUUUAUCCCAAAACUGAUUCCACUACUUUCAUUCUUCACUUUUCAGUUUAACCCAAAACGAACGAAAUCGUUUCUUUGUUCCUUACAGUUCUUCCCAAACUCAUCGACAUCAAGAACAAACACAUCUAUUCGUUCACUACUUCAAUCGAUAUCAACUUAAUCAACACAAAUCAAGCUUGCAAAAUCACAGAAUGAACGGAAUCAACAAACCAAACUUGAUUAUCAACCAUACGAAAUCAAAAUCAUCAGACUUCUCUAUUUAUGUAAACUCGAUUUUGACUUUUUGGUUGACCCUGACAAACAACAAAACUAUUGAUCUUUAAUCCAAUUUUGGAUCAAACACCCAUUUUUAACAUAAAUCGUAACAUUCUUCAACUGUUCUUCAUCGAGUUCUUGACCGAUUUUAUCAAAAUCAAAAACUAAAUUGUUGACUUCUCAACUACAACUCGAUCAUAAUCGACUGAUAAUUAUCCAAAUCAGAUUCAGUCAAUUCAUAAGUUCAGAAUCGCAAAUCGUUGAUCAACUUUCAUAAGCGAAAAAGAAAACUCAAGAACAUUAUGAUUACAAGUCAAAAUAUGUUUGAGCUGAUUACAAGAACAUUAUGGUACAACCGAUAAAAGCGUACGUACAUAUCAAACAAAGAACAACGAAUUUUAGAAUUAAAUCACAUUGGAUGAAUUUUGGGUUCCAUCAAAGAUAUCGGAUAAAAAAAUAUGUAUGGGCUCAAAUUUAAACAUGAACAGUGACAGAUUCGUACAUUGGAUCAUAAACGAACAAAAUAUUGGGCUGUUGAUAACCACACAUAUCGAAAUUAUCAAAUAAGAGUAUGAAUUGGGCUCCAAGUUCAUUUAUGAACAGUAAGAUGUCAAAAUUUUUGGCUAAAUCAAAAUAAAUGGAUCAUAAUGAAUUUUGAGCUCAAAUCUCGAUUCAAACGAACAACUGUAAAAUCGAGUCGAACAAACAAAUAUGAGAUUGGAUCGGACUUUGAUCAACGAAAAAAUUAUUGGAUCAUAACAAAUGGGUUUUCAAAGAACAUUUGAUCCAAUGAGUCAAACGAUCAAAAAUUAAGAACGCAACGCACGAUUCAAAGAGAUUAAGAGAGAUCAUAGAGAGAGACUCACCAAAAUUGAUCAAAUUACGACAAAAUUUGCCAAACCGGGAAUCAUUCUUCAAAUAUCACCUUGAUCUUGAAGACCCGCUCUGAUACCAAUUGUUGUGACAAAAAUACUACAAGUUCUCCCCCACUUGGGGUUCGAACCCCCACCCGCUAUCCCUCAUAGUCGAUCAUGGCGCCAAAACGGCUAAGCCAAUCCAUCCCUACAAUCCCAUAUACAUCCCCCAUGGGGAUAGGAAUCAAAUCUAUCGGGAAUGACACCCCGAAAAUCUCCAACUCGCAUCCCCGGUAGACCGAAGAAAUAGAAACCCCGUGCUCUUUGGCGAUCGAAACUCGCAACGGGCACUCAAGAUCAUCCAUCGGCACACUAAACCCUCUAGUGAAAGUCUGAGAUACGAAUGACCGACUGGCCCCCGAGUCAAACAAAACCAAAGCAGGCAAAGAAUUUACUAAAAACGUACAUAAUCAUAGGUACAACCAAUAAGUACAACACAAAUACGAUAACUGAGACAGAGAAUAGAAACGUACCAGCAACCAUAUCCGGUGCUGACUUGGCCUCCUUGGUCGUGAGCUGGAAGGCACGACCCUGAGCCUUCGGAGGCUCCAACUUAACUGGCCUCCCGUCUCAAAUCAUUACAGUAGCUGGCACAGAACCCUGCACCGACUUCGCGGCGAGCUGCGGACAACUGGUCUUCACAUGACCAACCUGAUGACAAUGGUAACAAAUCCUCAUAUCUGUGGGAGGGGCGGGCUGAUGGUAGCCCUGGCAUAGUGCCCCUCCUUUCCACAUUUGUGGCACCCACUUCCUGCUCUACAAGUUCCCGAAUGAACCCUGCCACACUUUCCACAAGUGCGGCUCUGCUGACCCACACCGUGUAUCAGCGGUCUUAGCCCGCUUAGGCGCCGGCUGAGACUGUGCCGGUGCCUGACGCUGCUCCUUCAGCUGCUGCUCUAUCUCAACUCACGCUGCCUCGCGGCUUCCUGAAGGUCCCGGAGGGUAUCACAACGCUGUGUAGCCACAAACUGCCAUAUAUCCAUCUUAAGCAUACUCAGAUAACGAGUCAUCUGAGACUGUUCUGACGCAAACUCUGGGCAAAACAUAGCCCUCUCAGUGAACAUCCGGGUGAUCUCCAUCACCGACUCCCCAUCUUGUCUCAAUGUCAAAAACUCCUGAGCAAGCCACUCCCAUUCCACGCGCGGAACGUAGCGGGUGCAAAACAUAUCCCGGAACUGCUCCCAAGUAAUAGCAUCCCACUAAUCAUCAGAAUAUGAACCUGUCUUCAAUCUCCACUAGUCCUUUGCCCCGAGCCUAAGCAGUUUCAGAGCACACCUGACCUUCUGGUCAGCAGGACAUGAGCACGUGAAGAAACAGCCCUCCACGUCAGACAACCACCACAUAGCCCUGAUCGCAUCCUGUGUACCAUCAAAUGUCGGGGGCUUCGUAUUAUCGAAGUCCCGAUACUGGAAAGCCCUGCCGGCUCCUCCUCCAACCCCUGCCGCAGUUACAGCCUAAGUGGCUGCAACGACAGCUAUCUCUGCUAGAGCUGCAUAUCGCUCAACAAAAUACUCAACCAUUGCGGUCUUAAUCGACCCAAACAUCUCUGGCAGCUGUGCUCGGAACAUAGCAACAAUCUUGUCUUGCAUGAUCUCCCGGAUCCUGGCAUCCAACUCCUUGGUCCCUAUUUGUACCACGGGCUUAGGUGCUACCGGCACCUCCAACCCUCAGUCUCCCGACCCCGAUCCUGAUCUUGAUCCAGAAGCAACACGUCUCGUCACCACCAUACUGAAAUAUAUAUACAAGUCAUCAAAUAAAUAACAUAAUGUCGGGAGACCAAAACCCACAAACCCUAGGGGGUGUGAUUUCCUUGCUAAGCAUAUGGGUCCUGUGCUUUAAGUAGUACGGGCCCAUACUACCUUCCACACCUACCCAUAUUUGUCUCAAGUAACACCACAACGCCCUAACAAUAUUAUCAACAUAGAAAUGCGCUCAACCCUCACUUCUAGGGGAAUACCAACUAUCUCGCACCUAGUCUCACCACUUAUCAUGACUCACACAUCCAUGAAACUUCCAUCAUCCCCUGCCGCGCCAGUGCAUGCUAGCUGUACGUAACACUGGAACCAAUAGACUUUCGAAUAUCCAAUCCAACCCAAAGGUCGAAUCAACAUUUUCAGGCUAUAAGGUCUUUAUUAUGAACAACCGUGAUGCAUACACUAAAAAUCUACAGUUAUGAUGUCAAUUCCACAUACAAGAAACCCUAGGCUAAUAGGCAUCAUGUAACUAGGCAAAUCUAUCAUGUGAUUCCUGAAGAUCCCUAGCCUAGCACUAGCAUGCUGUUCUAACAUAUCAUAAUAUCAAAUAACUAUAUGGUAUUUUGGGGUUUACUUACAGGCUCCGGCUGAUCGUACCCUCUACAUCCUCCAUCCUUUAUUUUGAAAACCAUUUCAAAAACUUACUUUCUGAAAAUCUCCUUGAUUUGAGACUGAAUUCACACGAGAGUUCCUCCAAUUCACUCAAACCAAGGCUUUGAUACCAACUUGUAACAUCCAUAAAUUUUACGCCAAAUUUAAACUUUUCAAUCAUAAAUAAAAACCAAAUAGCAUUGUUUACAAAAAUGUUUUCGAAUCAUUAUCCAUCAUAGUGUCACAAAAUCAUAACAUAAGGAUGAGGAGUGGUACGGUCACGCCUUCGCCACUACAAGAAAAAGACCCUUUUACGACGCGCAAGCAACGACACUCGGAGAUUUAUGUUACGCAAAAGAGAGUGACGUUAAAAAAAAUGUUAUCUCUUUAAAAAAUUUAAGAAUUUAGGUUGCACAUUAUUGCGUGCCCUUAAAUUAGUGUCUCAUGUAAAAAAAUUAAAAACACGAAGGGCACUUUAUCUAAAAGGUGCGCCGUCUAUGAAUGUCGUUUUAUAUUUUUUUAAGGAACGCGCUUCUCCUUAGAGGGAAAAUGAAAUCUCCAAAUUUUUUAAACCCCCACCUUCUUCUCCCUCGUCUCCACCCCCUAAUCGAAGCUACCAGUUGAACAACCCCUAAUCCACACCACCACCUUCUCGUCUCUCCUUCUCCACCAGGUUUUCUCUCAUCUCUAUCCUCCACCUUCUGGAUUGUAAAGGCGUCAUUUUAUAAUUCUUUUACCAAACGCACAUCCAUUAUCCUCAAUUACAAAAGGCGUCCAAAUCUAGGGGUUUUUUUUCAAGAAGAAACCAAACGGGAGUGCUCUCUUCAACAUUCGAUACCUCCGCUCGCCCCACCUGCUGGCGACCUUGGUUCUUAUAUCCUCCCAGUUUUUUGCGUUCUUCUUUCAGAAAUUUAAUCGAACAAGAUCUUGUGCCAGGCAGUUAAUCUAACGAUGGCGACAUUUUGAUUUUGAUCUCAAAAUACAUCAAAUACGAGCUUAUGUUGGAACUGAUUACCUAUAUAUCUUUUCCUUUAUGGGAUAAAUACAUCGAAUACGAGUAACAACAACAAUAGUGUUCCAAUCUUGCAUUGAUAUACACACACGGAUAUCGGAGCAUCCUAAUCAGCAAUUGGACCGCUAUUAUAACAGGUGAUAUACAAUUUUUUACGUAGAAGAGCCUCUAGCUUUUGUUAGGUCCAAAAUAAACUAAACAUGGUCAUACUCUUUCCUACAGUUUACAGCUUUAGGGAUUAAUAGCAAGUCGCCCUUUAUCUGAACUAAAAACCGCUGAGGAAGUUGCAGCUGCAACAAAUUCUAAAGACGAAGCCAAUAUUGAAGAAAAUGAAUGGGAAUUUCAUCCGGAUGCAGUGGAAAAACCUUCUAAACCUGUAAGUGAAGGCGUAAUAGAAGCUGAAGAGGUGGAGUCUUAUAUUGCCAUUAGAGAAGAGCUGUACAAGAAGGCUAAAGAAUUUGAUUCAAAGAUUAUUGAUUUUGGGACUGCUAUCAGAAGACCCUACUUGCAUAAGGUUUUUAACAUUUUUUUUGAUAAUGUAUACAGAGGCAACCGGAGAUUCACUUAUUCACUUGAUCUUACUUGUGAACUUUGAAUAUGUGUGGGUCCGAAGGGCUUCAUAUGGACGGAAAAGUGAUAUAGGAUAACGAAAGGAAUAUAACUGUUAACAGUUGAUCAAAAUCAAAAGAUACAAUUGGUAUUCUUUGUUUAGGUUUUGUUACUGCUUAAUAUAUAACUUCUGCAUGUUAAUUGCCACAGAGACGACAACCUUUAGGGUUUGCGUUAAGGUUGAUUGUUACAGAGAUAUGGAAACUUUAAUGAGAAAGCUUAACUGAAGAACUUAUAAAACGACUAGAGUAUAGAGUUUCCUUGGCUGAUGAAUGGAUUAUCUCUAAUUAUGUAGCAGGUACUCCACACUCAAACAAACACUGAUAUAGUUUCGUAGGCUUUCAAGUUUCAAUAUUGUAUUCCUAUUUAACAUACUGAGUCUACUCUUGCAAAAGUUGUGGCGAAUUUUUUUUUCUUCAUGCAACUGUAUCACAAAUAUAGCUAACUGGAAAUAUUAUUAUGAUUAGGUUAUCUAGUUCUUCAUUUAGACCUCUACUUGUAUUGCCUAGUUAAAAUAUAUAACUUUUAGCACUUUUUGUGUUUAUUUGGACUGAUUAGAUGUUACAUGGUUGAGAAUUUGGAACUGCUAUCACCUUUGUAUGGUUACCUUGGUUGUUCACGGUUGUUAUCUUCUAUACAGGUUUAAGAUACAAUCAAUCACCUAUUUACUAUGGGUGAUAGUGAAACAGUUGUUGCUCAAUCAUCAGCUAUCCAAGAGCAUCCAUCAACUACAGUUAAUAGAGAUUUGGCUGCUUCUACAGGUAUCGAUACCAUGGAUGUAGACAAUGUCAUUCCUCAUGAGGAUGAUCGAGCAUCCAUCCAGGUAGUAUCUUACUGCUGCUAUAGCAACCCCCUAUGUUCUUUAGAGUUCUUGGGCAUAAACUUCCUCUUUUUGGUUCAUAUGGUGGCUUUUUUAUAUAUAUUAGUAGAAAACCAUGUUACACAUCACCCAAAAAACAAAAUGAAAAGAAACUGAACAAAAAACUAUGAGUUUUGAUUUAUGUUAUAGAUAAUAACGGGCAUUUGAUUACUUAAUAGUUUUUAGAAUCAGUCGGGAGUCUUUCCAAGAAUUCAGAAAGUUUUCAAGAAUCAAAAGCUACAGAGUCUUCUUUGCACUUUUUGAAUAGCAACUAGCAAAUCCCUUCUAUCUUAAUGUUCUUUAUAUAACUUAUUUGCUGCAUGAAAUCUUUUCUUAAUGCAUAAGAAUUUCAUGCUUUCAGACUUUACUUACAUGGUUGCUUUUUAUAUCAGGCAUCACCCGAACAUUGUUCUAUUGCUUUUUAUCAAGAGGGGUAAGAACUAAGAAUUACUUUCUUAUUUUAUCUUUUUCUGUUAUUUUUUCAAUCUGAUAAUUUAUAUAUAUUUAAAAUGACUUGUGAUAUUAAUUUGUCCAAUAACUUUUGAUGAGCAUGUGCGUAGGGGUAAAACGGGAAGAGGAAAUGCUCGGGAGAUGGGCUUUGAGAGUUUCCUUGACUUUGUUCUAGCCCUGGAAAACAAAGACACUCCAGAGGGAAUUACAUAUCUUUAAUGAUGUUUAGAUCUUAAUGGAAGAGGCUUCUUUACAACAGCUGAUAUUCACACCCUUUUCAGGUAUAACUAAUUAUUAUUAGGAAAUAGGAAAUUGAAAAUUGGAAGUAAAGGAGGGGAGCAUUUAAAGUUUAAAUGUUGCCUGAUAUACCCUUCCUACAACAAAAAAUAAAAAUGAAAAAUCUCUGCUUUUCCUACUUGUUGCACGCGAGACACGUCUGCAAGCCUCUUGACUAUGAGAUACAUAUUUUCACCAUAUAUUAGUAAUAAAAAAAUAAAAAAAUGAUUUGAUAAUUGAUUGGUACACUACACUACAGGGAUGUGCACCAAAAUUAAAUUUAUUUACUAUUAGUGGAAUUCAAGAUAUGUACAGGAGUGUUUGUUGCCUUUAUAAUUGGUACAAUGCUAACAUGGAGGACCUUGGCAUUGACAGGUUUUAAAUUAGUCUAAAUUAUAUUUAUUUACUACUAGUGGCAUUCUUAUGGAUAAAGAAAAUAAAAGGUGAUGAAUUCUAGUGUUCUGUUUGCAGGAUUAAUCCCUUGUGCUGUUCUAUUAGUGGGACUUUUCUUUGUACCAGAAUCUCCUAGAUGGCUGGUAUGUGAAGUAUCAUGAUUCAUGAAGCUGUUUAAUUUAUCUUCAAGAAAUUAUGUUUGACAUCAUGCAUGCAGGCAAAGAUUGGAAGAAAGAAAGAGUUUGAUGCAGCCCUAAGAAAACUUAGAGGGAAGGAUGCUGAUAUAUCUGAGGAGGCGGAUGAAAUCCAGGUGUUCAUUUCAAAGCUCUCAACUUUUUUUCUUAUUUUUGUUAACGAAUAAAAAUUAUAGAAUUCUUUUUAUGUGUUAUCAAUGGGGUCUUGAAUAUGUUGAUAGGAUUAUAUAGAAACACUACAAAAGCUCCCGAAGGCCAAAAUAUUCGAUUUGUUUUAGAGAAGAUAUUUGCGAUCUGUCACUGUAAGUUUAUUUUCUUGAUAACUCUUGUUGGCUACUUUAAAAAAAAGAUUUUUAUAAUUGUAGUCCGAAUCUUGUUUUGACCAUACAUGGUACUUUUUUUUUUUUUCUGUAAUUGUAGUCUGAAUCUUGUUGGCUACUUUAAAAAAAGAUUUUUCUAACUUGCUCCUGGACGUGAUUGUGCUAUUGAGUUUGAUCUUGGAAGUGGAAGCUAUAAUGUAACUUGCUAUUGCUCAUACAACUUUUGUUGGAAUGUGAGUAUCAUAAUUCAUGCAUUUUUAUAAAAGUUUAAAAUAUUAGUUUAUGUUUUUUCUAUAUAAAAGAUAAAAUAUUUUUGUUGCUAUUGUUGUAGUGUACAAAAGAAACUCAUCGCCUUGUGGACUGUGAAACUGUGUCCAAAUGGAUUAUGAAGAAAAGUGCAGAGUCUGAAAAUAUGAAUUGGUAAAGGUCUAAAUUGCCCCUUGGCAGGUAUGCUGAUCGAAUUGCUAAUGCUAAAUGGGAAGUUAAAGAACAUGGAAUGGAACGCAAAGGUGAUUAUUUUUAAUUUUAGCACCAAAUAUUUUAAAAUAUCAUUUUUUUUAUGUUAAAUCAUAACUAUAACUCAAGGUGCUAUAUCUUUUAUCUGUUGUUUGUAAUGUUGAUAUGAUAACAUUAGUUAAUAACAUAUUUAUAUAACAACUCUAUCAGUUAGCUAAAACUGAUUAUGUCAUUAAUAUAUUAAAUUUCAUAAUUAUUAUUUAUUACAUUAAUGCUUUUAAUAUGUUCUUUAGUUGCUUACACCAUCAGUUCUCAAUGGUCGAUUAGUUAAUGCCCACCAACAUCUCCUAGCACUAAGGAUAUCAGAUUAUCUUGGAAUACACCAAGUUCUGUGAUAUUUUCAAUACCAAUCAUAAGGAGGAAUUACAAUAUGGUGUUAUGGAAGGAGUCAAUCUCUUAGGGAAGUAAUGGAGCCAAAAGAAGGUAGUCUACUCUAGGUGCAGUUUGUUAUUAUUCUAUUGGUGAUUUGAAGCAUGGAGUUGAUUCCUCCUGCAAGUGAAGUUACUUAGUUGGAAUUUGAUGUACAUAGUAGAUUAGAUGCAAAUUUAUUUAUUGUAAGAAAUAGAAUUGUAUGACAUUAAAUUUAAGCAAUGGAUUCUAUUUUUUGUAUAUAAUAUUUUAUUUUCAGUUAUGAAACAUUAAAUACAAAUUUAAUUAGAAAAUAAGUAAACCUAUAAAGAUUUUUUUUAAACAUUUAAAAUUAUGAUACGCAAAAAUGUGUGUCAUCUUCAUUUAUGACAUGGCCUUUCUUGACAGGGGCUUUCUUAAUACGCAUUACGUGUCAUUAACACGCGCGGCGUAAGGUUACGACACGCGAAUGCGUGUCAUCUUCCUUUAUGACAGGGUCUUCCUUGAUACGCAUUGCGUGUCGUAAACGCACGUCGUAAUUGCGCGUCGUAAAUGAGCGUCGUAAAUGCGCGUCGUCUAUAAACGACGCGCAAAAGCGCGUCGUCUCUCUUUAUGACAGGGCCUUCCUUGACACGCAUUUGCGCGUCGUCUGAGCCUUUUACGACGCGCAAUGAGCGUCGUAAAAGGCUGUUUUUCUAGUAGUGCGCCCUAGCGGCAUAUCACACACACUCUUGUUUCCGCAGUUAUGAGUUCAUUAUGGGAUUGAUACUUUGAUAUUUUGGUUGUUUACAUGUUGUGGAUUUCAAAUUUGGGUUUUCGAUGUGAAAUGGUUUAAUUGAACAAUGUUUUNGGCCAUCGGCCUGACUGGACCGCCCUGCGGGGCCUACAGUCUAUCUGGAUCUAUCCCGAGCCUUCGGCAUGACUGGUUCGCCACGUGGGCCUACAGUCUCCCCGGACCGCUCAUAGGGUGUGUGGGCCUUCAACACAAAACAGGAUCGCCUCAACCCAACCAAAAACAAAUAACUAUGUGCGCAUAACUAUCAUAUACUGGCAUAUACAAACAUCAAGCAUAUCUAUCACUGGUCAUCAAUCAUAGAAUUCUCUCAUAACUAGAGUACCGUCCUAGCAGGUCACUAACAUACCAAUCCCUACGGAUCAUAAGAGCAUAGCAUACUGUCUACCCUGAUUCCGAUCUAACAGAUCAUAACCACAUAUAGCAUACCAUAACAAUAACAACUAAAGGGUCGGCCUUGGUGCCGUAGACCCUAUCGAUAUAGUGAGGGUAACUCACCUCAGAGAUGUCGACUCGGAAAGUAAACUCCAACUCCCGGAUCACUUGACACAAGCCCCACUACCUAUAGCACAAUAUACUCGUAAGUCCUUAACCUUAUAAGGUACUCCAUAACCUACUAGUCAACCCCUGAUCAAAGUCAAAGUCCUUAGUCAAGGUCAACAAUCCAUGUUGACCUCGACUCGUCGAGUUCCUUGAAACACAUUCCAACUCGCCGAGUCAUCAGGGUGACUCGUCGAGUUCCUUUGAUUCUCGAUGAAACUUUAAGGCCACCCGUCGAGUUCCCUCCUUGCAACUUGACGAAUACACACGCAUACAUAUCCAGGAGAAAACUCAUCCGCCUCGCCGAGUUGUUCUUCAACUCGUCGAGUCUAUGGAAAUCAUCAUCGGACUCUCCGAGUUGUUCAUCCAACUCGUCGAGUUCACAACCAUCUUUAUGUGACUCGCCGAGUCCAUUCAGUCCUUUUCCCAUACAGACCUAUUUUGAGUCAUGCAACGGCUCCAACUCACAGAUCCAAGCUUCUAGGGCAUGCUCAAAAGGGACCUUAAUCACGAGGCGAUCCUGUUUUGUGUUGAAGGCCAAGUUUCUAGGGCAUGCUCAAUAGGGACCUAUUUUGAGUCAUGCAAACUUUACGUGCAUGCAUGGCUUUAUAGGCUCCAAAUGCCAAAUCUAAGCUCUUAAUGGGGCUUCAUGCUCAAUAGGGACCUUAAUCACGAUCAAAACUGUAACUUUAUGUUUCUAGAAUCCAAAGAGGGUCCGAUCUGAAGUUACAACUUCAAAUCUAGCCCAUAGCUCAUCAUACCAACUUGAUAUUCCAAGAAAACCCUAAAACUCAACCAAUAGAGGAAAUUUAUAAGGAAAAUGACGGUUUGGGUACGUCUGGAAGAUUAUAUCUGAGAUAAGUAUUGAUUUCCACACUCUAAAUGCUCCAAUCUCCUUCUCCUCCACGUCUUCUCCUUCCAAAGAUCCUCUUUUCAAGCUUCAAACACACACAAGGCACCACACACGAAUAAGGGAUCUCAAGGACUCUUUAGAACUGUAAAGAGGUCCAAGGGAGGCUAAGGCCCCUUUAAAUAGGGGUACAAACCCCGAGAUUUAGGUUUUCAUCUGCCUGCUCCUACUCGCCGAGUCCCAAUAUGGACUCGUCGAGUAGGUCACUUAACACGGGAUCCCACCCCCGCUGCUACUCGACGAGUAGGGCAACCUACUCGUCGGGUAGAGCUUAACCCAAUACAUCUUAUUUAAAACAAUACCUGAGAAUUGGGGCAUUACACAAUAACGCGUCCUUUAGAUAAGGGAUCAUGUAGUCCUCCAUUCUCAAGAUAUCGUGUGGACAAAGACAUGGAAUAAAGUCAUACUCAUUGUCUAAUAGUUUGUUUCCCGAUUUCUGAUUUGUUUGACAUAGAAAUUAAUUAAACACAUCAAUUUAUUCCUGACCGGGCCCAACACAUAAGUCAACACAAAAUCAUCGAGGGGCCCAAUAUAUCGCUUUUAAUCCUCUUAGGAUAAAAGGAAGAGAUAAUCUUUGACUUAUAUUCUUGUAGUAUUUACUUCUUAAAUCGUACAAAAUAAUACGUUUAAUAACAUCAAGUUAUUGAUGCGUUUACACACUAUCAAUGCACAACCAACUUGUAAACAAUAACUAAUAUAUCUCGGUUUAAAGACUAUGCUAUUAUCGUCUCACAAUCAUUCAUGAUAAAUUCCAUCAAGUGAUUCAUAUGAGCUUGGGUUUAAUCUAAUACUCAAAUAUUAUUUCAGGAGCACUCAUGAACAUUGCAACAAACCUUUGCUAUGUCCAAACACUUAUACAAUCUACAAACCAAUUCAUGAUAGUCUAACCUCAUAGCCUACUUCCAAAGUAUGAUCGACUGCGGAUAAUUCGAAUAAUCCUAUUAUUCUGGAAGUCAAAACAUGAAAAAGUGAAACAAUAGUAAACAAUUUACACAAGAUAGUAACUUUACUCAUAAAAAAAAACCUCUUUAUUUAAUCAUCAAAUGUCAAUUACAUUUUAUCUAUUACAAGUUUCUAAACAAUUAUCUAACCACUGAAACUAAUAUCAUCCUUUAGACCAAUGCUCCUCACAUGCUGUAAGUGCUUAACCCUGCUUAGACCCUUUGUGAGGGGAUCUACUGGAUUCUCCUCUGACGAUACCCUCUUGAACACGAGGAGUCCCUCCUCUACCUGAUGUUUGAAGAAGUGGUAUUUUCUGUCGAUGUGUAUGGAUCUACCAUGAUCCCUUGGUUCCUUGGUUAACGCAACUGCUCCUUCGUUAUCAUAGAAAAUUUCCAUAUGCUCCUUUAUGGCUGAUACAACUCCAAGGUCUCUGAUGAAGUUCUUCAACCAUAUUGCCUCCUUCGAUGCUUCGCUCGCUGCUAUGUACUCUGAUUUGCACAUUGAAUCAUCUACAGUCUCCUGCUUGGAACUUUUCCAAGUCACUGCUCCUCCAUUCAGGGUAAAUACCUAGCCCGACUGAGAGUGGAAGUUAUUUCUGUCGGUCUGAAAACUAGCAUCACUAUACCCUAUCACUCUCAAAUUUUCACUUCCACCAAUUACAAGGACCCAAUCCUUCGUCCUUCGUAGAUACUUAAGAAUGUUCUUUACUGUUAUCCAGUGAGCUCUACCAGGGUUCCUUUGAUAUUGACUAACCAUGCUCAAAGUAAAAGCCACAUCAAAACGAGUAGACGUCAUAGCGUACAUGAUCUAGCCAACGACAAAAGCAUAUGGUACUCGACUAAUUUCCACUAUCUCGGCAUCGGUACUCGAACUUUGAGUCUUACUCAAUUUUGUAUUGCCCUGGAUUGGUAACUCCCUUUCUUGGAAUUCUCCAUGCUAAAACACUUUAUCCAAGUAAGUACUUUGACUAAGUCCUAUUAGUCUCUUACUCGUAUUUCUCAAUAUCCUUAUCCCUAGAAUAUAAGCAACCUCUCUGAGGUCCUUCAUAGCGAAACACUUCCCAAGCCAGGGCUUAACCUCUUGCAAAGUUGGGAUGUCGUUUUCUAUGAGUAGUAUGUCAUCCACAUACAAUACCAAGAAGCUAACUAUACUCCUACUAGCUUUGACAUGCACGCAGGACUCAUCCUCGCUUCUUGAAAAACCAAACUCUUUGACUUUCUCAUCGAAACAAAGAUCCAUCUGCGAGAUGCUUGUUUCAAUCCAUAAAUGGAUUUCUCAAGCUUGCACACUUAGUUUCGGUACUUUGCAUCCACAAAACCCUCUGGCUAAUUCAUGUAAACAUCCUCAGCCAACUUUCCAUUAAGGAAAGCAAUUUUGACGUCCAUCUGCCAAAUUUCAUAAUCAUGAAACACAACUAUGACUAGCAUAACUCUUAUAGAAUUGAUGUUGGUCACUGGUGAGAAGGUGUCGUGAUAGUCAACUCCCGAAGUUUGAGUGAAACCCUUCGUAGCUAGUCGUGCCUUGAAUGUGUCCACUUUCCCAUCCGUGUCGGUCUUUUUCUUGAAGAUCCACUUACACCCGACCGUCUUACUACCUGUUAUAUUGUUAACCAAGUUCCUAACUUGAUUUUCAUACAUGGACUGAAUCUCGUUGUCCAUCGUCUCUUUCCAUUUUGCAUACUCUGGGCCUGCCAUGGCUCUCUUGUAGUUGUUAGGUUCAUCCAUAUUUAUUAGUGUACUAUCACUAAUAAACAUAUCACCUCAGCAGUUAUAUGGAAACCAUAUAACACGGGCGGAUCACUAACUCUAGUGGAACGUCUAAGAGGUAAGGACUCGUCGAGUCCCACUAUGGACUCGUCGAGUUCAUCUGUCAGGGGCCAGAAAUCGAUUAUUUUCAGCUUUGAACAAUUAACCAUGACAUCAAAUACAACAUAAAAACAGCCUAGGCUCUGAUACUACUGAUGGUUUUUGAGCACUACAACAUUCCUAUGGUGUACAUGCAACCCUAAUGCUUCGUAUCUAUGUUUUUUUCAAGUUAUAUAUGCAAAUCAAAUCAUCCAAAGCAUGAACCCUAACUAGCAUAAAAAUUUGGAAAUUUGUAACAUAAAACAUAGUUAGAAGAAUACUUUUUCCUUGUAGCUUGUUGAUCUUGACCUUCAUGAGCUUAGUGCCUUAAUUCUUGCACCUCGAUUGAGUCACAAACACCAAGUAGCAAGUUGGAAGAAUAUGAGAGAGGCUAGGAGGCUCAAAAUCGUCUAGGGUAUUCUCUUAGAAGCAAGUGGUUGAUUCCAAGGUGUCAUCGGGUCUUUAUAUAGAUGUGCAAUUAGGGUAUUUGAUUGAAACCCUCAUUCUCUGCUUAGGCCUUAAGUAAUCUAGUAGAUCCUUCCAGAAGGUCUCUUAUGGACAAAAUCUAUGUGGGCUAUAUAUAGGAUUUCAUCCAUCCCUUCUUAGGGAUCCACAAGCCCAAGUUUGCAACUAGCAUAUAAUUGCAAUAUCAGUCCCCAUAAUUUAAUCAGUCUCUUUUGAUCACAAAAAUAAUUCCAAAUCAAUUCCUGAUCAAUACUAAUUAAAUAAUAUGAUUUCUCAAUCAAUAUAUCAUUCUUAUAAUAUAUUAAUAAAUCAAAAUUAACCUCUUUCUCCAUAAUUCAUCCAGUCAAGUUGCUAUGGUGAAGGCAACCCAAAUGAACCAUGCUACUAUUAGGUCAAGUACAUACCAAUUAUAGUUAUGGGCUUAGACACCUAAUCCAACACGGGCUCCUUAGAGCUUUCAGGUCUCUCCUUGUCUCGGGUACAAGUCUUGUGCUUUUAGUAGUACGGGCCCAAUACUACCUUCCACACCUACCUGUACAUUCCCCCAAGGCCAUACCUGAUACCUCUAAUUCACCAAAACAUAGAUAAAACAUGACAUACGAAACACAACACAUAUCCUAGAAUCCUUGGGGAUUUCUCAAUCCUCAUAGAACCAGAAGUCUCAAUCAACACCGCAGGUUGCCUUAUGCAUGCAAGUUAUACAUACAUAUAAUCACAUAGACUGUCAAGUGAAGUUUCUACCCUAAGACCAAAAUGAAGCAAGGAACAAGAAGUAAGGAAGAAUCCAUCGUUCUAGGGCUAUGAAAUCCUACACGUAUACAACUUUGAAAGAAUACACUUAGCAAAUAACAAAGACAACAUCGAUUUCAAGCAUUAUAUUCAUAGCAUUGAAUUCUAGCUAGUAGGCUACAAGGCAUCACACAAAUCAGACAAUUCUCAUAACUCCUGAAGGUAUCCUUAGCCCUAUUCUAGCAUGCAUUUCACACAUUAACAUACUGGUUGUAAUUCAUAAGCUUGGUUAAAUUUUUGGAAACACUUACUUGAGCUUGGCCGAUUGCGUGCAUUGCACUCUCCCUUUUUACUUAAGAAAACCGGUUUAAGAAAAAAUUUACUUUUGUUUAUUUUUUAAAAAGGGUUACCAUUUCCUUAGUUUGAGUUCUGACACACCUUCGAGUGUGGCCGAAUUUCUCAAACCAAGGCUAUGAUAGCAACUUGUAACAAUCCAAAAAUCUAGAUAAAAAUUUUCAUUUUUUUAAAAAUAGAAAUUACAAUCAUAAUUUGUUUAUGAAAAUCCAUUACAUGAUUUCAUAUCAAAAUAUCAGAGUAUCGCUAUCGAUAAAUGAGGAAAUUCUUGGGAGUGAUGUUGCGCCAUCAAGCUGGUCCAUUCCCAUCAAUACCAGAAGUACCUAAAAACACCCAAAUAAACUAUAAGCAAAAUGUAACAUCCCAAAAAUACAGGCAAAAAAUUUCAUUUUUAAAUACAUUAUUAUAACACCAGCAGUAUAAUAAGACAUCCAUAAUAUCAUGUCAUGUCAAAACUAAAGUAGAAAUAAUCAAAACAUGUUAUAAUAAAACAAUAUCAAGGUGUAAUCUCAAAGAUCUCAUGUGCGGAAAACCAUAGCGUGAUGCACUGUGAUCAAGCCGACUCCUUUCCUUUAAAAACGAGUACCUGAAACCAAAACUGUAAACCGUAAGCAUGAAGCUUAGUGAGUUACCCCAUCAUACCACAUACCAUACAACAUACAUGCUACGAAGCAUAUCUGGGUGUUGACAUACCCCUUUGGUAACUUUAACCGAUAUCCGGGGACUGUUUCACCCCUAUCACUACCACAUAAUAACAUAGCAUAACAUAUAUAAAUAUACUGUCAUGCAUAUAUGGGUGCCCGACCUACCCCUUCGGUAUCUUUCAACCGGUAACCGGGAGCUAACCUCCCCAUCGGUAUCUUUCAACCGGUAACCGGGAGCUAACUACCCCUUCGGUAUCUUUCAACCGGUAACUGGGGACUAUUUCACCCCUACCACUACCACAUAAUAACACAACAUAAUGUACUGCAAGGCAUGCAUGGGUUCUGACGAUCCCUUCGGUAUCUUUCAACCGGUAUCCGGGGACUAAUAUUUCACCCCUAAUACUACUAACUCAUAUAACAUAGCAUCCUAGAACAUAGAGCAUAUCAGAUAGUUGUAAACUAGACAAUUAUCACAAAGACAAUCAUCUCAUACAUAGUCACCUACUAGUGGGUCAGCAUUGGUGCCUUAGACUGUCACACCCCAAAACCGAGAACGGCGGAAAUGUUCUGGGGCGGAGGACGUCAUGUAUAAUAUCAACAACAAUGUAAAGUAGUAAACAAGCAACAACAUCAUCCAUUGCAUUAAUAAAAUAAUUAUUAUACAAUUGUAUUCUGUCAAAUUUUGAUAAACACUAAAGCAUAAAUCAAAAUGAAAGAUAAGUCUUGAACAAGCUCCAUCUUCCUUUCUCCUUGCAUCGGUACCUGUCUAUGAUGACCUGAGGAUACAAGUAAUUUUGAAAGCGAGUAUCAGCUUUAAAGCUGGUGAGUUCAUAAGUAUAUAAGUGUCAUUGCCUUGUUUGUGAAAAGCUGUUAUGAAGGCCAUGAAAACCUUUAAAUGAAAAUGUUGAGGUAAGUAUGAAAUCCCUAGAAAAAACCCUUAUUUUCUAUAAGUAUGAAAUGUAGUCUUCUACUAAGACCCGAAUGUUCUGUACGUAUGAAGUGUAGUCUUCUACCAAGACCCGAAUGUUUUGUAAGUAUGAAGUGUAGUCUUCUACCAAGAACCGAAUGUUCUGUUUGUAAAAUGAUAGUUUUCCCUUUGUAUUGACUAGUACUAAAAGUGCUUAGUCUAACUCAUCGUCUAUGUGAAUGCAUCACAAAAUAAAGUAAACAGGAAAAUGUACUACUGUAAGUGUUGUCACUGGGUACUAGGACCAACACAGCCUAGGUAAAUAUUAUCCCGAGGUACUAGGGUUAACACUACCUAAAAAUAAAGUAAACAGGAAAAUGUACUACUGUAAGUGUUGUCACUGGGUACUAGGACCAACACAGCCUAGGUAAAUAUUAUCCCGAGGUACUAGGGUUAACACUACCUAAAAAUAAAGUAAACAGGAAAAUGUACUACUGUAAGUGUUGUCACUGGGUACUAGGACCAACACAGCCUAGGUAAAUAUUAUCCCGAGGUACUAGGGUUAACACUACCUAAAAAUAAAGUAAACAGGAAAAUGUACUACUGUAAGUGUUGUCACUGGGUACUAGGACCAACACAACAUCGCAUUAAGCGAAAUGUAUAACCUAAUGAACAUCCGAAGAUUGUCCAAUUGUCCUCUGUAGCAGCAGCAGGUGGGUGGAAGGGUUAGUCCCAAAUCGAUCUUCCUAAUAUAAGUAGUAACCUUAGACCUCCGUAGAUGGUCAUCGACCACUGGUGCUAAUCAGUGGGGUUCGGAAUGGUGAGUCCCGCCUAGAUAUCCCAUUGAACCGGGAUAGGAAAGAUAAUUUACACAGAAAGUACUAAUAAAUUAUCCUCUUAGUUCUAAGUACAAGUAUCCAGGUAAGUGAAUACAGGAUAAUGCACCUAUGUAAAAGUGUUCCUGUAUGGCAUUCAUGUAUGUGCGUCCAUGUAACAGGUAAGUAUAUGUGAACAUAUUCAUGUAUCAGGUAAGCAUCUGUAAGUACUCAUGUAUCAGGAAAUGUACUAGUAUAGACUCAUGAAUGAACUGACUCUUGUGUGAUUCUUUGUAAUAGAAAUAAUGUUUGAUAUCUUCAAAUUAUCCCUAUGAUAAUUUACUGUAAUAUAACUGGAUGAUCAUGUAGGUUUAUACACUCUUACUACUCAAGGGUGUGGGAAACUAAAUGAAAGAUGUAAACUAUAAACUCAAUACAUAUAUAAGAAUAUAAGUGUAUAUGCAUAGUUUAGUUCAAGAAUGUAAAAAUGGUUUUGUAAGACCUCUUAUGGGUUUUGAACAAUAAUUAACAAUGACUUGAUGUCAUUUUAAUAAACAUUUCAAAGGUAAAACAUUUGGUAACAAUGUGUUUUUAAUAUGUAAAACCAUUUCAUGCAUCACAUUUUGUAGCAUGUGAAAUCCGUUAAAUGACAAACAUAGUUAUAAAAUGCAUAUCAAUGAUUCAAUAACAUGUAUGUUUCUACUUGUAUUCCCCCCAUUAAAGCAUUUAAAAUCAUUUAAAAUAUUGAUUAGGGGUAUGAACUCACUUGAUUGAAGUGGUUGAUUUGAAAUAGUCCAGAGAAGAAUCAAGCAGAACUUCGACAGGAAGAGCUGAAAACGCGGGAAAAUCUCAGGAUUCUCGGGAAUCUCGGGAAUCUCGAGAACACAAAACCUUCCUUCGGGACUUGAAGGUGAAAACCGGGGCUUUGGGAGGGUCUCGGGGGCUUAAACGCAGAGUUUCGGCGCGAGAAAGAAAGGAACUGAGCAAUGGAACUCGGAGCCCUUGAAAUCUAUUUAUAGGGGCAUUUUUGGGGUGUGCCACGUCGUGGCAAGUGAUGGCCACGUCGUGGGGAGUCAAACCUAUCCUCUUCCAUUGAUUGGACGCCCUCAGUCACUUGCCGGGUCGCGGCAAGCUUGUGCCACGUCGUGGGGCCUGACAGCAUCGGAUUUUGGGCCCCGAACUUGUAAAAUCCAUAACUUUCGCAUACGAGCUCCGUUUUCGACGUUCUUUAUAUGCACACAUAGCUAAAAAUAUGAUCUACAAAUCUCGUUUAGACUUCAAUUGCAAAUUUUGACUUUAUUUUUAAUUAUUUAUUUUUAACGGGUCGGGACACGAAAAGUCUGUUAAAAAUCCAUAACUUCUUCAUCCGGUGUCCGUUUUCGUCAGACUUUUCGCCGUUGCGCUACUAAUGUUGAGACCUUAGAUUCUCAUUUAGGUUGUUUUGGCACNUUUGGUCAAAAGUAUCUCGAGCUCUAUUUCGAGUUUUUAGCUGUCUACUGCUAUACUCGAAUCUUGGAAAAAUCAUAACUUUCUCAUACGAAGUCAGAUUUGGACGUUCUUUUUAUGUACGCUCACGGUUUGAGGUUAUCUAUAACUUUCAUUUAGAUACUUAAGGCUAAAAACUAUUGUAUUGAAACUUCGCGUUUUUCGUUUAAUCGGUGUUGUCGGUUUUGCCGAGAAUCUUCGGUUGGUCAUAACUUCUUCGUUAUAACUCGAAUUUUAGGGUUCUUUAUAUGUACUAAAACCUUGAUACGAUUCCUACUACUUUAUUUAACCCAAAUAAGAUUUUAGGAAAGUUAUAUUUUGACCUAAAUUUGAUUGGUUUUACAUUUCAUUGUCUCGAAAUAUCGGGUUGUCACAUAGACCCACCUCUACUGGAAGGUAAUUCACCUCGAAUGCAGAAGCUUCCUAAAGAAAUUCUUAUUGCUGCCCUGCCCACUUCCCGAGCUAUCAAUACCAAUCAAUAUACCAAAUUAGCAAUUGGUUCCCAUACCAAAAUCCUUAAUCCAUGCAUGGGAUAAAAUGACCAUUCUACCUAUGGCCCAGUAUGAUCCGGAAUUAUGGCCAUAACCCAAACAAAAGCCCAACACUAUAAUGUCCAUAAUACAAUCAAUGGCCCAAUUUUCUAAAUUGGGCCCAAACCUCUACGUGAGUCUUGCCAUGAGGCCCAAUCAUUCUUUCCAGUCCAAUACACCUCAUAUUCUGAUGGCCCAAUAAUAAUCCAAACAUUUAAACCCAAAAUGCUAAAACUCACUCAUGGCAUGGUCCAUGGACUAGUUUUCCAAAUUGGGCCCAAGACUUUAGUGGGCCUCUACAAAUAAAAUAUCAACCCCAAAACUGAUGGCCCAAUAGCGCCCAAAACAACAAGCCCAAAAGAUGGCCCAAACUGAAGCCUAAAAACCAAAGUCCCAUUCUGCUGAGUACGCGGGGCGUACUCAGCUUGUACGCUAAGCGUACUGGCUUAAGGGCUUGUACGCUACAUGUAGACGCUUGUACGGCCAGCGUACUCCUCCUGUUGACCAACUCUCAAUCCUAGCUCUUAAUCCAUUAAGCCAAGACGUCCAAAACCUCAAAAUGGCUUAAUAUAAGUGACUUGACCCGUAAAGUCGAAUGCUUUAAGCCUUUGCAUGGCUUAUUUAAUCCCAAACACUAAAGAUGAAUUCCAAAAGGUCAAAAUCACUCCCAAAAUGUCUUAGAACUUCUUAAUACCUUAAGACCUCAGUCCAAACUUCCAGAUCUGAUUUCAAGGGACUUCUUAAGUCAUAAAUUUUCCAACUUUAUGACUUAGCAUAACUCAAUGGGGCCUAAAUCUAAAACCUAAGUUCCAAACUUCAUUAAAUGAAUACCAAAUCAUGCAUGGAAGGUUUAUACCUCUCAAGAUCUAGACUUUAUGACUCCAUAACCUCAGUAAGGACCAAAUAAGAGGCUCAAAGGUUCUGGAGUAACUUCUACUCACAAGAACCACCUCAAAGGGACCAAAAAAACAUAACAACGUACCAUUUUGCUAGAUCUACAUGAAAAAGUUGUCAAUGUUGAGACUCUAUACCUUCAGAAGAUAGAUCUAGGUGCACAAAGCUUGGAUUCAAAAGCUCCAAGUCAAACAAUGACUCUUCAAGAAGUUCCUUCUUCCUCCUCUAGCACCAAAACACACCAAAAAUCACUUUGAAGCUCUAAAAUUACUCAAAUGGGGGCUAAGGGUCGAUUUCUAGGGUUUGGAGGGAUGGAGGAUGAAGGUAUUAGGGUUAGGUUAUGAGAUAAGGAGCUUAAAUAUGCUCCAAGACCCUAAAAUAGGGUUUUGAUCUAACUGGCGUACGCUCAACGUAAUUAUGGUACACCCGACGUACUCCAAAGAACAUUCGCGACCAUCCUGGUCAGUAUGUCCAGCGUACUCUAAGGUACGUCCAACGUAUUGCCUUCUUCACUAGUACGCCCUGCGUACUCUUUGUGUACGCCAUGCGUACUCGGCUAACCCUGAAAACCAUGAAACUUCUGAAGGCCAUAACUUCUUCGUUAUAAGCCCGAUUCCAAUGAUCCUUAUAUCCACGGAAAGGUGACGAGAAACUCUAUGCAUCCAUCAACUUAUUCUCACCUCAAAACCUUCUGAAAAAAAAAUCCAAAAUUUAUAAAGAUCUUCAACUACCACUUUACCGAUAUACCCCUUGGCUCCAAAACACGAACCGAACACCCGAAUCACUUAUAAUACAUCACCUGCACCCAAAUGGGCCUAGAUACUACCUUUUCAAAAGCCCUAAUACUUUUGAUGACCAGCCUUCAGGCCACAUCGUUAGACUAGAAGUCAAUCCGGAACAGGGCGUUACAUAAAAGCUUAGUGAGUUCCCAAAAUACAACAUAACAUAUAACCACAGAAUACCACGCUAUAUACAUAAGAUUGCCAUAGGAAACCCCUAUGGUCUUUACCUGGAAUGCCAUGGGCUACCCCCAUGGCCUGAUAUCCAAGUUCCAUGUGCUACCCCCUUGGUCUUUACUUGGAAUGCCAUGGGCUACCCCUAUGGUCUUCACACAAGUGCCACGGGCUACCCCUGGGGUCUUCAAAUAAUGAAUUCAUAACAACUAUCAAUGCACAUGUCAAACAAUGGGCCGAAAUUAGUGCCUUCGACCCAUUGAUAUAGUGAGAAGACUCACCUCAGACUGCUGAUAAAAAUACUACUCGGCUAUCGGUCCAGAUAUCUCACACUGAAUAUACACAAGUUAACCUAAUUAGAAUUAAGUCACAAACUCAAGGCAUAGGCCAAAACCCUAAUUACAAACUCCUCCAAUAAGGCCCAAAAGCCUUUCUCCUUUAAUGGGCCUAACAUCCAAGCUCCAAAACAAUUAUAGGCCAUAAGGCCCAAAAGGCCCAAACAUGCCACCUAUGGUCCAACAACAAGUUUAAAGGCCCAAAUACUCUAAUAGAUCCAGGCCCAAGGCUAAGUAGGGCCCAAAUGGAUCAAAGGCCCAACAAUAGCCUAAAACUCACUGGAAGCAUACGCCCAAUGUACAACAUAUAUACGCUUAGCGUACUGGGUUAUUUGGUGGUACACACAGUGUAAAAGCUAGUACGUCCAACGUACAAGCUGCUUUGCACAAAUAGCCAUUAAGUGCUUACUUCAUGAAGCCGCUUCGUCCGAUUCCAAAUCUUGGUCAUCAUAAAGGUUGUAGGGCAAAAAUUUUGUAACUUUAUGCCUUUGAAUGCCAUAUGGGAACCUAACACCUCGUUUUAUCCUUUAAGACUCCCUUUAAGAUCUUAAACUCAUGCAUGGUGUCAAAACAACCAUCAAGUUAACAUUUUUAUGGUUUUAACAUGCCAAAGGAACUCAAAUCAAACAUUUCUAACCUCUGGAGUUGCUCAAACUCACAAAAGAGGAUCCAUGGACCAAAAAUGGACUUAUUACCAAACCCUAACUCAAACUAGCGAAAGGAUAAGCAAGGUCUGGACUUUUUACCUCCAAAAGUUCCGCAAGAUGAAAUAGAUGCAGGAUCUAGAAGCUCAACCACGUAUAAGACUUGAUCACAACCUUCUCCUUCUUGCAAACACACUAAAAUAGCCACCAAAAUCACUUUUAAUAUCACGAAUCACACUCACUUGCAAAUUAAGGUUUAGGUAUGAUAAGAGGCAAUAGAAGUUGUUUAGGGUUAGGUCUAAAUGGCAUAAGAGUGUUAAAAUGGGGCUAAAAUUAGGAUUUUUGUCUUAGGCCACGUACGCCCCGCAUACAUUGUGCAUGUCCGAGUCCAAACCACCCUAAUAUGCUAAGCAUACACAUAUGUACACCCAACGUACGUAGGGACCUCCUUUGCAAAUAAGUUUCAUUCCAAGGGUUAAAAGGGUAACUUGCAUUCCGAAUGUUACAUAUAGAUAAUCAAAUACUUGAUUCUACCCUAAGCCCUUCAUCAACCAAGAACAUGAAAUAAAGCUAAACCAAAAAUUAUCAGGCUAUAGAAUCUUAAUUAUGUACAACUAUGAUGCAUACACUAAGCAGGUACAAUAAUGAUGUCAAUUCUAUAUAAGAAGUAAUCCUAGGGUAUCAAGCAUCAUAUAUGAGGAAAUUUUAUCACGUAAUUCCUGACGAUCCCUAGCCCACCGCUAGUAUGUUGUUGUAUCAUGAAUAACAUAUCAAAUAACAGUGUGGGUAACUUGAGGUAUGCUUUCUUACCGCGGCUGACCGUACACAUCACAUCAUGCAUUCCUUGGUUACUUUUGAAAACCAUUAAAAAAAACUUUUACAACUCCCUAGUUUGAGUUUGGAUUCACACGAAUGUUCAUCCAAUUCUCUCAAACCAAGGCUCUGAUACCAACUUGUAACACUCCUAAUAUCAUAGAAAAUUAAAAAUUUUAAAUUUCAACCAUUAACCAACAUUGUUUAUAAAAAGUGCUCAUUGCUUCAAAAGUAUUAUUCAAAAUCAUAGUUUUUCCCAAGACAUAAAAACACAAAACAGGAAGAUGUGCACGAUCACGCCUUUGCCUUCCCGCGAUUAUCAGAAGUACAUGAAAUAAUAAACUGAAAUUGUAUUUCAAAGCUUAGUGAGUUCCCCCAAAGUACCAUCAUGAAACAUAUAAAAUACAUAGAUUAACAUGAUGGGCCCACAACCUCCCAGUUGGAUUACCUUGGCCCACAACCUCCCUGUUGGAUUGCCCUGCAUACCAUAUACUGGGUCCAUAACCUCCCAACCGGGUUGACUUGGCUAGUUUGUGGAGUUUGACCUAUUUUGAGCCAAGUAUAUUUUGGAUAAUUUGGUAUUAAUUUAAGUUGGGAAAUAUUUUGGGAUAAUAGGUGUUGAGUAGAGCCGGGUGUCGGGGAAGACAUUUAUUCAGCUUGUGUUUAGACUGAGAGGUGAGUUUUCCUCACUAUACUUACAAGUCGAAGGCAUCAAGGCCGACCUAAUGGAUUGAUAUCCUGUUAGAUACUAAUUGAAGAUAUGUUGAGUAUGCGAUACAUCUGUAUGAUUAUAUGAUAGGUAUUGAUAUACAUUAGACUGGUAGAUCUGUAGGACUACAUGUGAUUAUUGGUUGUGUAAUCACCUGUUUGUUGUAUGUAUAUUAUCUAUUAUAUGUCGACAUGUUACUUUAGGGUUGAGAAUAUUGCUUUGUGCUGUCAUUCGACAGACCGUGACAAUCCAACCAGAAUGUUUUGGGCCAGAGUAAUCCAACAGGGAGGUUGUGGACACAACAUGCUAAUCUAUGUAUUUUAUAUGCUGCAUGAUGGUACUUUGGGGGAACUCACUAAGAUUUGACUUACAGUUUCAGUUUAUUGUUUUAGGUACUUUUGAUGAUCAUGGUACGAUGAAGGUGUGAUAACGCACAUCUUCCUAUUUUGUGUUAUUGUGUCUUGGGAAAAACUCUGAUUUUGAAGAAUACUUUUGAAGCAAUGACUCUUUUUUUAAACAAUGUUGGUUAGUGGUUGAAAUUUAAAUUUUUUAAAUUUCUAUGAUUUUUGUAAUGUUACAUUGGUUUGGCUUGUAACCGAUCUAAACCCCCCACAUACCCUUGUUAAUCAUAAAAGAAGAAUCCAUUUAGAACUAACUAUGUUCAAAAAUAAGAACCAUAGUGUGUUAAAUAUUCAUUACCUCAAAUGUAGGGAUCUUUUGAUGUCGAAGAACAUUAGUUAAGAUAAAUUAAAAAGGAUAUUCAACUAAACCAAAGGUCUUUUGGCCUAGCACUAUCAUAUGUUGGAAAUGUGACCCUUCCUAAUAUCAGAAAAACGUGUUAUUUCGAUUGCUUGGAUUACACUGAAAGUCAUGAUACACUUACGUAUUAAAGUAUUUCGAUGGUACAAUCAAAAUUUAAAUUGGAUAAAAUUCUGUGAGAACAACAGAGAAUGAAAAUGUUAUGAUUCUUGUGUGUACCAGAUUCAAAUGACCAAAAAGGGAUAUGACUCCUUGUCCGAAAAUUGUCAUAUUUCCAGUUACAAACUGCCACAAAACCAUCACUAAACUGACUUAGUCGGCUUAACAAACAAGAACUACAUAUUUAACAUACAAAGAAAAGCUAACAAGUCUCCUGAUACUUGUAAAAAUCAAAUGAUGUAAAAAAAUUAGAUAUCAAAAAAUCUAGUAUUAACAUAGAUUUAAUUAAACUUAUAGAUUAUCUGUUUAUAUAUCAUGGAAAUUUAUUCCCAAGGUCAUCCUUAACUCGUUAACAAGUUUUGGGUGUAACGAUAUAACAAUAUCUAAUCAUUACUCCUCUGAUAAAAUUUUGGAUUCUGUGGUCUAUAGGUUGCAUUUUUUGUUGCUAAUAGGAGUAGAAAAGCUAAAAUCAUUUGGGUCGAUUGGAUUCAUAAUCCUACUUCAACUUGCACUCUUAUGUAAUGUUUUUUUUCCUAGCUUACUGCUAGUUUUUAUAAAAUUUUAUCUUGUUCCGAAAAAACUCCUCUUAUAUAUUGGUCAACUUUGAGAUACAAUUAAAAAGGUUCUCUUGCCACAUCACACGCCAUCCACCCCAACGACCACCACACAAUAAUAUCGAUUUGGUAUAGACCAACAACUAUCUCUUUCCUCAUCUCCCUCAAAUCGGUCUUCAUUUCCUUUCUUUUCAGUUUGCUUUUUAAUAUUCAUACAUAGAGACUCAUUUUUGAGAAGUUAAGACACAUAAAUGUGUUUAAUAUUGGAAUCCCACAUGACAAAGUAGCAUCUAGGGAUGUCAAUGGGGGCAAACGGGACGGGGGUUGCAUUCCCCACCCCCACCCCCAAAANNNNNNNNNNNNNNNNNNNNNNNNNNNNNNNNNNNNNNNNNNNNNNNNNNNNNNNGCCCCCGAUUGAUUUUGGGCUACCUUAUUUGCACUAAAAGAAGUUCUUGUUUGGACUAAUAGAAACUAUAUUUUGGGUUAUAAAUAGAUAUUUAUAACAUAAUUUUACAUGUACAAACAACUUAAAACAUGUUUUAUUUUGAAGUUUUGUAUGCAAAAAUCUUUUUAUUGUUUAUUAUAUUUAUAUAAUUAAUAUAUGUCAAUUUAUAUAAUUUAUUAACGGGGCUCCCAUGGGGGUUUCGGGACGGGACUACCAACCCCUGCCCCAGCCCUUGAAAUUAAAACGGGGGUUAACCUUGCCCCUGCCCCCGUCCCCGAUUAUUUUCAACAAAUGCCCCCAUACAAGAUGGGGUCCCCGCGGGAUCGGGGUCCUACGGGACUUUUUGACAUCCAUCGUUAAGUAAAGAAUGUUUGUGACGAUGUAACUUCCUCUUGAUAUACAUAUCUUUUAUUAGAGACCGACCGAUGUCAUCCUUUAACACUGUAAAUUUUCAAACAAAGUUUUCAUUUUAAAACACAAUAAAACACAUGUCACAUUCCUUUCAAAAAUCACAAGUAUCAAUUUAUCAAUACAUUUUAAAAGUUGUUUAUCGCAAAUCCAGAUCCUCAAACAUAACUCUUUUCUCUUGUGUGUACAAUCAAACCGGUGCCUUAUCGUGAUCCUGAUAAGAACCUGAAACACAUAACACAUAACAUGGUAAGCAAGAAGCUUAGUGAGUUCCCCAAAACACCACAUACAGCUCAUUAGCCACUCGAGGCUAUAACACAGUAAGACCCUCCGGUCAAUGUAUCUCAGUGGGAUCCUCCGGUCCCAAACUCUGAUGGACCCUUCGGCCGAAUAGAAUUUUCCACCCGCGUCCAAGAUUCACAUAUACUCGACGAGUUUGGGGACUCCAACUCGUCGAGUCCCAAUGCAAAAAUGCAAAAAUUCAUAUGUAUAAUACGUAUCGGGAACCGGGCGUUAGAUAUUGGUUGUAUAAUCAUUUGUCUGCUGUAUGUAUAUUAUCUGAUAUAUGUCAACAUGUUACAUUAGGGUUGAGACUACUGCUUUGUGCUAUCAGUCAACAGAGAGUGGCAAUCCAAGCAGGAUGUUAUGGGCCAGGGUAAUCCAACCGGGAGGUUGUGGACACAACAUGCUAAUCUAUGUAUUUUAUAUGUUGCAUGAUGGUACUUUGGGAUCACUCACUAAGCUUUAGCUUAUAGGUUCAGUUUAUUGUUUCAGGUACUUCUGAUGAUCGCGGUAUGACGAAGGUAUAAUCAUGCACAUCUUCCUGCGUUGUGUUAUUGGGUCUUAGGAAAAACUCUAAUUUGAAUAAUACUUUUGAAGCAAUGACUUUUUUAAACAAUGUUGGUUAAUGGUUGAAAUUUAAUUUUUUAAAUUUCUAUGAUUUUUGGAGUGUUACAUUGGUUUUGGUUUAUAACCGAUCUAAACCCCCACACACGCUUGUUAAUCAUCAAAGAAGAAUCUAAUUAGGACUAACUGUGUUCAACAAUAACAACCAUAGGGUGUUAUAAAUCCAUUACCUCAAAUGUAGGAAUCUUUUAAUAUCGAAGAACGUUAAUCAAGAUAAAUUAAUAAUGAUCGUAACAUCCUGUUUAUUAAAUAAAUAAAUAGAUAAAAAUUUGAUGAAAGAAUAGUCGCCCUAAAUUCAUAUUAUUUAGUGGGGCGCUGGUUUUGGGGAGCCGAAUGGUAUAAUUUGGAUUAUUCGGAGGUUAAAAGUGUAAGUUCUAGAUUUAAUUUGAAAAUGAUUUUAGAAGUCAUGGUGUGUUUAGUAAUUAAUGGACUUAAAUAGAAAGGAUUUGAUGGCUUAAGGGGGUGAUUGGUAAUUUCGGGACCUAUUAUGAAACGACUUUCAGAGAGAGGGGUUAAAGGGGUAAAUUUCUGAUUCAUUUUGAAAAGAUUAAUAGAGGGAAGGCUACUGUUGUUAUUAUGGGGAGAAGUUUUAUGGGGAUUGGGGUAUAAGACCUGUCAGCCCGGUAAACCCUAAACCUAGCCAUGUGUCCCAGCCGCCGCCACCUUAUACCCCCCCCCCNNNNNNNNNNNNNNNNNNNNNNNNNNNNNNNCUCCGGCGCCGCCGCCAUCAUCCCGUUUCCGAUCAGCGAGCUGCCGAGAAGCUACUCCAUUGGACUUCUGCCACUCUUCUCUUAUCCUUCUUCAGUCGUUGCCAUGUGAGGCCUCAUCCACCACCCGCUACUUCAUCGUUGGAGUGCUACCACCACUGUCGGUGCACCAUUGUUGUCGCUGCUGUUGAGGCCAAGGAUGAAGACGGAUGUUGGGACGUCGGGAAUGAAGAAGAACAAGCCACAAGUCGCUGUAACGUUGGUUGUAGCGCUGCUGCUCCGCCACUGCCCAUUUCCGUUAAAGACAAGGUCGUCACUUGUUUCUCGUGGAUGGCUUAGUCGGAGGUGUCGUUCGUUUCCGUGUGGUGCUGUUCCUCCGUGAGCUGCUGCACUGGUGGUGCUGCCACUGUUGCCGUUAGUGUUGCUGCCACUCUCUACCGUUGUCGCCGUACGCCACCAGGUGGGUGGCAGGGUUCUUUUGCGAAUGAAAACAGUUUGUUUGUGUGUGUGUGUUGUAUGUGGUGAUGUUUGGCCUGAAUUAACGAGAACAAUCACCACCACCUUCGUGAGGUGGUAGCUGCCACCAUGUACCACCACCGGCCACCACAAGGGUGGAUGUGUAUGUGUGUGUAUUGGCAUUUAUGUUGUAAAUUGUAAUUAGUGCUAGUGUAAUCAAAAGAAAAACUCAAAACCACCACCGUGAGGUGGUGGCUGCCGCCACCAGUCGCCGUGUUGGAUGGCGGUGUGCUCUGUUUAUAUUUAGACUUUGUUUGGGUUGGACAAAAUAGACUAGACCCAUAACCACCACCGUGAGGUGGUGGCCGCCGCCGUGAGCCGUCGUUGACCACCACUACACGAGGUGGUAGUGGGUGGUGCCUGACUUAGGAACACCCUAAUUGUCUUAAUGAAACCUUAAUGGGCCUAAGGACUUAGCUUUUGGGCUUAAUUGGAUUGUAAUGGGUUGGAAACCCUAAUUAGGGUUUAGAAAACCCUAAUUUUGGAAUUAUUGGUUUGGACUUAUCGGGACCCACAUUUGGGACCAUUGGAGUGAUGACUCAAGCCCGUUUUCAUUGUAUGCUUGGACUUAAUGGAUUAAUGUAAUGACCAAAAUUCUCUAUGUUAGUGAAGUUGGUUUUCCGUUACAUAGAAUUAAGUCGUACAUGCGUCUAGGAUGUGAGAUUAGACCGGUUUAUAUAAAAAAAAAUAAUAAAUAAACAAAAACAUAUUUUUUAACAUUUUAAGAAUUUAAUAGGGAUUAAAAUAAUUUAUAAGAUUUAGUUAAUAAUUAUAAUGAGCUAAAGAUAUUUAAGUAAUAUUACGAGUUAAAUAAAUACUCAAAUUAUUAAAAAGUGGCUUAUUUUAUGUGUAAAUUAAUCAAAUUAAACGACUAUAAAGAAAUAAAAUAAAAGAAAAGGUAAAGUAUAUAUAAUAUGGCCAGGGUUAAUAAUGAAUUGAGUAUAAAAGAUCAGGGACUAUAACUGUAAAUUGGAAUUCAAUCGGUGAAUUGAAUUCUAUAAGCUCGUUACCACUGAUAAUAAAUUUGUUUUAAUUAAUUCUAUUCGAUUGCCGCAACCUAUGUUCUUCUUAUUCGUUUCCGUUACCAGGCAACUUAUUCGCCUUGCCGAUUACACCUUCUCUUUAGGGUUGCCAUAUUUGUGUCGACCAGAAAAAAAGAGAGAGAAUUGAGUGUGAGAGAGUGUCUGCGUGAGAAGGAAUGAACGAGGCUCACAUCCUACUGCUAUUAGAUCGAAACAAGGUAAGCUCUUGAUCCCGAAAACCUGUCAUGUUUUUUUUGUUCAUCAAUGGCUUAUUGUGAAUAUCUUGCUGCCAAAAUACUUGUUUUUAGAAGCCACACAAACCCGUGAACUACUUCAAUUCAUCUCUGUCAAGCCUUAGGGAUGAAGCACCCAUGUUUGAGUCGUGUCGGGCUUAGUCGAGACAACCCCAUAAGCCAUCAGAACACCAGAAUCACAUUUUGGAAUGGUGUCUUCUCUAAAGCGUAGCCUCAAGUCCCUUAGACGCUUUGUUAAGGCUUUGAAACAGAAGCAGGGGAAGCUAUAUGUGUUCUUUCGCAAUUUUAAUGCAUGCCUCUGAAUUGCUACCGGACAAUCAAAAUAGACUAAUGCUUGAUGGAAUAUGAUAGUUACAGACAUAAUGGUUGUAUAGUUUCACUAAUGACUAAUUCAUAUCUAGACUUAGCUAUUUAAAUCAAUAGAAAGAGUCUGGAUAACAUAUUUCAUGAUAAACACUUAAAGAUUAAUUCAUCGUCUUGUGUUAAUGUAUGUAAUUCCAUAAAAGUUAAGAUGUUAAAAAAAUGGAUUGCCUACGUAAUAUUGUCUAAUUAGAAGUCUACUUCACACUAGGGUGUCUUAUAAAUAUAUGAGUGUAAUUUAUAAAAGAGUUUCAGUAUUAUAAAAAGUGAUUUAAUCACUAAUUAUAUGUCAAGGAGCAUGAUAUGAAAUAGUUGAUUAAAAGCAAUUGAUUACAAAUCAGUGUCAUCGGCUAUAAGGCUUCCUUAUGGUUAGUUAACAUUACAUUAUUCAUGAUACAACUUAAUUAUACUAUAGAUUAAAAUUGUCUAUCCUUAGCUACAGUAAAUAUGCUAAGGAUUUGGCAAAAAUGAUCCUCCAUCUAUAUGGGUAUUUAUAAUUCUGGAUCAUUUCUUUUAAGAGGUUAUAAUUUGCUAUUUUCUAUAUUUUGUGUAUACGUGUCGUUCUUUUUACUGAUCAAAGGUUUGAUCGUGUGCGUGUCAUGGACACGCGUUUUUUUCCUGUGUUUAUUAUCGAUCACCCUAUUCUUUUCAUCUGCCCACCGCCCUUACUUCCAACAUAUAUUCCACCGGCUUCCUCAUUCAUUUUUUCAUUAUCCCACCCCUUCAUUGACUAACUUCACCAACUGUGUUAUUCUUUCUUUAAAGAAGCUCAUCGGUUCCUUAUAUGUUUUUUUCAGGGCCUAUGUUUGUUGGAAUCCUUACGCUUGCUGACGUCUUUUGUGAUUAAGGGAUAAUUUUGUUCCUGGUUGCAUAUUUGAGUCUCAGGCACUCACUUCCUUUCUCUUUCUCUGUUUUCUUUCUACUCAUGGCAUCUCUAAUGGCAUUCUAUUACCGUGUUUGUAGGUUUACGCUUCGAAUUGUGUGAUUUUGUAUUUUUCAUUUCCGCUUUCGCUCUUGAAGAUGAGUAGUAGAAAUCGAUUGGAUGGUGAUUACAAAUACCUCUUGUCAUAUCGAUUUGAUUGUAAGUAUCUCACCUCUAAUUUGUUUUCUUUUUUUGGACUUUGUUGUUUUUUCAAAUAACACUUCUUACCUUCUAAAGCUCGGUUUCAUACACUUCUAUCACUUUUCUGUUAUCAAAGCUUCUUGACUAUGGUAAAUAUGGAAAAUCCUGUGACAUGUAUGUUUAUGCCCACAAAGUGUUUGAGGAAAUGCCUUUUGUGUUUAGGUGCCUGAUUGUUAUUCUGUUGAGUGUAUAAUUUCACAAUAUUGCGUAAAUUUUUAUUAUUGAGGCUCAACUGUGUAACUUGAACUGUUUUAUUGUAGUCUUACGGUUCUCUCCGUUCGAGGCAACAUACGACACUCACAUUCCACUACGCUGAAGCAUGAGACUUUCCGAUUUGUUGGUCUUGCCAAGUAGAUUCAGAUAACAUUUUCUUUCCAUAUAUUCUUCUAAAAAGCAGUAAUUUAUGAAAUUCUCAUUCUACAAUCCAGAAAACUGUUAAAAAGGAGCUUGAAAAUCUCCAAAAAGAUUAAUACUUUUAUUGAUUUGGCUAUUACCAGUGCUUUUUCAAGGGAAAUUAAAACAAUCAAAGGGAAUUUUCUACAAAAUACGUAAAUAUGUUAAUAGCUGUGUGUUUUUUAUUUUUUUUUUUGAUAGCUAAUUAGCAUUGAAGUGGUAGAAUGAAUUGGUUAUUAUUUACCCAUAUACCAGAUUAUGUCAUCUCUCUAUAUGUUUGGAAUGUUUGUGGGUUUGAUAUGUUUGCUGCUACUGUCACACCACAGUUGAAAAAACAUAUUUCCCUGCUAAAGGGGUUGUGUAAUUGUGACCAUUUUACAGUUUUGAUUUCAAAAUUAUAUUAAAAAAUUUAAAUUGCAAUCAAACUCAUAACAUGUGCAUGUUUGACUGAUUGAGUUGUCCUACAUCUCAAAAAAUCAGGGAACAAUCGACGGUGUUGACAUUAAGCCAACUUCAAAUUCGUGGGUCACAGUAACUGGAGGUAAUUUUCUUUCUUGAAUGCUUUUGGUUCACCUGUCAAUUUUAGUAUUUAUUUGAAGUAUAAUUUGUGUUUUGUAAUGUAAUAAUAUACUCUCACACAGAAGUUUUUAAAGCAGUGCUAUAUAGGAAAAAAUUAUUAAACUUCUACAAAGGGCAUUAGCAAAGUUAUGGGAUAAAACUUUAAACGGCCUAAAACAUUAACAAACUGUGAAACAGGGAAGACAAAAUUCAAUGGUUUUUAAAGAUUUUUGUUUUUUGGUUGUCUACGUUAACGAUCCUGCUGUUAAAAUGUUAUGAUUAUGACUAUUUUGUCCUUCCUUUCAUUACUUUCUGAAGGUGGUAAAGAAAAGGGAUAUAAUCCAAGGGUAAAAUGGUCAAUUUACAAAUUUCACAGCUGUGAUGUUAAGUUAGAUGGCCUAGGGAUGAAACACAUUACCAAACAGUGACAUAUGAAAUUUUUGUACGACGUUAAAGUUUCAUAUCUAUAUUUCAAAAAAAAAAUUCAUUUGCAAUUUUCAUCUGUAGUUCCCUGUUUUUGACUAUUUAUUGCCUCUUUUAUAUUGUGAAAAUUAUGUUUGGGUUGUUGUUUAUGAGGUAAUUGGUAUUGAUGUCAAUACAUAACUUUCAAAAGUGUUAUCUGCCAUACAGGAGAAUUUGGGAAAACAAGCACAUAAGCAAGAAAAAAGAAGGGAAGGUCAUAAUGUAAAAAGAGAAGGUUAUGACGAUGAGAAUUUAAUUUUGCACCUUCAACUUUAGUCACUUUCAUCAUUUUUAAUGACUCAUAGUUUCUUGCCAUUCUCAGUCUAUUUUGAUUUUUAGAUAAACUUAUUUUAUUGAAAACUUUUUUGUAUUAUCAAGGAACAUCAUUCGAUAUCUCAACUGAAAAUUAUGAUAACAACAUUACUAGAUGAGGUUGUUUAUGAAUUUUUAGCUAUAUAUUUUGCUGCUAAAAAAAAGAUAAGAAUACCUUGACAUUCUGACCCUCGCGAAGCGAGGCUCACCCUCUAGUUAAUAUUAAACCAAGGUGAUUUGUAAUUUAUAAACUACGAUAGACUUAUCUAAUCAAUUAAUAUGACAUAAACUAAAUAUAGUUUAAUAUUAAUCAUGUUUAUCUUAGCCUAAACUAAAUAAAUAUAUACUUUUUGUUUAGGUAUUUGUUGAGUAAAAGAGCUACGAAUUCACGUUUUGAAGUGAUUUCACUACCGAACUAAAGGUGAGUCAAUAGACUUUUCAUAAACCCUAUAUAUAGUCGAAAACUACUUUCCGAAAAUGGCUCGAUUAGUCAAAUUAGAAUAUUAUUAAUUGUUGAUAUUAUGCCUAUAUGUGCAGUAUGAGAUAUGCCAUUGUUUUGCUUUCUGUGACAUUUACAUGCUUAGUAAAUUUGGUUUAUAUGUCUAUCUUGGUACUUGAUACGAUUAAUUGCAACUAUGAUAUGCUAUAUGAAAUGUUUGAUAUUUGACUAUGACCUUGUUGAGUAUCUUUUAGUAUAAACUAGGUUACAACCCGUGGAAACCAUGGGUAAAAAAUUUAAAAACAAAUUUAUAUUAUUAAUAAGAGUUAAGAUUGUCAAUCCUUUUGUAUUGAUUAUUUAAAAUUAAAAUUAAUACAAAUUUGUAAAAAAGUAUAUAAAUUUGAAUAUAUGUUAAAUAGAAACGCAAUCAAUCCAUCGAAAGUUAAAUAUGAAUAUAACUAAAAUGCAUCUUUGAAUAUGUGAAUGAUUUAUGAAGUGUGAGGGCAAAUCAUUAUUUUUUGUAAUGAGGGAGCAAUCAAGAAACACCAUGUGGCGUCUAUUAAAGUCUGAAAAUCAAAUAUCGAAACGAACUGAAUAUUAUGGAUUACAAUUACAAUGCUAUAUAAAGAAUAAAUUAUUUAAAAAAAAAAUGUUACAAAAAAUAGAAAAAAACACAAUUGUUAGAAGUUAAUGGGUACGAAGCAUUUAUAAAUUCCUAAAAACUUCCUUAUACACAACAUUUGAAGUUUUGUUUGUAAGUCUACCAUCCUUAUCUAAAAUUAACAAUUUCAAUCCUUCUCUACUUUGAACUCUAGAUAAGGCAACAUACUGUUGUCCAUCUGAAAAAAGGAUCCUUGAGAUACAGACCAACCUUUAAUAACGACUGGCCCUGACUUUUAUUAAUUGUCAUUGCAAAACAUACAGCCAAUGGAAAUUGUCUUCUUUGAAAUUUGAAUGGAAUUUUCUUUCCAGAUGGACUUAAAGACAUUCUUGGAAUAAAUGUUUGCUUUCCAAUAUUAGUUCCAGAUAUGAUAAUUGCCUCAAUAACACGUUUGCCCAGAGAUUUCACUUGUAGUCUAGUGUCGUUUCAUAAUCCAUUUUUCUGAUCAAUGUUUCUUAGUAACAUAACUGGAACACCGACUUUUAGAAUUAACUUGUGAUUUGGCAAACCUGAUACUUUAAGACCAUUUAAAAUAUCCUGGGAGUAUAAAUUGGGAUCAAACUGAUCAUGAACAAACUCUGAUUGGCAAAGAGUAUCUGAACUUAAAUAUUCUACUUCAUCUUCGGGAAACAAUGCUAGCAAACGAUCAUUGAUUUGUUGGACAACUUCAUUUUUUGGAGCUAGUAUAGCUCUUUCUUGAAAAUAACUCGUACCGUUGAAUUUUUCAAAGAUUGAAGGAUAUACAAACUCAAUUAAUGAACCUAUAGGAUCAUGUGGAUCAUUAAUGAGAAUAUCAUUCGGAACAUCAAUAAUCGAUUCACCAUCCUUCAAACCACCAACUUUUCCUUCUCCUAUGUCCAAAAGCCAGUUUGCAAAAUUAUGUAUUUUUUGAAUAUCAUAUGGAUCCUUUCCAACGGUUAGUCUCAUCUUUUUUGUUAAUCUAUGGACUUUGCAUUGUUGCCAUAUAUAUGAAGAGCUUAAAGAAGCAUUAACGAUAUUUUGUCUGCUACCUCCUUGAACAACAGGUAGAAUCUGUCUAAAGUUUCCUCCAAAAACAAUCGCUUUCCCUCCAAAUGGAAUAUUUGAGUUGGUAGACUUAUCAAACUUACAUACAUCUCUCAGAGCUCGAUCUAAAGCUUCAAAUGCAUGUUUGCGGACCAUAGGUGCUUCAUCCCAGAUAAUCGAUGAGCUUUUUCUUACUAAUCUGCUGAGUUCACUAUCAGGCGGUAUCUUACAAACAGAAUACUCCGUAAGAUUCAACGGAAUUAUAAACCGAGAGUGUGCUGUCCUACCUCCAGGCAAUAAUAAAUAUGCAGUACCACUUGAAGCAACAUUUAAAACUAUAUCACCAUUACAUCUAAUUGCUGCAGAUAACGUCUUCCAAAGAAAGGUUUUGCCUGUUCCACCAUAUCCAUAAACAAAAAACACACCUCCUUUAUUAUCAUUGACUAUAGUCAUGAUAUCAAGAAAAAUAUUGCUUUGCUCGUUUGUUAAUGCAUGAAACAUACUAUCAAACUCUUUCUUUAAAAGCGGUAUGUCAUACUCUAGCUCCUCCAUGAUAAAUCGAUUUGUUGAAGAAGAAACUGUAUCGAAAUCAGGGUAAGGCCUUUGUUUAUAAUUUUUAAGACUGGUGUUGUUAUGAAGUAAAAUCUGUUCGAUCUCGAACAAAGUCAGGUUUUUGAGUUGAUCCUUAUUGAGUGAUAAACCUGUAUAAAAUGAACAAUAUGUCAAAAAGAAUAUAAUAUUAAACAGUUUAAUGGUAAUAAAAAAAUUAUACCGUGCAUAUUGAUAAUAUAUAGUAUCCGUUUUUACAAAUACUGAUAGGAAAUUAUAAUACCUGGAGACUUUAAUCUACGCUGUUGGUUGUAAAGAAUACCAUCCGACAAGUGUUGCCAUGUAUUUUCCCAAACAAACUCUGGUCUACCCAAACUGUUAGACAUUAACAUCGUAGCAAAUAAGAAACGAAGAUAAAAACCAGUUCCUGAAUGACUUGCUUCCUUAAUUGCAUCAACGUAUUCUUUGUCAUCAUCUAAGAGGCCCAAAGCAUAGCAUGCAUCUCGAAAAGUAGGAAAUUCUUCACCGUUUACCGUGCGAAUUUCUUCAAAUGAUUUUGGACCUUUCACUUUAUUUAAAAGAAUCCGUAAGAAGUAGACUUCGCCAAGUUUAGGUGAAACAGAGUGAAUCCUUCCUAUUGAACGUCCAAUUUUCCUUGGCUUCCACAACUUAUCAUCAGGUUUCCAAACAAACUUUGUAGGAAAUUCAACAUAUGUAAGUUUUCGUGCAUCUUUAUUAAUUUUAUUACAUUCCAUCCAAGAUGUGAACAUAGAAGCAGCAACUGAAGGUUGUUCAAGAACAUCGUCAAUAUCAUCGUCUGCAGCAUAUAUGACUUGUUGUUGAUCAGGAAGAUAAAAAGGUAGUCGCAUCACAGAAGGAUAUCGGUAAUGGACAUCGUAUUUAAAUAUUCGCCAUGAUGCUUCACAUGCAGAUAUAUAUCUACAAUCAUAAUAAUCUUUUAUUUCAUCGACAACCUUUUCGUGAUUAGAAUCAGCGUUGAUGUCAUCAACAAUUAUAGCUCUAUCUGGACCUUUGUUUAUAUAUUUAAACAUAUACUUUAUGGAAGAUCCCUGAUUGCACCAUUCAACAUUAAUGUGUGCCUGAUAUCUUUUCAACAUAUAUUUGUUAUAUGGAACAACAUUUCUGUUGUCUAACUUGACACCUGAUUUUUCGACAAAAUAUCCAUUGUUUCUUCUCAUAUAUAAGGGAUAACCGUUGACAUCAACCGAAGAAUGAUCACAUAAUUGCUUUGGAAAAUUUUUCGAACAUUGCUUGUCAACCAUGCAUGGACAAUUCAUAUUUUCCAGCUCCAUAAGGACCAUGUAUCAUGAAUUCACUUACAAGUGAAUACAAUUCUGGAUCUUCAUUGAUAUUUGGAAUCUCAGCAGAAAUAAUCGGAUCAAUAUAUUCAACAGUAGGCCGCUUGGAGUCGGCAUGCAUAAACAAACAAAUAUGACUAUGUGGCAAACCUCUUUUUUGAAAUUCAAUUGUAUAGACCACUGCAAAUUAAUUUUAUAAAUAAGAUAAUCUUUGUACUGGAUGAAAUAUAUUUGCAAAUAACAAAAAAUAUUAAGAAACUAAAUAAUCAUUAUAAAAAAAUAUUAGAAAUAAAUACAACUUUUAAUACCUCCUUGUACAAUGUCGAAAAUUUUAUUUUCCCGUAUGUCUUUAAUCAAAGCAUCGAGAUUUAUUUUGAAUAACCUACAUAAGAUAUCAGGUCAAUCUUCUGGAUGUAGUGAAGUGUUAUGAAGAAACCUUUUAACUUUAGGCCAUUUUGGAUUACAUGUAAAGGUUAUGAAGAAAUCAUGAUAUCCAAUCCAUUUACAUAAGGACAUGGCAUCAAGGUAGUUUUACAUCAUAUAACGUGCACCACCAGUGAAUGAAGAAGGUAAGAUUACACGUUGUCCAACAUUGGAUAUAUCUUUAUUCCCUAGGUCUUGUUGAUUACGUAAAUUUUCAUAAGACUCACAUCUAAGAAUUUGUUGUUUGCUCCUUAUGAAAUGUAAUCUCUCACUUUCAAUCAUAGUAUAAGCAUCAACCAAAAACUGUUGGAACAACCUUUUUGAAUUAAUAAUUAGUGAAAAAUAUUGAUCCCUGUCUUGUAUUCUAUAAGAAAAAAAUUCUCUCAUUGUACAGUUGGGCCUCUUGCUGUUGCUUAUUGGUGUAAUACCUCGAUGUGGUAUGUCAACCCUAUAACCAUCAUCACCAUAUGGAAACAGUAGUGGAUUCUGAAAGAGGAAGGUAUGAUGGAUGUAAUUUACUAAUACGCCGUAGAGAACCUGAUGAAGUUUGAACAACAAUAUAUCUUUUAUCAAUUGAAUCACCAAUAUCUCAAAUAAUUAAAGCGGCAACCUCAGAAGCAGAUGGUAGGUUGUAUAUCCUUCCAUCUUGGUCCCUGAUUCCAAUAAGUCUCAACUUGAUAUCAACAUGAGGUUUUUGAUGAAAACAAUCCCUAACCAUUCUAUAAGACUGAACCAAGACAUUAUUUGAAUCCAACAUCAACUUCAAAUCUUGUAUAAUAUCAUUAUCAAGGACAGAAGAAUUUGAUGUAGAUCGUUGAUUCUCUCCACUACAAGUAACAUGAACAUAUAAACAUAAGAUAAAUAAAUAAUAUAAUGUUGAUGAAUAAGAUAUCUAUUAAUGUGAUAAUUGUGAAAAGUGUACCCAAAACAUGUUCGUCUAUUCGCGAUCUCAUUAUCAGUAUCGUAUAUGUACAACUGAGAGAAUUUUGGUUUUAACCCCUGUUCCGGUAAAAGGCUUCCGAUACUAUGAUAAUUUUGACCGCUAAGUCUAAAAAUGUAUGGAGCAUUUCCUCUAUUGAUUGAGGAAUCAAUCUUUCCACCCAUUGACGUAAAAGAAAACAUAGAAUUGUAAGAACGAAUGUUCUUCAUGAAGUGUUUGCUUUUAGAAUCUCCCGAUGUAAAAAGAUGAACAUAACUUGAAGGUGAAUUCUUUAAAGCUGGUAGUUCUACUUUGCCAUAACCACAACAUAAACAAUAAUUUUGAUUCGACUUUUUUUUUUUUACAUCUGAUAGAUUCAUCUUUCCAUAAUUUUGCAAAACAUGUUUGGUAUACAACAAUCUGAUCACCAUGAUCCAAAUAAUCUGUCAAUUAAGGUUGACAUAAAAAUGUUAAUCAUGUAAGUUUAUAUAAGUGAAAAAUAUUGAAUGAACAAAUGUAAAUAUUAUAUUUUUAUCAAAAUUACCUUUUGAUAUACCGUUGUAUAUGUUUUGAUCAUUUUGGCCAUCGAUUUUGUCUUGAUCGGAUCUCAGACCAAAUAUUGGAAUAGGAGUUAAAUUUGGCAUUUUUUUCUUUGCUUUAUUAUUUGGAUUAGUUAACAUGACUGAAGACGAUUUUGAUGUUAUUGUAGAUGAUUUGUCGGAUGUGUCGCCAUUUGAAAAUACAGAGAAUUGUCUAAUAUUUGUUAACGGCGAUUGACAACUAUUAUUGAAAAUAUCCAUGGCUGGGGGAAAAAUUGAAAGUAUGCAUUGUUAAAUAUGAUACAAUAAUAAUAUAUAUUAUAAAAUAAAAUGGUAAAAUAAAUGAGUUACCGUUGGAAAUGUUAGAUAACGGAGUUCUAACAUUUAAAUGUGAAGGAGGAGUUUGUAACAUUGCUUGUUUUGUUAUAUAUGCACUUGUUUUAGAUCAGAAUGUGCUUUUAUUUCGAUGUACAACUCCUUUGAAUUCAUAUACAAAAAAAUGGUUAUGAGAAAUGUAAAAUUGUUUAAUAAUUAUUUUAAUAUUAUAUAAAUAUGAAUAUUGAUAAAGAGAUUAUAUAAAAAGACGAUGAUGUAAUAAAUUUUAUUACAUAUAUUUAAAAAAAACUUAAAAAGUUUAAAAGCAAUCAAGUAUGUUACCGUUUGAAUCCAAUCUGAUGUUUGGUAACGGUGUCUGAAAACUGUUAUUUGGAAUAUCGAUGACUGAGAAAAGAAGAUUGAAAUGUACAUUAUCAAAUAUGAUACAAUAACAACAUAUAUUAUAAAGUAAUAUGGAAAAAUAUAUGAAUUACCAUUGGAAAUGUUAGAUAACGGAGUUCUAACAUUUAAAUGUGAAGGAGGAGUACGUAACAUUGGUUGUUUUGACAUAUUUGUUGUUGAUGUAGAUGUGGAUACGCUUUUAUUUCGAUGGACAACUCCUUUGAAUUUGAUUGGAAAAAAAAUCUUAUAAGAAAUGGAUAAAUUUUAAAUAAUCUUGUAAAUUUUUAAAUAGUAUAUGAAUAUUAAUAAUGAUAAAUAGAUUAUAUAAAAAAAUGUGGAUGACAGAAUUUUUAUUUUACAAAUUUAAAAUAGAAAAAAAAAGUGUAUAAGCAAUCAAGUAUGUUACCGUUUGAAUCCAAUCUGAUGUUUGGUAACGGUGAUUGAAAACUGUUAUUGGAAAUAUCCAUGACCGGGAAAAGAAGAUUGAAGGUAUACAUUAUUAAAUAUGAUAAAAUAAUAAUAUAUAUUAUAAAAUAAAAUGGUAAGAUAAAUGAGUUACCAUUUGAAAUGUUAGAUAACGAAGUUCUAACAUUUAGACGUGAAGGAGAAGUUUGGAAAUUUGAUUUUUUUGACACAUUGGCACUUGAUGUAGAUGCGGAUAGGUUUUUAUUUCAAUGCACAAUUCCUUUGAAUUUGUCUGCAAAUAAAAAAAUUGUUAUAACAAAUGGAUAAAUUUUAAAUAAUAAUGUAAUUUUUCAAAUAUUCUAUGAAUAUUAAUAUACAAAAUACAUGACACAAAAAAUGAGCAUGUAAGAAUUUUCAUUUUACAUAUUUAAAUAAAGAAUAAAGAAUAAAAGUGUAUAACCAAUUAAGUAAAUUACCAUUUCCCUUCAUUUUAAAAAGAUGUGAUGUUGAUGAAGUUGUAUGAAUUCAUUCGGUCAUAACUUUUUUUUUAUUGUCCAAGUAUAAUUUUCUUAUUUUUCUUUUUUCUGUAGCCUGAACAUGAUAGAUGUUCCUAUUUGAAUCUGUAUAAGCAUAUAUACACACAUAAAAUAGUUAUAUUCAGAUUAAAAACAUUGAUAAAGAAAGUUGUAAAAUAUAUAAUGAACGUACUGUUAUCACCUGGGUUAGUAACAUUUGUAGAAGAUGGAAUUCGACCGACUGAUGUAGUGUACAAAGGUAAUUGUUUUGUAUUAUCCAGAUAGAAAUUAUUUAAUUUUAUCUUCUUAUUAGUCUUAAAAGAGUCCAUGUUAGUAGCUGCUAUCUGAAAUGGAAAAAGAAAUAUAACUUUAUACAAAAACAUUAUAUAUUGAAAAUUAUUUUCAAAUUUAAGAAUAAAUAAAUAAAUAUUUCAAAUUUAAAAUAGUAUGCAAUAAACCCAAAGAAAAGAAAGUAUUAUGUAUUAUUGAUGUGCACAAAAGUACCCACUAAUUUUAAUAUUUAUAACCUAACAAACUUAGAAUAACUAUGCACUUAUAGGCAGUGUACCUAGUCAGAUUACAAUAUAGCUUAGGUAAGUCGGGUGUCGAUCACAGGGAACGGUGGUGAAUUAAUUUAAUAUAUUUGAUUAUAGGUUACAGGUCACAUGAAAAGAAUAAAGAAAUAGUUUAAUAAAUCUCAAACUAACAAUUAAUUAACAACUUUGGAUAAACUAACUGGAAAGCAAAUCUCUUCAGGUACUUUGGUUUAGAUAAAUUACACCUUAAAAAACAUAGACAAUUGUAUACACAAGUUCAUUUAUUCAUGUUCACCGAUUCCUAAAAUGAUUAGAUUCGCGUUCACUAUAACUAAUCCUUUAGCAAACAAGUCAAUUCAAACAGUGAUCAGUUGAUUAAACUAACAUGCUUCCUAGUGUUCAGUUCGUAUCAAGCAAGACUUGUAAAUAUAGUUAAUCAAAUUACUAAUUCAAUUUAACCUCUUGUUGAUGGUCAUCAAACAAGGCUCACACAUUAACUUACUUAUUCCCAAGUUAAUCCUAGUUUCACAUUCGUUAUUCCUAGACUUAUAAUCUCGAUGGUCAUCAAAAUCAUAAGAGACAAGCAAUCAAACAGAUGUUCAUAUAACUCAAUUUACUUAACAAUUAACAUCAAAUAAUUAUCAUUAAUACGUAAGGAUCUUUUAACAAGCUUGGCAAGAUAAAUUAAACAUAAACAAACAAUUCAAUAUAGCAAUUAGUCUAAUAAUCAAGGUUUCAUUCAAUCAUAAACACAAAGUAAAAGGUUUUUACACCCAAAUCAGAAACUAAAUACAGAAUAGUAACACAAUGGAAUGCUAAACAUGGUCACGUUAACAACCCAUAUGAUUACCGACAUGUAUCCACUCUCCAACCCUUCCGAUCUUCACUCCUGUUAGCUUAACGGCCUUCCGGCCGCCUUCUAGACCCUCAAAACGGCUUAACAGAAGUUUAAUAUCGACUAAAUUAGGUUGGAAGUCGAAUCCCCCCUUCUGGUUAGCUGAUAAUCGACUUUUAUAACCUUUGUAACCGACUUACGUACGCUGGGCGUACUAAGGGUUUAUACGCGAUUGGAGUUAUCCGAUGCCAGCCGUUACGUGGGGCAUACACAAGAAUUACGCUGGGCGUAACUCGUCUUAGCCAUUACGCUUGGCGUACAAGUAAAUUACGCGGGGUGUAAUCGUUCCUCCAGCAUUUUCCUUUCUUUUAGCCUCUAAGCCUGAUUUCCGCUUCAGUCUUUUCUUUUGUGCUUUAUCGACAACGAAUAGCUGCAAAUCAUAAUUUAAAGCAUUAUGAGUACUUUUUAGUUCUAAAAGAGAAUAAUAAAGGCCAAAAUAUUAAGAUAUAAUGCAUAAAAAUAUAUAUAAAAAUACACAUAUCCAAAUACCCCACACUUAGUCUUUGCUUGCCCCCAAGCAAAUUUUAAUUUUAUUUUACCAUUAUCGCAUUAAACAAUCCAUUUAAAACUCAACCAUUAUGCCAAGACCUCAACGCAUGCAUUUGUGUCUAAAAUUUUCCUAAAAUACCCCCCUACUUUAAAUACUCACAAUCUUCAUAAACACUUGCCCACUUUUUACGAACAAUGCUCAUUUUAUGCAACCCUCCGAAUCCAUCCGCAGAAAACCUCCUUAUCCUCAAGGUAUUUUCCUUGAUAAUUUGAUCUUUGAUUUCUUUGAAUUCACCAUCUUAUUUGAAUUGAUUUCUGGUAUCUUCAACUUUUUUGAAUUUCUUGGAAUUUUGAUCUAAUUCUUCACUUUAUUCGCUCCAAAAUUCUUCAAACUUUUCUUGCAAUUCUUUUUUUUUUUCUUUUAACAUGUACCUCACUUUUUUCACUCAAAACCUACAAGCUUAAGCAGAGGCGCUCAACCUCAACCUUUAUCGGUUAACGAUAAUAAUUUUCCUGGAUACAUUUCAGGUUUAGGCUGCUAAACAUAUUGCAUCCCUCAAACCAAGCGGGGUUAUGUUUUUGUUCCAUGAUUUCACUAAAAUAAGGGAGGCCACAAAUGCACUAUAACGUAUAUUGGCUCAACUAAACAUUUGAGUUCUCAUCGGAUCAUCUCAUACAAUAUUAGCAAAAUUUAAAUUAUCACUAGAUUUUUCUAAAUUAAACUAUUAUUUCAAGUUUUAAAAUUUUUAAAUUUCCUAAAUCUAGCAAUUUCCUAACUAUUAUUUUAUUUUUAUAAUUUACUAUUACCGACCCCCUACCCCACACUUAUUUCAUACAAUGCCCUCAUUGUAUGCUAAAACGAAUUAAGAACAUAAAAAGGGAGAAAAAGGAACAGACUCCCCUGGGUAGUUGUGGCGAGAUCGAAUGGGGCUGCUACAAGUUGCUCCAAAUAUCGCUGAAAGACUGAAAACUGAACUGCUGCUUCUGAAUUUGUCGAAAAAUAAAAUCAAGACUGCCGACUUCAAAAAAUGUGGUGCACAAUAUUGCAAGUAAAUGCAAUGUGUAGUAACCAUGACGUGGGAAAGUGUUGACCACAUCAUGUCUUCAAAAAUGACAUCCUCUUCUCGCGAUGAAAAAUCCUCCACAGCAUAGGAAAGUGUCAGCCAUGUCGUGGCAGCCGGGAUGAUACGUCUUCCUCGCGUCAAAAUAGAACUCUAUGGUGUGGGAACAGCUCAUCAUACCAUAAAAGGUAAAAUAUCGUAAAAAUGCCAAUCGUCUAAAUGAACGCUCACGAAAUCAAUAUGCACCCCACACUUAUGACAAAUUGUGGGUCUUGACUAUACUUUUCGAACUCUCACACGACUCUCUCUAGCAACAGUCGGACCUAGCUGCUAAACUUACUGCCAGCUUUCUAAGGGCGAAAAUUCUGCAGAGAUCUAAACAACCAAAGAGCAUCAACAUGGAAAACAAAAAUAGAACAUCCUAAAUUAAAGUUUAAUUACAUACCAAAUAAAAAACUAAAACUAGAAACACAAAAAUAAACUAAAAAUAACAUAAAAAUAAAAAGGAUAACUAAAUCACUCAUCAUCUCCAUCAUCAUGCUGCUGUGUCCCAGAAGUACCGGCCCCAUCAUGUCGUGGCCGGAAUGGUGGAGGGUAAGGAACCGAGUACUGAAACCCCUAGUGGGAAAAGAAUACGGUCAACGCAUCCCCAUACCACUAUUGUUGCCUGUCCACAUGUGCAACAUACUCACUAAGGUUCUGAACCCUCAUGUCAAGACAGUCAAUGCCCUGAGCUAGGUAGCGCAUAUCAAUCUUCGGCUCAGGUCCCUGUUGCGCUCCCCGAGGAGCAGGUCUACGCUGCUGGACCCGUCUCGGCUGUGGCUCGGCAGCACCCUCCUCGUCCGCCACAUCAUCUGCUCGUACNNNNNNNNNNNNNNNNNNNNNNNNNNNNNNNNNNNNNNNNNNNNNNNNNNNNNNNNNNNNNNNNNNNNNNNNNNNNNNNUGAUCUCUCGUUAACAACUGAUAUGAUCGGGCUAGUCGCGUGAUAAAAUGCCCUCUGCACAUCGGGCUAUCCUCCCGAAGUCCCCUGGCCCUCUGUCCCAAAUAUGCAGCUAAAGCAACUGGAAGGUUCAGGUGCCUCCCUGGAGUAACAAGUGCCCAUAGGAAAUACAAGUCUAUCGAAGGCACUCUCUCACUAUUCUUAUGAUGCGUGAGAGUCAUGGAAAUCAACCGGUGCAACAGUCUAUAUGUAGUAGACCGAAUCAUCCUACCCCGUGCAGUAGAUGGCGUAUAAACUCCCCCUGUAAUCUCAGCCCAAAAAGUGUGCUCAUUAUAUUCAUCUGGCCGCUCCGUGAGACAAUCAGCAAGGAAUGUCGGGAAGUGGACACUCCUCGUCUCAUCUGCUGUGUAUAUACCCACUCAAGUCGCAAGCUCUAUGACACUGCACUCCCGACUCACACCCCCCAGUCUAAAGGCAAAAGUUGUCCUAUCAUCGGGUGCCUUCCUAGGAUCAUAGGAAACUGUAGCGUAAAACUCCAACAAAAAUUCCCGAUAAACAGGCUCCUGGAUCCUGAACAAUCGUGCCCACCCCUGCCAUACGAACAAUUCCACUCCAAUCGCGUCCGAGUGCGUGUAUUGCAAAAAAAUCCUGGAUCAGUGUAGCAAGUCCAGUCCAGGUCGCCAAUUCCCAGUCGAAUGAUGGUGCUAUGUCGAUCUCCUUGGUGAGCAGCAAACUCAAACUGUUGACAUAUCGUGCCCGGGUUGCAUCGUUCAGAGUUUGCGGAAAUUGUAAGAAACGNUCAGAGUUUGGGAAAUUGUAAGAAACGGUGAUCGGUCACAUCCUCGGGUGGGUUGGUCCUUUGAGUUCUUCGGGCCAUAAUCUGCACACAUAAACACAAAACCAAACAAAAUAUAACAGCAUUAAAAAAAUUUUAAACCAAAAAAAAAUGGUGCUGGAUAUGGACUGUACGCUGGGCGUACGUCCAGGUUCCACGAAUAUGUGUUCUGCUUCCUUUUCUUGUGCUAAAGUUAUAACCCAUAUCAAAAAAUUUCAAAUUAACCAACUGCAAGCAAUAAACACAGCAGGGCAAACACAUGGGGCAUAUCGAGCUUCGUGGUCCAAGACAGUAGAAAAACGGGACCACUCUAAAAAAUAUGAACCAUUCUCCUGUUCGUUCCUUAUCUUAUCAAGAUUAGAAAGCACUACAAAAGAAAAACUUCAUUGGGGCAGUCAAGAAUCGAAGUCAACAGGGUUACGCUUAGCGUCCGUCCCCGAGCUCAAAAUGAUGGGUCUAUCACGGGAUUAAGACCAAAUUAGGUACUAGGGUUUAGUCCAUUGAUGGAAAUCGGUCUUUUUAAGUCCUAAUCAAAACAUACAAUUAUGAAAUCGGCCCUAAUUCAAGAACCCUAUAAACCCUAGAUUUCGAACAAAGGCAUUUUGCAGCUUAUUCCAUCGAUUUAAACACAAAUCCAAAACAUUGAGUAACCGAAAAACUUACCUGUGUGCUGAAUUUUACAAGAAAAGAAGCAAAAUUGAAAAUCCUUGGGAGAGCUUGCCGUCACAGUUCGUGUGUGCGAAGGAAAGGAUUUUGAAAAAGUAACAAAAAAGUCAAGGGUCAAAAGAUAUAACCUGGUCACCGAUUUACGCUGGGCGUAAAACAAGGUUACGCUGGGCGUAACUCCAACUCCAUGAAAAGUCCAUCCGCGAUCCGGGGUUUAUUACGCUUGGCGUAAUUAAAAUUACGCUGGGCGUAAUGAAGUAUUCCUUUUCUUUAACUGAAAUUUCUUUUCUUUUAACUAUUUAAUUAAGGGACUAAAAACUUAAUUAUUUUUCUUUUUAAUUUCUUCAGCAACUGAUGACUUUCCGAUGAGUAAAAAAAAUGAGACGUCAUAAUCACUUAUCUUUGUCAAGAUCAAACAACAAUGGUUGAUUAAAAACCUUUGCACGCAAGAAUUGGUUUGCGAAAACACCCACUUUCGGGACCCGUUAGAAUAUUUCCUUUGUUUUCUUUGCACCUUUAACUAAAAGCGGAACAAGAAGUGACCUAACUAGUCAAGAACAGCAAGAGUUCGGUCUUCCACUUAACCACCACAAUACGCCUUACUAUACUACGCCUCAUGGAUUGAGUUGGACAAAUCAACAAAGUAGUAAGCCAACCAGGUCAAGAAUUUCCUAAUCGCUUGGAUUCUCGAAACCCAUGCAAAAAGUAAAGUCAAGCAAUGUGUACAAUCCCAAAUUCCUGCAAUUAACAACAAGAACCUUCCCGACAAGUGAAAUGAUAUCAACGAAAACCAAACUAAAAAUAAAAACUAACUAAAAACAAAUAACGAAUAAUCAAAAAAACUAAAUUAAUGACAAGCUGUUCCCGGCAACAGCGCCAAAAACUUGAUGUGCACAAAAGUACCCACUAAUUUUAAUAUUUAUAACCUAACAAACUUAGACUAUCUAUGCACUUAUAGGCAGUGUACCUAGUCAGAUUACAGUAUAGCUUAGGUAAGUCGGGUGUCGAUCACAGGGAACGGUGGUGAAUUAAUUUAAAAUAUUUGAUUAUAGGUUACAGGUCACAUGAAAAGAAUAAAGAAAUAGUUUAAUAAAUCUCAAACUAACAAUUAAUUAACAACUUUCGAUAAACUAACAGGAAAGAAAAUCUCUUCAGGUACUUUGGUUUAGAUAAAUUACGCCUUAAAAAACAUAGACAAUUGUAUACACAACUUCAUUUAUUCAUGUUCACCGAUUCCUAAAAUGAUUAGAUUCGUGUUCACUAUAACUAAUCCUUUAGCAAACAAGUCAAUUCAAACAGUGAUCAGUUGAUUAAACUAACAUGCUUCCUAGUGUUCAGUUCGUAUCAAGCAAGACUUGUAAAUAUAGUUAAUCAAAUUACUAAUUCAAUUUAACCUCUUGUUGAUGGUCAUCAAACAAGGCUCACACAUUAACUUACUUAUUCCCAAGUUAAUCCUAGUUUUACAUUCGUUAAUCCUAGACUUCUAAUCUCGAUGGUCAUCAAAAUCAUAAGCGACAAGCAAUCAAGCAGAUGUUCAUACAACUCAAUUUACUUAAUAAUUAACAGCAAAUAAUUAUCAUUAAUACGUAAGGAUCUUUUAACAAGCUUGGCAAGAUAAAUUAAACAUAAACAAACAAUUCAAUAUAGCAAUUAGUCUAAUAAUCAAGGUUUCAUUCAAUCAUAAACGCAAAGUAAAAGGUUUUUACACCCAAAUCAGAAACUAAAUACAGAAUAGUAACACAAUGGAAUGCUAAACAUGGUCACGUUAACAACCCAUAUGAUUACCGACAUGUAUCCGCUCUCCAACCCUUCCGAUCUUCGCUCCCGUUAGCUUAACGGCCUUCCGACCACCUUCUAGACCCUCAAAACGGCUUAAAAGAAGUUUAAUAUCGACUAAAUUAGGUUGGAAGUCGAAUCCCCCCUUCUGGUUAGCUGAUAAUCGACUUUUAUAACCUUUGUAACUGACUUACGUAUGCUGGGCGUAAGUCGGAUUACGCUGGGCGUACUAAGGAUUUAUACGCGAUUGGAGUUAUCCGAUGCCAGCCAUUACGCGGGGCGUACACAAGAAUUACGCUGGGCGUAACUCGUCUUAGCCAUUACGCUUGGCGUACAAGUAAAUUACGUGGGGCAUAAUCGUUCCUCCAACAUUUUCCUUUCUUUUAGCCUCUAAGCCCGAUUUCUGCUUCAGUCUUUUCUUUUGUGCUUUAUCGACAACGAAUAGCUGCAAAUCAUAAUUUAAAGCAUUGUGAGUACUUUUUCGUUCUAAAAGAGAAUAAUAAAGGCCAAAAUAUUAAGAUAUAAUGCAUAAAAAUAUAUAUAAAAAUACACAUAUCAAUUAUGUAUUAUCAAUAUUAAUUUUUCUUCAAAAUAAGUUGAAUAUAUCAAGAUAAAAAGUAUAUUCAAACUAAGAAAAUAAACCAGAAACACACAUACAAUAUUUUUGAACAACAAAAGCAUAAAAGUACAUACAAAAAAUAUAAAGACAAAGAAUUUACCAUUAUGUCCCUAGAGUACUAAUAAUGAGAAGAACAAAGAGAAACUGAAAUAUAAAUUUAUAUAGUUGCACUCAUGAAUGACUAAAAUAACACGAAAUGUAUUAAUUGUCAAUGUGGUUGAGCGCAAAUUACCAUUAUGUCCCUGGAGUACUAAUAAUAAAAACAAAAAUUAUAAAAUCCUUAAAAUAGUUCUAUAGAUGGUAUACUGGUAAUUAAAACAAUCAGUUUUUCCACAUGCCUCUUAAAAAAUCAUUUACAACCAUAAAUAAGUUUACCAAUAUACCCGUAACACAUUAAUUUUGUAUAUGUAAUAUGUAAGAUAUGAGAUAUAUGUGGCGAGGGCAUUUUCGUCCUUUAAACAUACUUAUAACAAUUAACAAACCUCAUGAUACAUUAUAACAGUGGAUAAUGGAUCGACAUACAUAUAUACUUUUCCUUUUAAUGAAGAGGCGUGAAAUAUGCAAUUGACAGAAAUGCCCCUUCUACAAGACACACCUAUUUAAAUUGCAUAAAACCACACCGCUUAACCUAUUUAUUCAUAUUUGAUGUUAGAGUUCUAUAAUUACCAAGGUGUUUUUAUCUUUUACUUAAUAGAAAUAUGUCUCGAUCAAGUAAGUUCAGGUAUAUGUUUUUUUUAUCUAAUGCAAAUAUAAUGACAUAAUAAGUAAAAUAAGAGAAAAACUACAAAAUAUUGGGUAAAAUUAAAAAACGAGCCACACCCUUUAAACAAACCAUCAUUGGGUUAUCAAAAUCAGUAACAUGAAUGUAGUCACUAUAAAUUAUAUGCAAAUAGGUAUACAUGAGAAAUAGCUAAAAUGAAAAAUGAUAACUACCUCCACCUUAUAGUUUAUAAAAAAUAAGGCAAACACCUUAACUACAUGCAUAGAUACUCUACUCCCAAUACUAAAGAAAUUAGUCUACAAAUGGCUUUAGUUAAUAUGUUUUUGGUUUAAACCGGUUCAGAUCAAUGACAAAAAAAUAUAAUUAUAGUAAAACAUGACAGAAAUGCCCCUUAAUUCAAAAUGGGACCAAUCAAUCAAGUAAUACAAAAUACAAUCACGUAAUACCUAAGCAGAGAAAAUAUAACACAAAAAACAGAAAAAAAAUUUAUUUCUAUAAAACAUGACAGAAAUACCCCCGAACUAAAAAAAUAAAAAUAAUCAAAAUUACAUUUCUAUUCGUAUGAGUUUGACGGUACUUUUAGGUUUCUUUGUGUAAUCCGUCAAUGAAUCUGGCCUAUGAGUUUGACGGUACUUUUAGGUUUCUUUGUGUAAUCCGUCAAUGAAUCUGGCCUAUAAACAUGACCUGAACCAAUUUUUUUACUUGGUGAACCAAUUUAAUAGAAAAAAAAAUUUGUUCUAAUUACCAUUCUACCAUUUGUAACUUGGGAAUGAUUAAUUAACAUACAAAGGUGAAUUUUCUCUACCUGCUGCCUUACGUUCAAAAUGACAAAAUUGUAUUGGUAAACAUGAACCAAAAUGGACAAAGGUUUCAAUUUUGGACAAACACAGUAAAAAUAUGAACCAAAACAAUAAACAUUGAUAUAAUUUUGCGAUGGUAUUAUCUCCAAAAGAAUAAAAAAUUUCAAUUUUGCGAUGAUAUAGUUUCAAUUUUGCGAAGAAGCAACGUAAGCAGUAAACCAGAUUGCGGUGAGAGAGAGAGAGAGAGGGCCUGCCGCCUGCGAUUGGUAAUUUGUGAUGGUAUCUCUCGACCGAGAAAGGGGAGCGAUUGAUGAACAGAACCAUAUUAAGAGGAAUUAUGAUUGUCAAAUAAGUUUUUGAUCGUUCUUUUGAUCGUUGUUAUUUAGGACAAUAUCUCAUAGUGAAAUACGAAUAAGGUAUCAGUUAAAGUGUCACACACACGCAUACACAUUAAGAAGCAUAAAUAACUUUCAAUUUUGCGAUUAACACAGACAUUGAGAAGCAGGGGCUUACAUAUACACAAUGAGAAGCAGAAUUGAGAAGCAGAAACUUACCGAAGGAUUGAAGUCGUUGACACAGACUCCAAUAACUGAAGUGUCGAUGAUGCUUGAUUGUUGGAAGACAAUGCUGUAAAGAACCUUGGAAACACGAUGCUAUAAAUAAAUUAAGAAGCAGAAUUGAGAAGAAGAAACUGAAAUCGAGAUUGAAGUCUAAGAUUGAAUAUCCGAUAAAUAAUUAGUCCAUGAUUCAGAAACUUGAAAACAUAAUGCUGUAAAGAAAUAUUGAUUAUCAUAUUUUUGAAAUAUAUAUUGACAAUAAUAUGAUCAAAUCGACAUAAUAAUCAAAAUUAAAUGUAAUCGAUGUGAUUGAUAUGGAUACCAUAAUAACAUGCUCUUAAUCGGGUAAGAAAUGAUUUUGAGUUAAUGUGUACAACUGGUAGCAAAGAUAAAAAUCGGUAAUUAAAAUAGGGAGUUAUAUGGAUUCCAUAUUGGAUUCAAUAUUCAAUUUCAAAUUUCCAUAUUCCACAUCGAUUACUACGUGAAACAAUAAAAUAACAAAAACGGUAUUUUACAUUUGUAGAAUACUAAUUAAUUGCAGAAUACUGAUUUUUUGAAGUUUAUAAUUUCACUAUAAAAAACUGUAAUAACAUAACCAUUUUUAUUUUUCUGAUUUAUUUGAAGUAAUUUAGACUUAUAAUACCUGAAAUAGUGGUAUGUGUUUUAGAGUUUUGUACAAGAGCAUUGUGUUUUUUAAAAGUAUUUACAUAUCUACGGUACUUUUAAAUUUAUUUACUAAAAGAUUGUAAAAUUUUAAAAUUCAUGUGGACCUAUCCCUUUUAUACCAAAAAUAUAAGAAAUUAAUUAUGCGCCUCCCCACCGCUCAUUUUUCUCGCAUUUGUCGCUGGAAAAUGAUGGCCAACAAGAUAAUUUCAAAACAUUAUAAAAAGAUUUCUCUUUCGCUUGUUUGCUCGCUAGAAAAUGAAAACAAACAUAAACGGUCAUAAAUAAAAACAACCAAACACGAAUUAAAUAUAUUGACAGAUUUAGAUUCUUCCGGCUGCGAACUUGGUUUGCUCAUUGGAAUAUGAAUACAACCAAACAAUUUGGAAAUCGAAAAGGAAAUUGUUGGAAAUGCACCACGUUCAUAGAUCUUGUGCCAAAACAUUUCUCGUAUAUAUUUGUUUCAAACAUUGGUCGUUCAAUCAAUGUCAUAUAACUUGGAAAUUUGGAGGGGGGAGGGGUUGUUUAACAGAUGAUACCGAGGGUUAUGAAUGGGUUAGUCGGUGGCAAGGCGGAUGUAGAGGUUCAUCCGCAGUGUGGUUUGGGGAGAAUUUCAGCAGUGUUUUGGAGUUGACGAUGUCGGACGGUGAUCGUGUCAUAGGUGUAAACACUGCACAACACAACAUGUAGACUAGGUAUUACUGGCAAUGCUUGUUAUGAAAAAAAUAAAAAACCAGUAGACUUCAAUCGUUGAAGCAGGGAAAAUGUGGUUGUGGUAGGUUCAAUGGAUGUAUGCGCACUCAUGCACAGUAGGGGUUUGCAGCGGUGCUAAGGGUUGCCAAAUGGUUUUGCAAGUAAUGUGAGCAUCAAAAGACAAUUAACAUGAUUUCAUUUAUUUUAUUUAAGUACAAUUAAAUGGGAAAUAAUUUUAAAAGUACUAUAUUAUAGUAAAUAUUUUUCUUAACCGCUACCUUUUAGUAAAAAACUAUGUGUUUUAAACAGGUAUAACUGUAUAAAAAACCUAAGAGUUUGCAGAGGUUCAUGGGAUUACAUCUUAGUGGUAUGUGCUUUAAGGGUAAACACAUUUUUCUUCUUUUAGGCUAGAUUUAUUACAUCACAAGGAAUCCCGUGGCGAGGGCAUUUUCGUCCUUAGGAUAUAUAAAUUUUGUUUCCGGUACUGUUUUGUACUUUGUAGUGCUUAAGAAACGGGAAGAUAUGAUUAAGUUGUGAAUGAUCUGGAUCCAUAUCAAUGAUCCGGUACUAUUCUACCCUUUGUAAGAGAAAAACACAUAAAGUCACAAACUAUAUACCCCUGUUGUGAAAAUUACCAAUAUGUCACUAUAAAAAAAUGAGCAUUAUUUUGAACAGGUUGUUCUAAUUACCAUUCUACCCUUUGUAACUAGAGAAUGAUUAGUUAAUAUGUCAUGCAUUGUUUCCUCCUGUUGCGUGUUCAAUAUUAUAACAAUCAAUAAACAAUUUUAAUGGAAUUUAAAUGAUUGAAAUUGUAGAGAUGAACAAAAGAAUUGACAAAGGGCAAAAUUGACAUCUAAUGCAUUGUUUCUUCCUGUUGCGUGUUCAAUAUCAUGACAAAUCUCAUUUGACAGCUUCAUUACAAUUUUUGUUUCAUACAUUACCUCAAAUAAUAUACAAGCACAUUCCCAAGAAUGCAUUCACCGAUAUACCAUUUUAUUGUGAAAAUUACCAAUAUGUCCAUGUACAAAAAAUGAGUAUUAUUUUCAACAGGAUUUUAUUGAAUUUAUUCAUAUUUGAGACAUCUUUUUUAUAGAGCAAAUAUACUUAUAACACGAAAAUGAAAAGUAGAAUGGUAUAUUUUUUAAUUUUUUUGAAUUUUAUUGCAAAUAUAUUGGUAAAAAAAAUCUUUAAAAACAUAAUGGUUUCCUUCUUUUACACUAUCAAUAGACACACAUAUAUUAAAAGAAGAUUAAUCUAAUUACAGGCAUAACCCAAAAAGCAGUUUUUUACUUAAGAUAGAGAUUAGCAGCGUAAAGAAACCAAGAACUAUCAAUGUUUGAAUACUGAACACCACGAAGAGCAAAACUGUCAAACAAAAUCCCCAAAAAAAAUAAUUCAAGAAUAUUGUUGGUGCAUAAAAAGGACAAUCUAAAAUUACUUUUCAAGCUUUGGUAUUAAUAGACCUGUGUUUCCAUCCACCCUGGAAUUCAAGCGAGGUAUUUUUGUCGACGAAUUCACAUUAUCAUACUCAUCAAUAUCAAUGCUAUCUCCAACGUUUCGCUUUUUUACCAUUGUGGGCGAAUUAAACUUGAACGGACUUGUAGCUUCUAUUUGUCAUGCAUGGAAGGGGUCAAAUUAUCACUGGUUUGUUAUAUCGCGUCCUUAAAGCAAAAACCCGAAACAGCGUUAGUACGAUAAUAUUAACAAAUUAACAAAAAAAUAAUUUAUAAAAGGAAUUUAUAUAAAAUUAAAAAAUGUGGAUUUAUAUUAUAACCUUUAAUGACUUUGUUUCAUGAGAUGCUUCGUGAGAUGCGAUUUUGUAUCGUCAGCAUUUGUAGAAUUACCUCCCUGCUUCAAAAGUUUAAAUAUGUAUUAUCAUUUGUGGGAUUAAAUUUUUGUUCCAUCAAGAUUUACAAUUAAUUAGUGACGAUCAUUAAAUAAAAGUAUGCAUCAUAAUAAUUAAUUAAUUUUCAAAAAACAUAAAAAUAUAUGUAUAUAAAUACCUCAACAGCUAACUUUUUUUCCAAAACAUUGAUAAUGUUACUAUCAAGCGUAUAGCCAAGUAUCCCAAAACGAUUGUAGUUAUUGGAUACGUUAAAACUAUUAACAUCUAACACGAAUGCCAUCUUUUUAUGCACCAGACAGUUGAGGUCAUAAGGAUACAAUCUCGGAUCAUCACCAGCCUGGAAAGAAUGAGUUAUGUAAUAUUAUUAUGGUUAAAAGCACAUUAAUAUAGAUAAAAUCAAAUAGAUAAUAGAAUUUAAUAAAACAAAUAAUAUAUUUAUAGUAUGUCUGUUUGAUUUUCUCUAUGGGUUCACUUGCACGUUUUUUGACGAGUUUAUAAGCAUCUCUAUCAAACAUAGUGAGUGUGAUUGUUCCAGAUUCAUCUUGGACACGAAUAGGUAUUUUAUACCUACAAAAAAGUACGACAUAAAUAUCAUAUUAAAUAUUAAAUAUGUUUAAUGUGUAAUGUUUGUUAAUGUAUUUAAUUUGUGGGUGAACUAUUGUUAAAUUUUAAAAACCUUGGAACUGAAGAUAUCUCCUUUUUUUACACUUAGAAUUAUAACAUUCAACAACCACACUUGCAUCACCACUAUCUGGACCGCUGAAAACGUUUCUUGGUUCAACCUUCCUUCCACAUUUUGAACACGCAUCAUAAUACCAAUCAAUAUCUUGUCGGAUACCAUAAAUGGUACCAACAAUGAUAUAUUUCCCGACCUUAAAAAAUAUAAAAUACAAAAAGAAUCAUAAAAAAAAAUACAAUUAUAAUAUUAUAAUAAACGAAUAAUAGAUAACAAAAUCACAUUAAAAAAAACUAAAUUAUUCACAUACCUCUUGUGGUUCUAGCAAAUCGACAACAUUUUUAACGUUGUGAUUUGUCAAAAAGUCAUCAUAUUCAUUGCAUGAUUGAGAGCUAUCAACGGUCAAAGAAGAAGAAGGAUUUUGAAUUCCUCGUAAUCCAACCAUGUUGUUUUUUUUAUUUGAUAGAUUAAUUAUGAAAUUAGUAAAAUUAUUAAAAAGAAACAAAAAAAACAAUGAAUUAUUAAAAUAGAUUGUUACCUAUCUGUGAAUGUAACAAUUUCGGGAAGAUCAACAUUUAUGAACAUCGGUGUGUGUUUAUAAUAACUGUUAAAAUAGUUAAAAUAAUGAGCAAUAUAAAAGCCUAAAAUAACAAAGGGGUCCUUUUAUAAGAAAUGUACCGUUAUAGACAUUAAGUCUUGCAAACUGCAAAAUAACAACCACACGACCAACUUCUUUAUGUGCUUCAAGAUAAGAAAUCAAUUGGUAUGCAAUAUCUCCAAACAAUGUGACGUUAACCUGCAAACCUCUGCAAAAACAGUACGGGUUAAAUGAUAAUAUAAUAAUAAAAUUACAUAUGGCAGUUGUAACCUAAUCAAUUUAAUAUAUAAUAAUAAUAAUAAUAAUAAUAAUAAUAAUAAUAAUAAUAAUAAUAUAAGAUAUAAUAUAAGAAAAGUUAUGAUUUGUAAAGUUAGCCGAUGUUUGGAUUUGCUGACAUCACGGGAAUCAAGCUUUCCUAACGAAACAACUUCACCAAUAACAUCUACAAAAUGAUAAUACAAUAUGUCAAAAUGAUGUAAAAUUAAAGAAUUAAAUAUAAGAUGCAAUUAAAUAGGGGAAACAUUUACCAAUUGAGUUAUUAGAUGUAGCUGUUGCAGAAAUAAUGCUUUCAAACGAUACACAACAAAAGUCAUAUGUUGUUUUGGACUAAAAAGUUAGACAAUCAUUAACAGUUUUUCGUCCAUGCAAGUUUAACUUGGAGAGUACAUCACUUAUUUUAAAAAUGUAUCUGUUUGGAGCUAUAGUGGGGGAUCGGAUGUAAAUUGCUUUAUCUUCUUUCAGUUUUAAAAGUGUAUCUCUUGGGUAGACACUUGCUCGGAUUUUUGUACCCUAUUCACAUAUCGUAAGAAUAUUAUAUAUAUUGCGAAACAAUUGUAUAUUAAUUUAUAUAAAUUGGUCAACAUUGAAUCAAUUAUUUGACCAUGAAUGAUUUUAAAUAAUAUUAUUGGAAUGAGCAAAUAAACAAAAAAAAAUAAUUUUGAAUAAUGUAAUUAGAAUAGGAUAUUUUACCAUCUCAUCCAUUAAUAUCAUUUCAAGUGCUUUGACAAUACUAGGGUUAACUUUGGAUAAUGAUCUCCACAGCCGGAUAAUACACACUUUUAGUGUUUAAUCAUCCCUCAUGUUGUCUAAGUCUUUGAUCAAAGUGACAUUUCUAUCUGCCAUUGUCACUAUAAUAGAAAGACAUAACAUAUUAAGAAAAAAUAAUGGAACAAAAUUACACAAAAAAUAUAAAGACAAACAUAAUUACAAUUAUGUCCCUGGAGUAGUAGGCGGAUAAAAAGAUUCUGAAUAAUACAAUAAAUUAUUAUAAAACAUUCAAACAUAUUCAAACAAACUAUAUACCGCUGCUGUGAAAAUUACCAAUAUGUCCCUGGAGUUGUAGGCGGAUAAAAAGAUGAAAAACAAACAGGGCAUUUUCGUCCAUUGAACUUACUUAUAACAUGAAAAAUAAAAGUACAAUGCCAUUAUAUGUAAUAUUUUCGAAUUUUGUUGCACAUAUAAUUUUUUUUUUUGUACUGUACUGUUGGAAUACAUUUUUCUUUCCUUCUGUUAUUUUACUUUGUAACUAUUGGAACUAAUGUUUAUUAUGUUAUAUAAAGAUAAGCAUUGAUGGAAAGGAUACUAUUAGGGAGGAUGAUGUUGAUGAAUUGACUUCCAAUUCCAUAGUUACAGAUUAUGAAAUAUCAAGCAUAUCAGGUUCAGAACUAAAAUAGAACAAAAUUACACAGAAAGACAUAACAUAUUAAGAAAAAAUAAUGGAACAAAAUUACACAGAACAUAUAAAGACAAACAUAAUUACAAUUAUGUCCCUGUAGUAGUAGGUGGAUAAAAAGAUUCUGAAUAAUGCAAUAAAGUAUUAUAAAACAUUCAAACAUAUUCAAAUAAACUAUAUACCCCUGAUGUAAAAAUUACCAAUAUGUCCCUGGAGUAGUAGGCAGAUAAAAAGAUGAAAAACAAACAGGGACAACCUCAGUGAUUCAAGCAUAUCAGGUUCAGAAAAAACAAAAAACAGAGAAUUAGAUAAAAAGAUGAAAAUACAUUCUCCAUAUUUUACAGAUUUACAGAUUAUGAUAUAUCAAGCAUAUCAGGUUCAGAAAAACAAAAAACAUAGAAUUUGACAGCCUCAGUGAUAAAAUCGGUAAUUAUAAGUAAAACAAUAACAUACAACGUUAAUGUGGCCUAAGUCCUAAUUCAUAUAAAUCUGAUUAUUUACCAAUCGCAGGCGUACCUUCAAUAGUUCAAUGGGAUAGACUCGAAGAAGCAACGUAAGCAGUAAAGCAGAUUGCGAUGGGGGUAGAGAGAGAGAGAGAGGGCAUGCCGCCUGCGAUUGGUAAUUUGCGAUGGUAUCUCUCGACUAAGAAAGGGGAGCGAUAGAUGAACAGAACCAUAUUCAGACGAAUUAUGAUUGUCAAAUAAGUUUUUGAUCGUUCUUUUGCAAUUAACACAGACAUUGAGAAGCAGGGGAUUACAUAUACACAAUGAGAAGCAGAAUUGAGAAGAAGAAACUUACCGAAUGAUUGAAGCCGCUGAUUGAAUAUCUAAUAACUGAAGUAUGGAUGAUGCUUGAUUGUUGGAAGAUGAUGCUGUAAAGAAUGAUUCAUAUUUGUAUGCUUCAAGUAUAUAUUGAACAUAAUAAGAUCAAAUCGACCUAAUAAUCAAAUUUAAAUGUAAUUGAUAUGAUUGAUAUUGAUACAAUAAAAAGAUGCUCUUAAUCGGGCAUAUAACGAAAUUGAUUCAAUAUUCCAUUCGAUUUCCAUCCAUAUUCCAAAUUCCACAUUCAAAUUGCCAUAUUUCCAUAUCUAAUUUCCGUAUGUAAUGCUACGUGAAACCAAGCAGGGGUAAAAAUGGGAUUUAACAUUGGCAAGAAAGUGAAUUUUUGUUAGGACACGUUUCAAACAGGUUUUGUUUAUUAGAUAGGGAGAUGUUAUGAAUCUUGGUUAUGAUAAUACGAAUAUUGUAUGCUUGUACUUGAUUUACGAUCGAUUAUGUGGGGUUAUGCAUAGAGGGCAAGGGUAGGACCUAACACUUAGCAUGAAACCCUAUCCAGAUACAUUCGAGCCUCGUUAGUUGAGAAAUACCUUCUAGGAAAAGAGAUUAAUCCAUUUACGAGUUGAUCGGUCUUUCUAGAUGCCCGUGCGACACAUUGUACGCGUACACUUCGGUGUUUGCGGAUUGGAGUGAUGUUGGCCAUUCGAACGAGGCUUGUACAGACAUCACGUAGGUGUUGGGAGGUGGCGGACGAAUGCCACUGCUUGUACCAACACCAGAACGGCACCGCGAUGUACUUGUACAUUACAUAGUCGGAGUAGUGAAAGUGGAGUCUUGGGGUCGGUGUGGCAGGGGGGGGUCACGAACCACCUAAAGCACUUGGUUGUCCAGACACACAAGUAGCGAACGGGUUUUCCUUUUGGGUUAGGUAUUACUACGAGACUACCUAUGCCUAUACGAUUAUGAUACAUUUUUUUUUAUAUGAUGAUAUACGAUUACGAUAUGAUUAUGCAUGAAAUACAAUUGAUGUUACAUAAAUGAAUGAUAUGUGAAUGGAUGAUACAAAGUUGAAUGAUUGAAUUUUAUGUGAAAUAUGAUUGAUUAUUGAUUGGUAUGUGAAUUUUGUUUAUAUGAUUAAAAUAUGAAUGAUUGACCCGUUAAGGGAUGGUAUGUUUUCCCUUUGAUUGUGUACAAACUCUUAUUGGCUCACGAAGCAUUUGUUGACACUUGUUUCUUUGCUUUGUGCCUUUAUGAUUGGUACAGGUAGCUUAAGAGCUUCGCUUGGUGAGAUGGGGUCAUUUUUUGGUAGUUUAUCCUUAGAAUAAAGAUGCCACUUGGAAACGUUAUUUAUUUUUUGAUACUUAUGCUUCCACUACAAUUAAAUACUUUUGAUAUUUUGGUUUUAAAUUGAACGUAACUUGGUGGUUUGAAAUGUUUUUAAAAUAAAUAAUGUGUACACUCUUCCGUUGCAUUUUCCGUUAAAAGAUUUUAAAAAUAAAUGAAAUUUUUUCGCGAAAAAUCAUGACUUUACAAUUAAAUCCUUAAUAGAUUAAGUCCUUAACAGGUUAAGUAGGAACACUUAACCCUAAUCGUCAUUUUAUGUGAAAAACCCUAAUUGGGUUUGGGUUCUUAUUAGGUCACUUAUUGGACUGAGUUGUUGUGGGCCUUUGUGGGCCAAUUGGGAACAUAUUUAUGGACUAAGGAAAUUAUUGGUCUUUAGGAUAAGGCCCGUUGGAAAGGCUUGGGCCCAAUUUGGAAAAUUGGGCCAUAAUUAGGCCUUGAUGAUUAUGAGACUGGAUUAAAUGGUUGGGCCUUAAGAUAAGCCCAUGUAGAGGUUUGGGUCCAAUUUGGAAAAUUAGGCCAUAUGUUGGGCUUUGGUCCAUAGUUUGACUUUUGGGCUUUUGGAUUGGGCCUUGGAGUUGAAUAAAGCUAAGUCAGGGGUAAAAUAGUCUUUUACCCUAACCAUGGAAUUAUGGUUAUGUAUUGGAACCCAAUUAUUAAUUGGGUGUCGUUUUGAUGUUGAUAGUUUAGGAACCUAUCAACCAGCAGCUAAGAUUUUACCCGUGGAACUUGAGCAAUGCGAAGUGAGUCUCCUCACCAUACCAACGGGUCGAAGGCACCAAUGUCAGCCCAUUUUAUGUUAUGUGAUACACUAGCUAAAGUUGUAUUAUGUGGCAUGUUAGCUGGUUAUGUCAUAGGAAGUAUGCUAGUGGUAUAUGUGGUAUGCUUGUAUGGAAGACCAUGGGAGAGCCCAUGGCACCUGGAUGUAAGACCAUGUGGAGAGCCUAUGGCUUUCUUACUAUGUUUUAGUGUUAAUGUAGAUUCACUAUUGAUAUGUUUGGUAUGCACGUAUAUGUGGUAUGCUAGUGAUUAAGUGAUAUACUAGCUGACUAUGUGGUAUGUGGUAUGCUAGUUGUCUUUGUGAUACUUGCAUGAAAGCCCAUGGGAGAGCCCAUGGCACCUGGAUGUAAGACCAUGCGGAGAGCCCAUAACUUUCUUACUAAAGACCAUGGGAGAGCCCAUGGUAACCAGAUGUAAGACCAUGUGGAGAGCCCAUGGCUUUCCUAUUAAAGACCAUGGGAGAGCCCGUGGCAUUUAGGUGUAAGACCAUGUGGGGAGCCCAUGACAUCCUGGAGUAAGACCCUGGGGACGAGCCCACGACAUCCUUAUAUGUUUAUAUUCAUGGCUUAUAUGAUUGAUAUGACUUAUGUGGAUAUGUAGCUAAUAUAACUAAUAAAUAUUAUGAGAUUAUGUGGAUUGUAUGAGGUAUGCUCUGGGGAAUUCACUAAGCUUCGUGCUUACAGUUUUGUUUAUGGUUUCAGAUAUUUAACUUUAGGAAAGGAAGGGCUCAGCUUGACCGCAGCGUACACACCCAUGCUUUCCACAAUGAAUGAAAUGUUUUAAUUAACAAUGUUUUGGAAUGAUUGGAAUAAAUGAUAUCUAUGUUUGGGUUAUAUUAAAAAUGAAAUUGUUACCCCUGAUUUUUGGGUUGUUACAAUGAUAUUCAAUUAAAACACAGGUCUUUUGGCCUAGCACUAUCAUAUGUUGGAAAAGUGACCCUUCCUAAUGUUAGAAAAACGGGUUAUUUUGAUUGCUUGGAUACCAUUGAAAGUCAUGAUACACUUUCAAAUUGAAUUAUUUUGAUGGUACAAUCAAAAUAUCAAUUGGAUAAAAUUCAGUGACAAACAGAGAAUGAAAAUGUUAUGAUUCUUGUGUGUACCAGAUUUAAAUAACCAAAAAGGGAUAUAACUCCUUAUCUGAAAACUAUCAUAUUGACAUUUACAAACUGCCACAAAACCGUCACUAAAUUGACUUAGUCAGCUUGACAAACAAGAACCACAUAUUUAACAUACAAAGCAAAGAGAAAAAGUUUCCUAAUACUUGUAAAAAUCAAAUGAUGUAAAAAAAUUAGAUGUCACAAAAUCUAGUAUUAACAUAGAUUUAAUAAAACUGAUAGAUUACUUGUUUAUAUAUCGUAAAAAUUUAUUCCCAAGGUCAUCCUUAACUCACUAAUAAAUUUUGGGAGUAACGAUAUAACAAUAUCUAUUCGGUACUCCUUUGAUAAAAUUUUGAAUUUUGUGUGGUCAAUAAGUCGUAUUUUUGGAUUGCUAAUAGGAGUAGAAAAGCUAAAAUCAUUUGGGUCUAUGAGCUUCGUAAUCCUAUUUUAGCUUGCACUCUUAUGUAAUGCUAUUUUUCCUUGCUUCCUGCUAGUUUUUAUAAAAUUUUUUGCUGUUCCAAAAAAAAAAAAAAAAAAAAACUCCUCUAAUAUAUUGGUCGGUCGACUUUGAGAUACAAUUAAGAAGGUUCUCUAGCCACAUCACACAUCAUCCUCCCCCAAUGACCACCACACAAUAAUAUCGAUUUGGUAUAGACCAACAACUCUCUAUUUCCCCAUCUCCCUUAAAUCAAUCUUCACUUCCUUACUUUUCAGUUUGUUUUUUAAUAUUCAUACAUAGAAACUCAUGUUGGAGCAGUUAACACACAUAAAUGUCCUUAAUAUUGGAAUCCCUCACCAACAAAGUAGCAUCGUUAAGUAACUAAUAAGUUAGAGACCAUACGUACAAAUUAGCCCAAACCAUAGGGACCAUUCGUGUAAUUUACUCUUCCUCUUAAUAUACAUAUUUUUUAUUAGAGACAGACCGCUGUCAUCCUCAAUAUAAUACAUGUGUCCCCAAGUCCAUUUUGCAAUUCUUUUUGGAUUUGGCAAACUUGUAUAUACAAUUUCCUCUCUUUACUUUUCAUAUGUCAUAACCUUUGCUUUAGUUAUUGCUUUCUUCUUCCAAUUUCUUGUCACCUUGUAAAUAUUUCUUUGACCUCUCUUCUUUCCCAAUUGUCACUACUUAAUAGAAAUUCUUUAAAAGGAGUUUCUUUAUUUUGACCUUGAACCUUCUUGCUCCACCAUUCCGAUUAUUAGCUUAGCCUUUCAUCCUUGACGGAUAUGGCCUCCUGCUACAAUUACCAUGUAACAGAGCCGGCCCAAAGCAAGUUCAUCCAGUGCCUUUGAACAUGGCCCAAAAAAUCAGAGGGCCCAUUUUUUUUCAUUCUUUAAUAGGGUAUGUUCAUUUGGCCCAAAAAAUUUAGGUUAUAUCCAUCUAUAUACUCAGUUAACGAAUGCAGGAAGCAGGCAAGAGGGAGCAGGAACUCAAUUUUCGGGAAAAAGAGAACUCUUCGGUUUCUUCAUUGGUAACGCACGCAUGGAUAAUAGGAAUCAUCAUUGCUGGAACGGUAACAUCAAUUUACAUUCAUUUAUCAUUCAUUCUAUUCCAUCAAUUUACCUUCACUUCUUAUUUCUUCCUUCUUUAUCUUCUUCUUCACUGAUCAGUUUUUACAAAGAUUACCAACAAUUUUAGAAGAUUCAAAAGAAGAAAUUCAAAGCCAUCAAAUUUCGAAAUCAGAAGGUUCAAUAUCAGAAUUCAGAACAAUCAAAAUUCGAAAUAAGAAGCUUCAAAAUCUUACAGUCUUACAGUCUUACAGUUUGAGUUUCGAAAUCAAAGGUAUAAUACUAAAAUUAAACUUUAGUUUAUUGUUUCAUGGGUUUGUUUUUUCUAAUUGAGUAAUUUGAUAAUUUCAGAUUUCUUAUCGGUUCUUCUUUUUUCAUUUUCUUUAAUUCCAAAUUACUAAAUCAGGAUGAACAAUCAACAGUGAUAUCAGUUUUCAAAAAUUUGAACUUAGAAGGAACAAGGAAUUGAGGUAAAUUCUAAUUCAGAUUUCUACUUUUUAUGUUUUUUUGUUUAUGAUAAUUUCGAAUUUGUAAGAACUAAGAAGUAAUUAUGAAUUUAUGAUCUCAUCAUUUCAGAUUGCAAAUUUUCUGAUUUCCUUAGAAUCAUAUUCUUGUUUUUUUGAUUUGAAGUGUCGAUGAUAAUAAGGUAAUUUUUGGAUUUCUUAUAUGAUAUCAUUGCAGAUUUUGUGAUUUCUUUAGAAGCAUAUUCUGAUUUUUUUUCUUUGCAGUUUUGUUACAUUCUUUUGGUGAUUUGAAGUGUGGAAAAUCUGAACCAAGAAGGAAUCUAUAAAUUGGAAGUCAUAAAUAAGGUCGUUUCUUUCUUUUCUAUAACUUAUUAUGCCUCCUAAAAUAAAAAAAUAUGCAUCUGGAUAUGAAAAACGUAAGAAAAAACAAAAAAUUGAAGAAGAUAAUAAAACUCAAGCAGGAUCUAUGGAUAAGUUUAUAACAAAAAAAACACAAAACUUUACGAAAAAUGAAACACAAAAUGUUAAUGAAGCUAAUCUUGAUAAAAUGAUAAUGUUGAUGUUGAUGUUGAUGUUGAUGUUAAUGAUAAUGUUGAUGUUGAUGUUAAUGCUAAUGUUAAUGUUAAUGUUAGUGAUAAAGUUGAUUUUAAUGAUAAUCCUAAUGUUGUUGUUGAUGAUAAUGUUGAUUUUCACACUUUUGAUAUAUUUGAUCCAAGAAAUCGGGAUGCUCUUGAUUCUAGUAUGAUAAAUAUUUUAGUGUUGAAAGGUCCUAAAAGAGAUUUGUCUCUUACAAAAGGUCCUAAAGAUAAAUAUUUAAGAAGAUUUUCUGCAACAUAUUAUACUAAAACUUUACCAAAUGGGGAAAAAUGUGAUAGAGAUUGGCUUGUUUAUUCUAAAGAAAUUGAUAAAAUUUUUUGUUUUUGUUGUAAAAUAUUUCGAAAAGGGUGUCGGAAGGGUCAAUUAGCAAAUGAGGGUUUUAGGGAUUGGAUACAUCUUAACACUAGAAUUAAAGAGUAUGAAACUAGUAUGAAACAUGUUAAAACUAUAAAUACUUGGUAUGAUUUGCGUUUAAGAUUACAAAAAAAUGAAACUAUUGAUAAUGCGGCUCAAAAACAAUUAGAAAAAGAAAAAGUUCAUUAGAGACAAGUUUUGUUGAGAAUUAUUUCUAUUGUGAAAUUUCUUGCUAAACAUAAUCUAGCUUUUCGUGGUACUAAUGAGAAAUUGUAUGAAGAUAACAAUGGAAAUUUUUUAGGCUUAUUUGAAAUGUUGGCUGAAUUUGACAUGGUUUCUUAUGACCAUAUACAACGUAUUACAAAUGAAAUUGGUAUCCAUAAACAUUAUCUUGGGCAUAGGAUACAAAAUGAAUUAAUACUUUUGCUUUCUUCAGAAAUAAAGUCUAUGAUUAUUAAAAAGAUAAAAAAUGCAAAAUAUUUUUCUAUAAUACUUGAUUGUACUCCUGAUAUAAGUUACCAAGAGCAAAUGACUAUUAUUUUAAGAUGUGUAGAUGUCUUGUCAAAUGUUGUUUGCAUUGAAGAGUCUUUUUUAGGGUUUUUAGAUGUAAAUGAUACAACCGGCCAAGGACUCUUUGAUGUUUUACAAAAUGAAUUGAAUUUGCUUGAUCUUGACAUUAAUAAUAUACGUGGCCAAGGUUAUGAUAAUGGAUCAAAUAUGAAAGGAAAACAUCAAGGAGUGCAAAAAAAGCUUUUAGAUAUAAAUUCAAGGGCUUUUUAUACUCCUUGUGGUUGUCAUAGUUUGAACUUAACUUUAUGUGAUAUGGCUAAUACUUGUGGUAAAGCUAAAGGUUUUUUUUGGAACAAUACAACGUAUCUAUACAAUUUUUGCAAAUCCCACUAAGAGAUGACAAAUUUUAAAAGAUAAUGUGAAAGGGGUAACUCCUAAAUCGUUGUCAUCCACUCGUUGGGAGAGUCGUGUUGAUAGUGUUAAAGCUAUAAGAUUUCAUAUACAAAAAGCUUUACUUCAAGUAGCCAAAAAUGAUAAUGAUCCAAAAAUAACAAGUGAAGCUAAAUCCUUAGCAAAAAAUGAACUUGACAACUUUGAGUUUAUAUUGGCAUUAGUAAUUUGGUAUGAAAUGUUAAACACUAUUAAUUUAAUUAGCAAACAAUUGCAAUCAAAAGAUAUGUUUAUUGAUGUUGCUAUGGAAAAAAUAAUGGGGUUAAUUUCGUAUUUUAAGGAAUAUAAAGAAAAUGGGUUUUUAAAUGCUUUACAAACCGCAAAAGAUAUUGCCUUAGAAAUGGGGAUCGAUCCAAUAUUUCCUAAAAAACGUGAACCUAAAAUAAAAAAACAUUUUGAUGAGAUUUCAAACGACACUUCUUAUAGUUUUUCACAAUCCGCCCAAGAGAAAUUUAGAGUUAAAUAUUUUAUUUAUAUUGUUGAUCAAGCAAUUAGUUCUUUAACUACAAGGUUUGAACUAUAUCAAUAAUAUGAUAAAAUAUUUGGCUUUUUAUUUAAUUCAGAAAAAUUGCUUUCAUUAGAUGAUAUAACAUUAAAGUCUUGUUGUAUGUCUCUUGAAACUUCACUCAAGAAAGAUGAGCAAUCGGAUAUUGAUGGAAAUGACUUAUAUGUUGAAUUAAAAUUACUUUUACAUCUCUUGCCUAAGGAAAAAUUGACAGCAAUUGAUAUUCUAAAUUUUUUAAAACGUGUUGAUUGUUUUCCUAUUACAUCUAUUACAUAUAAAAUUAUGUUGACUAUUCUUGUUACUGUUGCAUCUGCAGAACAGAGUUUUCCAAAAUUGAAGAUUCUGAAGUCCUACUUAAGAUUUACAAUGACUCAAGAACGACUUAAUGGAUUGGUUUUGAUGACGAUUGAGCGUAAUAUGUUGGAUAAAGUUACUUAUGAAGAUGCUAUUGAAAAAGUUUAUUUCAACGAAUAUUAGGAGGAUGACUGUUUUCAAGUAGAAGCUAAUUUUUUUUUGUAUUAUUUUGAAUGAAAUUUUAAUUUUAUGUAUUUGCAAUAGAAAAUUAAACUAUAAUUUUUUUUUUGCUUAAAUUUUGAGAUCUUUCAAAUUUUAGAGCCUAUUUUUUGUUAAAUCGCACAUGGUCUUCAAUAUCUCAGGGCCGGCCCUGCCAUGUAGACCGAGACCCCUACUUGUAACUAACCUUUUCGGUCCUAAUAGAUACACAUGUAAAAAACUAAUAACUACUAACUAACUAUUAAUUAUUUAAUAUAAAAUACAAAUAGAACAUCAAUGAUAAAUAUUAAAAGGGUGUUGCUAAAUUGACACCCCUUAGACACCCUAUAAACACUUUUAUUAAAAGUCAAUUUAUAAUAAACUAUUCACAAUUUACUUUUUCAAAAAACAAUGCAAAUUAACUAAUAAAAAAAUCUUAAAAAUCAAAUAAGGUUUCAACAUGAGAGAAAUUAUAUUGCAAUAAGUUUGUUGUCAGGUGAGGAAUACAAUGCAUAAAUGAUUUACAAAAUCGAAAGUUCCAGACACAAGUUAAAACUUAAAACCCUAAAAGACCACACAAAUUUCAAUCGUCGACAUACCCCACCACAAAGGCACAAACAAUCAAUGAAACAAGUGUAGAUGUAGAGGCCUUUUUCACCACAAUCACCCUUCAUCGGCCAUUUCGAAGGCCACGUGAAAUGUCACUAACGUGGCCCUCUAAAUAUCCACUACUUUGUCUUUAACCCCUCCCCCCUCCCUUAUAAAACACUCCAUCCUCCUCCUUAAUCACCAUCACCAACAACCUUCUCUCCUCCCUCAAAAGUACCACCAUCUUUUCCGACAUGGCUACUUCUUCAAUCUUCAUGGCAACUCCCAUCACACUCCUCAAGAAAACUCCCACCUUCUCCGUCAAAUGUAUGUCACAAACACCUCAAAGCGGUGAACCGGAGGUUUCAAAACCAGCAACCACCCCAACACUACCACAGAUCAACAUUCCUCCUCCUCCGCCACCUGCUCCAAAGGUCAGCACGAAGUUCUCUGACGUGUUGGCGUUUAGUGGACCUGCACCGGAGAGGAUCAACGGAAGGUUAGCCAUGAUAGGGUUUGUGUCGGCGAUGGCUGUGGAACUGAGCAGCGGUCAAGACGUGUUCACCCAGAUCGGCAACGGCGGUGUUGCGGUGUUUGUCGGGACAAGUGUGGUGUUGAC